GAAGGAAGGGGGAGUCCUACUCCACACUUUCCUUUCCCUCCUCUCUUUCCUUCUCCUCCUCAUAGGUUCGGACUCUAUAGGGGUGCAUCAGCCCCUUGUGGGCUGGUGUGUUCCCUCUCUUGGCUCAUCAGGCCCAUAUCUUUGCCGGGGGUGCCCGAAACUCCUUUCUGCACUACAAAAAAAAGACACAUCCGUGACAUUUUGGGCUGAACAAUUUUUUUUUCUGUCAUACAUAUGACACUUCUAUGACGAUAAUUGUGACAAAACCCGGUAUCAUCAUAGAUGUGGUGGGCUCCUACUUCUAUGACAAAAAAUCAUGACAGAAAAUGGGCUUUUCGUCCUGGGCGGGCUGGAGACGCAGCUGCAUGACAUUCUUUGGGUCGUCCAUGACGGAAAAAAUCAUGAUAGAAGCGAGGGGGAGGAAAAUUUCAGGGAGAUGCCGGUUACGGUGGGAGGUCGGGGGCGGAGCGAUGCGCGUUUCUCUUGUACAGGUACGCGCAUGUGUGCGAGGCGUUGGCUCUAACUGAACCCGAGCGAGGCGUUGGGCUCUAACUGAAGCCGAGCGAUUGCACUGCAGGCUACGCGUUACUGAACCCGAGCGAUCGAUCGAUGGCUGUUAACUGAACCCGAUGGAGCGAUUCCUUCGCUACUGCUGCUAACUAAAGCCGAUAGAUUUGAUGAACAGUGAGCGUUGCAGGGGGUUUGGAUGAACAGUGAGCGGUGGUGUUGCCUCUGGAUGAACAGGACCCCGUGGUGUGGAGGGCUGGAUGAACAGUAGACGGUGGAGGGGUGGCCAUGGAGGUGUGGUUGAACAGGACCCCGUGGUGUGGAGGGCUGGAUGAAUAGUAGAAGGUGAAGGGCUGGAUGGACAGUAGACAGUGGAGGGGUGGUUGAACAGUAGCCGGUGGAGUAGCGCGCGGUGGAGGCUGGAUGAACAGGAGCCCAUGGAGGCUGGAGGAGGUUGACGGUAGCCCGUGGAGGUUGGAGGAGGUUGACGGUAGCCCGUGGAGGUUGGAGGAGGUCGACGGUGGAGAUGAACAGUAUCCCGUGGAGUCCCGUUUUGUGGUACGCCACACCCCUCCAGAUNNNNNNNNNNNNNNNNNNNNNNNNNNNNNNNNNNNNNNNNNNNNNNNNNNNNNNNNNNNNNNNNNNNNNNNNNNNNNNNNNNNNNNNNNNNNNNNNNNNNNNNNNNNNNNNNNNNNNNNNNNNNNNNNNNNNNNNNNNNNNNNNNNNNNNNNNNNNNNNNNNNNNNNNNNNNNNNNNNNNNNNNNNNNNNNNNNNNNNNNNNNNNNNNNNNNNNNNNNNNNNNNNNNNNNNNNNNNNNNNNNNNNNNNNNNNNNNNNNNNNNNNNNNNNNNNNNNNNNNNNNNNNNNNNNNNNNNNNNNNNNNNNNNNNNNNNNNNNNNNNNNNNNNNNNNNNNNNNNNNNNNNNNNNNNNNNNNNNNNNNNNNNNNNNNNNNNNNNNNNNNNNNNNNNNNNNNNNNNNNNNNNNNNNNNNNNGAUGAACAGUACCCCCGUUUCGACCGUAGCGCUCCAACACAAGUCCGUUUCGUCCGUUUUGCGGUACGCCACACCCCUCCUGAUCAACAGGACCCCCGUUUCGACCGUAGGAGGUCCGUUUCCUCCGUUUUGUGGUACGCCACACCCCUCCCGAUCUACAGGACCCCCGUUUCGACCAUAGGAGGUCCGUUUCCUCCAUUUUGCGGCACGCCACACCCCUCUCGAUCAACAGGACCCCAUUCCGAACGUAGGAGGUCCGUUUCCUCCAUUCUGCGGUACGCCAGGCCUCAUUUCCAUCGCCUGUUCCGUCCAAGCCCUUCCGAUGAACACGACCACGCAUUCCGUUCCGACCCAGCUGGUUGGCUCCCCAUGAACACGACGAUGACGUUGUUUCUCCGUUCCGACCCAACCAUGUACGUAUGCGUGAGUAGGCGUUCGAGACCCCGCCCGUAUGUACACAUACGUGGCCGUAUUUUCUUUCUUGCACCCUGGCCGUUGUACGUACGUGUACAUGCUACGUGUGCGCCUCUACUACGACAUGUGCGUGCCGCUACAACGACCAGUAUGUACGUACAUGUUCGCGACCAGAAUGACAACGCUACGUACGCUUCGACCAGGUGGGUCCCGACUGUCACGCACUUCCUUGCGUGCGAACAUGUAGCUGGUGAGUCCCAGCAGUCAGGGGGGCGAAUCGUUUUUUUCGGACGCACUUCCUUGCGUGCGAAGAUGUAAUUGGUGGGUCCCAGCAGAUAGGGGAAACGUUAUUUUCGCUAAAUACGGUGGCCCGUCCGGUGGGUCCCCGCUGUCAGGUGGAGGAAUAAUUAUUUUGCGCGUAAUAAGGAGGCACUUCCUGGCUGCGGCCGUGGACCCAGCUGUCAGCCUCUCCACGUACAGUCCAUGUCUGAUGGAAGCCAUUCCUUGACCAUGUUGACCACGCCGCGCCGAGAGCACCAGGGCGGUGGACGACGGCGAGGCCUAGGAAGGGAACGACACGGAGCCAGGGAAGAUGCGGCAGUGGAUGCCCACACGUAGAGGAGUAUGAGGGUUCACUCGUUCGGCUGUGGUGUGAGGCUGCCAUCGCCGCAGAAUAACAGAGGGUGUGGGUGUGUAGAGGGAUGGCUUGGCCAGCGGUGGGAGUAGUAGGGGGCGGUGAGGCCUCCGUGGCAUCACAGCCGGCCACGGGCGGCAGGAGCAGGCGGCACGAUCGGCGCUGCUUUGGGCGGCUGGAGCAAGAAGACCAGAGGUUGAAGAAGCACUACGGCCGUUGGAUGGACAUCGUACGGUCACUGGAGCUAGAAUCGUUCAUAUAUUGACUAAAGUUUACAAAGGCCUCCGUUCCUGUCAACUUAGUAGGCCCACAAGUCAGCCUCCCACCAAGGUUGGUCCCAGCUAGCAGGGGGUAUUCAUUUUUUUGUAGGUAAUAAGGAGGCACUUCUGGUGGGUCCGAGCUGACAACGGGGGGGACGUUUUUUUCGCAAAAUACGGUAGCCCGUCCUGUGGGUCCCAGCAGUCAGGAAGAAGAAGAAGAAGAAGAAGAAGAAGAAGAAGAAGAAGAAGAAGAAGAAGAAGAAGAAGAAGAAGAAGAAGAUGGAUGAAGAAGAAGAAGAAGAUGGAUGAACUAUUUCCUCUCUUGUAAAAAAAAUUAUUGCCUCUCGGUGUAUAUUGAUACAGAUGGACAAUAUCGAUGGUGAGCAUGUAUUUGGAAUAGAGUAGUAGCAUGGGUCUGCUUGACUAUAAGGAACUAUUUAUCCGCAUAUAUAGCUUCCUCUGCUACUCCUUCCAAUGAUCGGUAUGCAGUGCAUGUGUCCGUAGACAUGACAGCUUGUCCAUGGAAGUUCAACUACGGCGACCAUCAUGUUUCAUCUCGCGAUUCCCACGAUACCUCUCCAACCCACGGCACCACGCCCCCCGACAUGCGCCUCACCCCGGGUUAGGAUCCUCUGCAGUAGCCCACCAUGCAGUAUGGUCACUGCCGUGUGGACCCGACCCCACAUGUCAUCGUCACUACAGCACCAUACAGUACUGUAGAGGAUCUCAGCCCACUCACCCCUCUCGGCCGCACCGCCCCUCUGCCCUUGUGUGCAUGACAUGUGGGCCACCUAAAAUGCGGCGAACAUCAAGUUUCUACCACAGCCACCCGCGAUUCCCACGACGCCGCUCGAACCCAUGAAACCACACGUCCCUCGAUCUGCGGCUCACCCCUCUUGGUCCCACUGCCCCUCUGCCUUCGGGAGCAUUACAUGUGGACCAGUCACCUAUCGGGUCCACAUGUUAUUGACUCAAAGGUAGGUGUAGUAAGGUGCUGAAGCUUAGUCCCGACGGCCCUGAGAGGGAAAUGUAACUCCUGCGCCAGGGCUUGUGGUGCUCCCGCAGCACGAACUCAUGCCAAACUCGAGAUUUGUUUCUUUACUAUACAUGCACGCAAUGAUUUAUGGACAUUGUAAUCUCAACAUGUGAUGGGGAGCUCUAAAUUUGAAUUUGAAACUUAUAAAAUGAAAAGAUUCAAAACAAAUAAACUGGGAGAGAGGGAGUAUAUCGUAGGAUGUGUCCCAUACAAAAUAAGUCCCCUGGUUUGUCACUGCGAAGAUGCGGUUAGAAAGGAGCACAUCGUCUUCCUACUCGUACGGCAACAAAUCGGCCGCAGACAGCAUGGUCUGCCUUUGACCGCCAUGUGCAAGGUUCGUGCUAUCUUUUAUUCAAUCUCACCGUGGUUCCAUCGUACCAAUUCAUGCGGUGGCCUGUUGCAUGGUUGAUCCCAAUGUUGGACAAAGGUUCUACGGGAACGGUGUCACCGUUGUAAAUGUUGUGCAAAUUGAUGUUGGUACCCUCCCGUACAUAUGCAAGCCAAUCUCCACUCGCACCGGGCCUAGCCUGUGAAACAGUGGGCAGGGGGAGAAUUAGGAAAUGGACACGGAAGUAGUGUUUAGAAUGCAUUUACUACAUGAUCAAACUCAUCUUACCUGCUCAUCGUGCGUUCCACGGAACAUCAAGAUGCAUUUGUAUGAGUAGUUUAUAUUGUGAGAGAAAAGGAUGAAUGAGGGAAGGCCUCUAGAGAUAGAGAUGGACACUACUACUACCAAUGUGCUGGCCCGUGCGUUGCAAUGGAUCCAAACUAGUAGAAUAAUACUUGUUCACGUGCUUGAAAUAUAAACACUCUAGUUUUGAUAUACAUGUGUCAGCAGACACGACAGCUUGUCCAUGGAAGUUGAUCCACGGCAACCAUCACAUUUCUUGUUUCUACCACUGCCACACCCACACGUGAUUCCCAUGACGCCGCUCCAACCCACGGCAUGACGUCCUCCGGCGUGGACAUGGAUCCUCUGACGUGGCUAUCACUGCCUUGCCCUGCCUUUCCUUCGCUGACAGGUGGGACCCAUGCUUAUGGGUCCCACAUGUCAGUGACAGAAUGGUAGGAUUGUUCGUGCCCCUCAUCCCUCUCGGCCCCACCGCUCCUCUGCCUUUGUGUGCAUGACAUGCGGGCCAGCUGAACUACGGCGACCAUCAACUUUCUACCACAGACACACCCGAUUGGACGCGGUUUGCCUGCUCUGCUGCUGUGCUCCGAUCCGUACUCCCGCACCAUCGAAUUUUCAUCCAGCGGUUGUGACCCAUUUUGUCCCGGGCAUCAAUCCUUAACUGGAGUACUUAGGGCAUGUACAAUGGUUGAUAAGAUAGUCUUAUCUUAAGUCUUGCAUGUAAAUUAGAGAUGACAAAAAACAUGUCUACAAUGGGUCAUUUCUUAGCCUUAUCUUCAAUAAUUAUCUGUUCCUAAAAACAUGGUGAGACAAAUUGUGCUAAGAGAUCAUCUCUUGUCUUCUCUUAAAUAAGAGAAGACAAGCCUUAUCUUACGAUUUCUCUCUCCUCCACCUCAUGAUUUAUCCUACGUGGCACUGUUAAGAUAGAACCAUUGUACAUGCCCUUAUGUACUACAGGUAGUACCCAUCGGUGUGGCCAUCUACGCCUCGUAACGCCCCGACGCCCAGCUGUAGUACCCUCGCCACGGCCACGCCACCACCGGCCGGUUCAUCUCGAACGAGUGAGUCACAAACCACGCCACCACCAUGAGAAUGACAUGUGGACCAGCCGCAUUUAAGGCCCGCAUGUCAUUGACUCAUAGGUCGGGCACUAAGCCACUGAAGUUCGGUCCCGUGGGCCCCAAGAGGGAAAUGUAACUCCUGCGACAGGCCUUGUGGUGCUCCCGCAGUACGAGCUCGUGCCAAAACUGGAAUUUGUUUCUUACUACUACCAACUAGUACUAGUAAGGUACACGUGCAUUGGACGCAUGAGAUUCUGGUGGUUCGUGCAUUAUGCUUCUACAUGUGGAGUUUUCUGGAUUCUAACAUGUGGCAAAAUCUGGUGGAAUGUAAGGUUAGGCAAGUUUGAUUAACUUAGGUGAGUGUUUGGUUCAAGCCACACCUUAGGCAAGCCACACUGGCCCCACAUGACAUACACACACAAAAUGUGGCAAGAUUCCCUUAGGCUUGCCAACUUGUGGCUCUCAUUUUGAAGAACUUAUUAAUAACUUUACCUGAGCUUAGUUGUGGCAAAGUUAGUCAUGAAUUAAGUUCAACCAUGGAGUCUUCUAGAUUAUACAUGUGGCAGAAUCUGGUGGGUGAUAUCCAAUGGCCAGUAGUGCUCGGAUUUGCCAUCUUUGUACCGUCGGAUUGGCUUCAUCCAACGACCAACUUUCAAAGUUUUUCACACACUAUAUAGGGGGUAUAGAUAUAGAUGUGCCAGUCCGUUGCAAUGUAUCCAAAGUAUAUCUAUUUAGUGGAGUGCAACCAAGCCACAUAAGCUUCAUGGGUGCCCCCCACAUCAUAUUAUUCAUACUACGUUGAUUGAAGAAAAGAUAAAUCACCCAAAACAAGAUCUUCCCGUUUUUUGUUCCUACGAUGUUGUGCCAUGCACGUAUCUACUAGUUGUAUAGUGGUAGUACUAGUAAUAUAGUAUUAGGAGUACAAACUUGGUAACUACUAGUAGGAGUAGUACUAGUACGGAAUGCUCCUACUCUAUCAACGAGCCCCGUCUGACACAAAAUUUCUUGGCUUCUGUGCUACAGCUAGAUCUUUCCCUUGUUUCUGUUUUCCAACCCGGCGGCGGGCGGGGUGUUGGUUUGCUCAACGGGCGGUCCCACAUGAAAGUGAAAAUGCUAGGCACAGGGGCGGAGCUACGUGAGGGCCAACACGUGCCCUGGCCUGCCCAACCUAGCAGGAUUUUCAUAGUUGUACAUCCAGUUUUGAGGCAUGGAACGUCAACGCAAGGGUAAUUUCUAUAGCCUGGCUAGACUGGCACGCCCAACAUUUUGCUUCAAGCUCCACCACUGCUAGGCAACACGCCUUCCCUAAGCUAUGUGUCGUGCCGGACGGGCCGUGUUGUACUCCCUAUUCCCGGGAGUGUGGGGGUACGACGCGAAUGUGGCAGGCCUUUUCCUUUUACUAGCAAUGUGCCCGUGCGUUGCGACGGAUCCAAAGUAGUAGAAUAGUAGUAUUUGUUCACAAACUUGAAAGAAAUCACUAUUGUUUUGAUAUACUCCUAAUAUAUUACUCCCUCCGUACCCAAAUAUUUGUCUUUUUUGAGAUUUCAAAUGGACUAUCACAUACGGAUUAUAUAGACAUAUUCUAGUGUUUCUAGCAAGAUGCCCGCGCAUUGCACAAAGUUGAUGGAAAAGGUAAGCACAACUUAUAAAUUGACGGAUGGAGUACUAGUUACAGUGAUGCAUAUAAUUAAGUAAAGGGAUCUCACAUGUCGGUAUUGACUAUAACGAGAAUGCAACAACACAAUAAGAAUUAAGGCCACGGUGAUGCUAUCGCAGUGGUGGUUACACAAGGCAAGAAGAAAGAUGGAUCCACGAACGUACGACCUCCUCCUCCUCAACUUAGUGCGCCGGGCCACCGACCGGCGGCUAAGGAGCGGCGGCUUUUGUGGCGAGGUCGAGGUGCUUCUCAACAAAGGCAUCCAAGGCUUCCAGCCGGUUGAGGAAGGCCAAUGUCGUAGCGUCCUCACUGGCCUUGUAGAUACCUAUGUGCACAAUUUGCUCGUACGCGUGGAUGUGUAGGUCGACGAAUUCUUGCAGGGCAAGGCGCCUCGCGGCGAGCGCGACCUCUAGGUGGACAUUCUUCAUGGCGUCGGCGGGCAGUCGCAGGGCCACCAGUGCUUGAAAGAGGUUCCGGCCAUGGAGGCCGAUUAGGGUGGCACGCAAUGAGGAGCCCGGGCGCACGGGCUGGAGGAGUACGACGAUGUCGUCCGCGAGCUUCUUAAGGACGGUGAACUUGUUGCUGGUGGCAACGAUCAUCUGGUCCAACUAAGAGUCAUAGUUGGCGUCGACGGCGGCCAUCCACCAGCCGGUCUCCAACACCGUCUGGAGACGAUCCUCGGCGCCAUGCCGCAGGCCGGCGUCGUGGACCAUCUGGCGCAGCCGCUGGCCGCUCACGCGCAUCGCCGCCAUGGGUCUGGAGCGAGCUCUUUUGCGCUUAGUGUAGGUGCUUAGGCAAGUGCUUAGGUGCGUACGAUGUGGUAGAUGCAUUGGAAUGGAGGAGGGGCGGCUUUAUAUGAGGGCAAUGAGGGCAAACUGCAUUGCAUUCACAUCGUGCAGCCUCUUUUCCUGGAACUCCUCUCAUGCAUUAAUUGAAGGAGGAUGCAUUGGCCGUUCAACAUAUCGGGAACCGCUACUCCCUCCCUCGUCUGCAUUAAAGGUGUACCGGGAACUGUGCCGCCCGCUGUCAAAUCGAAUACUCCCUCCAUCUAGAUGAGUAUUAAGUCAUCUUACGAAAACCAAAUACUAGUAGAGGAAUCAUCCAAGAAGAGAUGUGGGGCUUGUAUGCUUUUAAUGACUUGAGACUAUCAAACAUGACAUGAAGUGGUCAGUUCGUUGCACAAGAACAAAUACAAACCACGUUAGCACACACGCAUCUUAUAGCAUCACAUCCAAUGGCUAUAAAAGAUGAAUGAGACCAAGGGGCUGUUUGGUUCUAGGCCUUGCAUUGCCACACUUUGCCAAAUAUUUUUGCCAAGCUUGCCUAAGGUUAGUUCAUCAAAAUGAGAGCCACAAGUUGGCAAGCCUAAGGGAAUCUUGCCACACUUUUUGUGUGUAUGCCAUGUGGGGCUCUAGUGUGGCUUGCCUAAAGUGUGGCUUGAACCAAACACUCACCUAAGUUGGUCAAAUUUGCCUAACCUUAGGUGUGGCAACCUUUGGCAAAGUUAGUCACAAACCAAACAGCCCCCAAAUUAUAUCUCAUCUAGAUGAGUUCUAGCAAAACUGUAUUAAUAAUACUUAGUACUCCUGCGCCAUGUAUCAUAUAAGUACCAUGUAGUACUUUAUUUAUUGUCAUGUAUGACACAUAGUUCACGGGCGCUCUCUAUAUGUACCACCUUUUUUUUAAUUUCAAGUUUUGCUUCAUGGCGCAAUCCAUCGAUACUACUACUGUACAAAAGUGGAGUAUAUACAUUUUUUUAAAGGCUAGAGGGCGGGGCAGUCUAGCUCGGUCGGUUUCACGAGAGGCGAGGGCCUUUGUGAUUUGACGGCUCAUUAAUGCUGUCAAAUCAAAUAGUACUGCGCCACCCGCUGCACGCCCGGCGCCUCCAUUAAACCCCUCCGUUAAACCCGCAUGCAAACCGAGAAUCCUACUCCGGCCACACGUUCGUUCAUAAGCGGGCCGGAAUUAAACGCAACACCGGCCGAGCUCCUCCCGUCCGCCCUCAGUUUAAACGAGGCCAGACGCCGGCCAAGCUCCUACCGUCCGCCCUCUAUUUACACGAGGCCAGACAGACAGCGGGCAAGAAUCGCACCCCUCCGCCGCUCCCCCAUCUCCUCCUUCACCAUUUUCUCGACCCUUCCGAUGGCUUCCGAUGAGCCGUUCUCCGGCAUAUUACCUGGCUGGGUGGCCCACCGAGCCCUCCGGAUACGGGCGAGGCCGCUCGGUGCUUCACCAACCUCCCUUGGCCCGACGGAGCCAGUUGCCGCCCCAAGCAGGCGCGUGGUUCAGCAACUCGCCGCUCCAGUUCAGCUCGAUGAGGAGUGGCGAGUUGCUCCAUGCCGGCACGCGGCGAGCACGCCGGUACGGGCGUCGUCGCUGCCGCGUCGUACCGCGCCACCAGUGUCUGCGGGGGUCGCGCCUCCCGUGUCUUUGGGCGCGCCUCUCGUGCCUGCGGCAGCGCCAUGCAGGCAGAGACAAAAGCCGGGUGCGUGGAGAGCGAUGAGUCGGUGGCCAGCUUCUCCGUGACCACCGCCAUCAUCGAGGAGAAGUAGAACACGGGAGGCCGCCGCCACUUGGGACCCAUGAAGGCCACCGCCGAGGCGACGACUGUGGAUUCAGGUGGUUUCUUUGCUGCUUCAUCUCUUUCGAGGACCUUCAUCAACCCCGCAAGUGUCUGACGGACAUGAGGAAGACAAAGGGAUCCGCGGGCGGCCAUUUAGAACUAAAAUAAGUCUAGAUAUAUCCAUUUCUAGGACAAGUAUUUCCGGACGGAGGGAGUAUUAAUUAUACAAGAGAGCCGGAUUGGCACCUCUUAGUUCAUGUAAAUGUAAUGAAAUCCAUCAUGUUUAUAUGAAGAUCCGGCUUUUUUAUACGAAAUCCUUCAUGCUUAUAUGAAAUCAGUCCGUGUUUGCACAAAUUUCAUCUGGUUGGUUAGAGUUGUAAAAAUGUAUGCCGUUGGCAUUUGAUGUCGUCCUCCGCGGAAGGAAGCGGGAGGAAAUUUGCCGGCUGCCGUUGGAGAUGCUCUUUAUGCUGGAAAUAAUAGAGUGACAUCCAAUCCAUUUGAGUUAAUUGCCUGUAUGAUUGUCCCUCUAUAAAAAGUUAAUUGCAUGUACAGUGUACAUGUGACUUGCAGGGUGGCUACAGCUUCGUACAGAAAGUUAAAAAGAAACAAGUCCAUCCUUAAUAUUCUUAGUACUCUGUGGGUUCCACUGUCAGUAUAGUAGCGAAAGAAGUAUAUAUUAAAUAAGUAGAGUAAUAUAUAAUAUACAAAUCUAAAGUUAAAAGACAGAAUUCAAACUCAUGUCAUCGCAUUGCGAGCAUCCGGCGCUAACCAGACCAGCACAUUUUUGUUGUAGACCAUACUGGAGAUAUAUCUCCAUGUCUACUCUUAUAUAUACUCCAUUCAUUCCUAAAUAUUUGUCUUUUUCAGAUUUCAAAUGGACUACCACAUACGGAUGUGUAUGUAGACAUAUUUUAGAGUGUAGAUUCACUCAUUUUGCACGUAUGUCUUUUCAGGAAGGGGUCAGAUUUGUCCUUGAUUUAUUUAUGAGGUAUCCAGAUGGCACUGCACUGCCAAGAAAAGAGGGUAACAUCAAAAUUAUGGACUACUUUUUUGAGUAUGUUGGUAAGGUCCGGUCAUAGUCACUUGUUGAAAUCUCUAAAAAGACAAAUACUCCCUCCGUCCGGAAAUACUUGUCAUCAAAAUGGAUAAAAGGAAAUGUAUCUAGACGUAUUUUAGUUUUAGAUACAUCUAUUUUUAUCCAUUUUGAUGACAAGUAUUUUCGGACGGAGGGAGUAGAAAAUAGAGUUGGUGAUGAUGGUGUGCGUGCCAUCCAGCAAUAUAGGCCGUUGGAUUUAUAUCUAACGGAUAGGAAAGAAACUAUGGCAAUUUUGCAAAAAUAUACCCACACGUCUCUCCACGUUCGCAAAUAAGGCCUACCCUCGUUCAGCCUUUUCUCUCACAAGAUAAACUACUCAUACAAUUGCAUCUUGAUGUUCCGUGCAACGCACGAGCAGCUAGCUAAUUUCUUUUAAAAUAGUUGCUGCGAUAAUUGGGUUGAAGUGAUAUAUUUUAUGUCUGCCCCAAAUGAUUUCAGAUUCACUAGUAGUAACAAAGAAAAGGUUGCCUUGUUAAUUAACAGAAAACAGGGUGAAAACUCUCACAUGAGGCCGGUAAAUACAAGGCACACUGGGUUCGGCGUCAUCGUCACUACAGCUGUGCGUGCGUGAGAAGUCUACAUAUCGAGGGGGCUACCGAGCGAGGCACCGGGACACAAUGUUUGAGAGAGAAACCAAUUGAUAGAUUAUGAUCAGAUCGAAUUGUCACCCUUCUGCUAUCAUUGUUGGGGGGGAGGGACAGAAAGCCGUAUCGAGAGUGCGCGCGGUAGGCACAGAGGCACAACUAGCGAGUGUGUGUGUGUGUGUGUGUGUUUGAAAGAGGAGUCAAUAGAUUAUUAUCAAGAUCGAUGUGCCACCCUACUCCUUCGGUGCCGGGUAGUGUGUGUGUAUGUUUGAGAGAGAAUCCAGUCGAUAGAUUAGUAUCAAGAUCGAGGUGUCACCCUACUCCUUCGGUGCCGGGUAGUGUGUGUGUGUGUAUGUUUGAGAGAGAAGCCAGUCGAUAGAUUAGUAUCAAGAUCGAGCUGUCACCCUACUCCUUCGGUGUUGGNNNNNNNNNNNNNNNNNNNNNNNNNNNNNNNNNNNNNNNNNNNNNNNNNNNNNNNNNNNNNNNNNNNNNNNNNNNNNNNNNNNNNNNNNNNNNNNNNNNNNNNNNNNNNNNNNNNNNNNNNNNNNNNNNNNNNNNNNNNNNNNNNNNNNNNNNNNNNNNNNNNNNNNNNNNNNNNNNNNNNNNNNNNNNNNNNNNNNNNNNNNNNNNNNNNNNNNNNNNNNNNNNNNNNCACAUAUCUCUACUCUUAUAAAAAACAGAGUUGGUGAUGAUGGUGUUCCUGCCAUCCUGCAAUAUAGGCCAUCCGAUUUAUAUCCGACGGACAGGAAGGAAAAUAUGGCAAUUUUGCAAAAAGAUACCCACACCCCUCUCCGCAUUUGCAAAUAAGGCAUUCCCUCAUUCAUCCUUUUGUCCCACAAGAUAAACUUCUCAUACAAAUGCAUCUUGAUGUUCCGUGCAACGCACAUGGGCAUCUUGCUAGUAGGGAGAAGGAGUUUGUGUGACACAUAUCUAGCUAUAUUAAGGGAUAGGUAGAUAGCAUAUGUGUGAGAGACAUUAUUAUACUUUGAGACAUUAGUGGCUAUGGGUGGGCGGAAUUAAAGGGGUGGGCGUGUUAGACAUAGAGAGCGUGUGUGUUUCUGUGUGAGAGACUUGUAGGACGGGGUAGAAAGACGAAUUUAACCCUGGCGGAGGGAGAGAAAUACACAAAGUGCGCGUGCGUGAUUCCGAUGCCCAUAGGGAAAUGAGAUAUGUAUGGUGUGAGAGAGAUUGCACAAUUCAUUCACGCAUCACUAUCUAGCGAUCCUGGACGUGCAUCGCUUGAACAUAAGUCAACAUCUACUUCGUAUCGUGGCCAAAGGUACAAUACUGAUUCAAUGCUAUAAAGAUUGGACACUCACAUAUGACAUUUUUUUCUAUUUAAAUAAACCUUUUUAGUUGUGCAUGCCAAAGUUACAGUGAUGUUUCUUCAAACAACCAAUGUAGCUAUCAUGCACAUGCACCAUUGUUACUCUUGCAUUCAAAUUCAUUAGUCUUGGAUGAUUUAAGUUUCUAUUUUGAAGUAAUAUAUGUAAUAUUCAUAUAUGAAUUCAACGGGUACGCAAUUUAUGAAAUGGAGGCUAUGUAAUCAUAUGAGGUAACACUUUUAAGUAGCUAACUACAAUAUCCAUUUCUUUUUGUGCGCCUCUACACUAACACGUCAAUGCAUUAUGUUUAAAGUAAAUAACCAAUGGCACUAAAUUAUCUAUUUACACGAGAAAUACAUAGGCUGAGCGUUUGAUCCCUUUUUUGUGAAUGCGCCACUACACCCAUACGAUUGGUCGUGCCCGUGUGAAUGUCCAAGUUAUCGGCGCAUCAUCCCGAGUUAUUGUCUUUUUUUCUGGAGUGGACUUCACACCAGUUGUUAAAUGCUGACGCGUGCCCCGUGUACAUAGUCUAGCAUGACCUUCCCGCUAGCACGGUCCAAAAUUAGUUGAAACUGGAUAUGAACGAUCCCAUGGGCGGCAAAAUCUCCCGCCUCCUUCUAAAAUUUCCGCCACCUUAGUCUUUAGCAUGUGAAAUCCCCCUUUUGUCCUUGGUGCACGAAGACCAACAAUUACAAUACCGCCCUCAUCUACAUGAUAGGUGGGGGUUGCUUUGGUAACUUCCGGUUCCCCCCACUACACGGCACCCCCAUUUCCUCUCCCCCUCCCGCAAAAAUGACUAACUCCACAGCACCAGAGCAUCUUACAUCACGCCGUCCGUACUUCAUCGCCCUUUCUCCCCUCCCCUCUCGAAACCCUAGACUGCUCAUCCACCGGCGUACCAUAGCCCAUUCACUGCCAGCGGCGUCCACCUCGCCGAAUCUGCUUCUGCGGCCGCAUCUACCCCUCCCACCUCCCCUAGAAACAAGUAGACUGCUCAUCCACCACUGUACCACAGCCCAUUCAGUGCCGGCCUUGUCCACGGCGCCGGAUCUGCUCCGCCGGUACUCUCAUCAACCGCCGCGCAUCUGCAGCGGCUCGUUCGUACUCGCCAUCGGAGACGCUUCGUCCACACCCCCCGAAGCCGCCCCACCGACGCCCCCGUCGACGGCCUCUGAUCCUCUUCGCCGACACCUUCCUCAACUCUACCGGAGCCGCUUCGCCGACACCUUCCUCAACCCUACCGGAGCCGCUUCGCCGACACCAGCAUCAACCCUACCGGAGUAGCAUCGCCUAUACCAUUCUCAACCCUACCGGGGCCGCUUUGCCAACUCACAAGUCCACGGCCUCAGAUCCGCUUCCUCGCACCCUCAUCCAACCUACCGGAGCAGCUUUUGACGCCCCGUCCAUGGAAGCAGAUCCGCAUCGUUGACACCACCCUUAACCCAACCACCGGAGCAGCUUCUGAUGCCCCGUCCAUGGUCGCAGAUCCGCAUAGUCGACACCAUCCUUAACCCAACCACUGGAGCAGCUUCUGACGCCCCGUCCACAGCCGCAGAUCCGCGUCGUCGACACCAUCCUUAACCCCACCACCGGAGCAGCUUCACCUACGCCCUCGUCCACGGCCACAGAUCCGCUUAGUCCACCCUACUGGAGCCGCUCCACAAACACCCUACUCGAUGGUUCUAGAUCUCCUUAACGAACCCCGACAGCCAGCGCAGCGUCAUCACCCUCGACGUUUCUAACCUGAUUCCCACCGNNNNNNNNNNNNNNNNNNNNNNNNNNNNNNNNNNNNNNNNNNNNNNNNNNNNNNUCCAUGGUCGCAGAUCCGCAUAGUCGACACCAUCCUUAACCCAACCACUGGAGCAGCUUCUGACGCCCCGUCCACAGCCGCAGAUCCGCGUCGUCGACACCAUCCUUAACCCAACCACCGGAGCAGCUUCACCUACGCCCUCGUCCACGGCCACAGAUCCGCUUAGUCCACCCUACUGGAGCCGCUCCACAAACACCCUACUCGAUGGUUCUAGAUCUCCUUAACGAACCCCGACAGCCAGCGCAGCGUCAUCACCCUCGACGUUUCUAACCUGAUUCCCACCGUCUGGAGAGAUGCCAAGCACCAGCCACGGCCUAGGUACUUGUCACCUUUAAACCCGUCCAGCAUCACCUGCCCGAUGUACUUCAAAUAUACUAACCGGUCGCUGUUACCUGUUAUGCAGCUGGCAAAAACUACAAGGACGAUGUUUCUUCUGGAUGUAACAGCUUGGCCAACCAAGAUCCUGGACUGAGGCAUUGCUAUGAUCUUGUAAGCGCGUCUCUCUCUCUCUCUUGUAUUGUUCUGUGCCUGCCAGCGUGCUUUGCUAGGAUUUUCGACCAGUAAUCCCUUUGUGCAGACAAUGAUUUCUGCUACUGGCUGCUAAAUUAGAUAUGUAGAUGUCAUACAUGAUACUACCUCGUACCUCCAUUCCUAAAUAUAGGUCUUUCUAGAGAUUCCACUCUAGGCUACAUACGGAGCAAAAUGAGUGAAUCUACACUCAAAAAUGCAUCUUUAUACAUCUAUAUGUGGUCCAUACUGGAAUCUCUACAAAGACAUAUAUUUAGGAACAGGGGCAGUACAUUACACAAAAUCGUAGGUGGCAUGUAGGAAUUCCAAUGCACUACAUUAGGCUGCCUUAGAGUGCCUGCCAGUCCAGCAUAUAGAGUCAUGGCUAGUUUAUGGUACGCACACAAUCGUUAAUUGGUGGUUUAAAUAUGCGCAAGGGAUAUGCAAUGUAGUAUCAUGUAGAUAUGUCUGAAAUUAGCCGUGUCAACUUGCAGAUAGGGUUACACAAUAAAAAAGUACAAGAUGUACGUGGCAAUUUCAUGGAACAUCACAAAAAAAGGAGAGGCAGCGAUGAGCCUAUACAGUGUGCUAUGGUACGUCACUCCUCCAUUGCAAUCAUCGUGACAUGUUAUUUGUAUGCCAGUUCUAUUAGCCAAGUUUCUUAGGGACGGUUAUUAUGAGUUAUCCUAAGAAAAUAAGCACCUGUGAAUAUAAGCUCCAUGUAAUACGCCAACCAGUUCUUUUCAUUGCGUUUUCAACUUAUCUUUGGUAUGAUCAGUGGAAAGUCUAGAUUGCAUUAUAUAUAUUUUUCAUUUUGCUACCCAUAUGGAAAUUAAUUUGACUGGCAAACAUCACAAAUUGAACCCAGUGCAGUAAUUAAUAUGAUAGGAAAACAAACCAUCACUAUUUGCUCAAAAUGCAAAUACAAAGAUACCAUCUACUUGGCACAAUCUACUUUGGUCAAUGUUUUCCAUAGAGAUCCCAUUGCCUAAUUUAAACGAAGAACGCAUGACCCACAUUUAAAUGAAGAACAAUUAUUUAUUGAAAUUCGAUGGUCCAAGUGGCUGGUUAUUAUCAUAUAGCAGCACCACCUGAAAGCAUCAUAUAGCAGCAGCAGCAGCUCAUAGCAACUCAUCAUACAACAGCAGCAGUCUGCAAUUCAUCAUAUACCAGCAGCAGCUCAUAGCAAUUCAUCAUAUAGCAGCAGCAGGAGCAGCUCAUAGCAAUUCAUCAUAUAGCAGCAGUAGGAGCAGCUCAUAGCAAUUCAUCAUAUAGCUGCAGCAGGAGCAGCUUGUAGCAACUCAUCAUAUAGCAGCAGCAGCAGCUCAUAGCAAUUCAUCAUAUAGCAGCAGCAGCAGCUCAUAGCAACUCAUCAUACAGCAGCAGCAGCUCAUAGCAAUUCAUCAUAUAGCAGCAGCAGGAGCAGCUCAUAGCAAUGCAUCAUAUAGCAGCAAUAGAAGCAGCUCAUAGCAAUUCAUCGUAUAGUGGAUCAGAAUGAAAAUUUGGCAAAAAAUCAGAGGAGAUCCUCACCUUGUUGGAUGAGCUCAUCCUUCAACAGCACCUCAAGGCCAUGACCUGGGAGGAGGGGAGCGGGAACAAGGUGCUUUCUGCCGUAGUGUGGCAUCAGCCGUAGUUGUGCAGCGCCCGCCGGAGUAGUGCGUUGGACAAACCACAGUGGAGCAGCUGCUGGAGACCAUGAGAAUGAGCGUCGGCGCCAGACGGAGGAGCAACCAGGGAAAUUUGCCCCUACCCGCCGGCCAUGUAGCCUAGCUGGACAUAGCAUCAUCGAGGACCAGGCCAGAUGGGACUAGUGGCGACGGCUCGCUGGAGGAACCCUAGUGCUGCAGGCAGGGGAUCGAGGUAGAGGGAAAGGGGAGAGGAGAUGCAAGUGGGCAGGGCAAUGAAUGCUUGCGUGUUUGUUUUUAUUUGAGGGUCAGGUGUGACACAGGCGUCAGCAGUUGCAUUUUGAGUGUAAUAUAGGCAGACAACAGAGUCAUUUCACUAUUCCCCUUCCCUUCAAUUUUUAGUGAGGUUCUACCCGAAACACCCCCCUCCAAAGCGAAAUUAGUUAAGCCCAAGGCCAUAACUCAAAAAUGACUUCUUUACAUCUUUUAUGGCUUAUUUUGACAAUAUACCGUGAAAAGGCGGAAUCGAACUGGCCCUUAACCUGCAAUUCAAUUGUGCGUGCAAUGAUGAAUCGCUCCUGCUUGCUAUCUGUACAUUUAGGCAUCAUCAUACACGGCAUAACCUAAUACAUGUGCAUUCCAUUGUAGAAUCUAGAAUAUGCAAUGUUUGUGUUAGUUCAUACGUUGCACAUGAUGUUUAAAUGCCCCUUAAAUCUGGUCAGUCAAGUGAUGGUCUUUAAGCCUCCUUCUUUGCUUCUUUUUUUGAUAUGUAAGAUUUGCGCACACAUCUGUUCAAUUGCUUGUUUGCAUCAGCCAGCCAUACUAGGAUUGUUUGCUUUGAUUACUUGCUGUUCUUGACCUAACACUCUAAUAGAGCUUGUCAACGAUUUAAACACUAAGGGCUGCUGUAGUGGGGCCUUGUCUAACUCAUAGGUGACAUAAAGGUUUGGCUGUACACUACAGUAGGCUCUCCAAGAGUAUCUGGAGAUCCAGUUCGAAGGUAUGCCUAGUUUUUACAUAGUGCAGACAUAGUAAAUGCUCAUUUCAUUGUGUGCAAGUGCAAGAUAUGCGGCAUGUUUCAUUAUGUGGUGUUGUUUUGUUAUAAUCUCAUCCUUUUGUGUUCACAGACUAGAAAGUAUGCAUAUUUAUCUUCCAAGGAGACGAGUAACUAGUUUGUGUCACCUUGCAGAGGGGGUGCGAUGAAGAUAAGAUUGAGGAUUUCCAAGUACAAGAUGUUAGGAAGGAGCCUUGCAAGAGAAGUAGGAGCUGCGCUGAGCCUCUUCAACCUGCUAAGGUAAGUCACUGUAUGCAACUCAACAGUUUAAUUCCUUGUUUGUUUCAGGCAUAGUUAAUUUUCUCUUUUUAAUUGCUUUAUUUGUCCUCACUUAAUGAGAUGCCCAAAUAAUUAUGCCUGAUGUUCGGAACUUGUAUCACUAUUAGUUGACAUAAUUAAAGGCCUUACCAUUUAAUUACUCUGCCGAAGUGUGCCUAAAGCUUUGAAGUCUAUUAACCAACUAUUAUUGCAUGAGGCUAACAAUCUAGUUUAUACUACGCUAAUGAUUGCAUAGUUUUGCCUGAUGUAGUAUAUUUGUAUGAAACCAUCUGCUGUUCAUUAUGCUCCCUAAGACUUUAAUUGAGGUACAGAAUGGCCAACUGCUUGCUUACUUAUACGCAACGUGCUAUCUAAAUUUGUAACUUGUCUGUGUUUUCGAUUGGGCCCCAACAUCAUGCUCCUCUGGUGAGCUAAGAGGGAUUUCUGUAUGCAGGCUGCACAGACUAUCUUUUUUAUAAUUUUUAAAAUAUCACCUGCUUAUGCUUCAUGACAUGUAACAUUAUUGUUAGUCCUGUUCUACCAUGUAGUACAAAAUAGUGUCUUGUUCGCUUCACUGUUGUAACUAUAUUUUUGCCCUAGUCAUGUGUACUUACAGAAACAUUUCAGGAUGAAGUGACAUCAACACAAAAAUCUGCGAGCAGUGCGGCAUGGCCGUUAUCGAAUGAUUAUGGAUUGAAACUGGAAUGUGCUGAUGUUCUCGAGCAUCAACUAGAGGUGGCAAGACAACGUGUACAUGAUUGUCAACGUAUAAUCAACAAGUUGAGACUGGACAUGCAGGUAUUAGAUGCAGGAGUCAAAAAAUGAAACAAGACACCGAGGUAACCAUGAAGGCAUUGGAGAUUUUGCAGACUGAAAUUUGUGCUAUCUGAAUCCAGCCAAUCCUAUUUUCUGAAGAGAUUAUAGUUCAAAUGGAGUUAAGUUGAUGCGUGUCCAUGAUGUAUGAGCCGUAUUUGCCCAGUGUAUGUAAUUUGCUGUUUGUGUAUGCUUUAUUAUCACCUGUGUCGUACCAUAAUGCCCAGUGGGUAUAAUCGGCUGUAAUUUCUUUAUUGUAUUAUGUAGGAUUAUUCUACCUUUCUAUGCCUUGAUCUCUUUGUUGUAUAGUGUAUGCUUUUUAGAGGUGAUAGUAUUGAGUAGGAUAAUUCUUCGAAUAUGUUAUAUCAUUCAAAUGGGGGCCAACUCGCCCGACCAUGGGCCUUCUACGUCUCGUAGGAUCCAUGGGCCUUCUACGUCUCGCAGGAUCAUUGGCCUUCUACGUCUCACAGGAUCCAUGGGCCUUCUGCGUCUCACAGGAUCCAUGGGCCUUGUACGUCACGUAGGAUCCAUGGGCCACCGACUCAUUUAUGGGUCUUGUACUGGCCUUUAAUGGGCCGUAGACGGGCCUAUAAUGGAAAUCAUACGUUUUAUGGGCUGACCAUAACGGGCCGUUAAUAGGCUGUAUUUGGUGAUGCUAUGAAAAUGGCCCAACAGACUAACAGACCACAAAAGGGCCGACUGUAACGACGGGUUGAAUUUGGCCCACAAGAAGAAAAAGACAGUAACGGGCCAUAAGUAACCGAAUGCUGCAAAUGAGCCCAAGAAUAAAUGGGCUCUGAGAAGGCCGAAAGAUAACAUGGGCUGGAGACGGCCCAACGGAAUAACGGGACCUUAAUGGGUAUAAAGUGAUACACUGUUCAUUACAGGCCAGUUUCACCACGGGCCGUUAAUGGGUCUAAAGUGAUACACUGUUCAUUGCGGGCCAGUUUCACCAUGGGUCGUUAAUAGGCCAAGAGUUACAUAGGGCCUCAUAUGGGCCGAAAGACGUCAUGGGCCAUACAUGGGCCAGAAGUGAAAACGGGCUGGAAUAAUAUUGGAUGGCCCAGAUGACGCUACUGGUCCUAAUUCGGAUAGGGCGUAACGGGCCUUGGGUUAGCGGGCUGUAAAUGGGCUAUAUGCGAACAGGCCUUAACAGGCUUUCCAUGGGCUGGCCCGUCACCUUUUGAACAAGUCAAACGGGCCGGCCUUUUCACAGGAAUGGGCCUCUGUUGGGUCGUGCCAUGUGUCGACGUAUCAUAGGCGCCUUCUGUCUAAUGAGUGGAUGACAUCUGUCCCAACAAUGAGCCGACACGUGUUUCCUCCAGCCAAUGAUGAUUUUACACGUGGAAAAUCCUCAUUGGUCGGGGCUGUUAAUGGGUUAUCAGAUCCAAAACCCGACCCGAUAGCUUAACGGCGUUCCGUUACGGUGGAUGCCAUGUGUCCGUCACCCUUGACGAAAGCACUUCUGUGACGCGCGACUUAUCGUCAUGGAAGUGGACACUUCCGUGAUGAUAAUUUUGGUAAUGUCAUGGAACACUUCUACGGCAGCACAGGUAUGACUAUCUUCAUUCUAUCAUAAAUUUGUCAUGGAUGUACAUGCAUGACAAAAAACGCGACCUACUGUGACAAACACGUAUCAUCACGGAAGUGUUUUUUUUAGUGCUGGUGACCCAAUAAGUACCCGGUACCCUCCGAAACACCUCUGGUGUCUGAAUACCAUCGUCCUAUAUAUAAAUCUUUACCUCUCGACCAUUUUGAGACUCUUCAUCAUGUCCAUGAUCUCACGCGGGGCUCCGAACAACAUUCAGUCACCAACUCACAUAACUCAUAUAAUAUUAUAUCGUCAACGAACAUUAAGCGUGCAGACCCUACGGGUUUGAGAACUAUGUAGACAUGACUGAUACACCUCUCUGGUCAAUAACCAAUAGCAGAACCUGGAUGCCCAUAUUGGCUCCUACAUAUUCUAUGAAGAUCUUUAUCGAUGAACCGUUAUGACAACAUACGUAAUUCCCUUUGUCCAUCGGUAUGUUACUUGCCCAAGAUUCGAUCGUUGGUAUCUCUAUGCCUAGUUCAAUCUUGUUACCCUCAAGUCUCUUUACUCGUUCUGUCAUACAUCACCUCGUGACUAACUCCUUAGUCAUGUGCUUGCAAGCUUAUGAUGUGUAUUAACGAGAGGGCCCAGAGAUACCUCUCCGAUACUCGGAGUGACAAAUCCUAAUCUCUAUCUAUGCCAACUCAACAAACACCUUCGGAGAUACCUAUAGAGCAUCUUUAUGAUCACCCAGUUACUUUGUGUCAUUUGAUAGCACACAAGGUAUUCCUCCGGUAUCCGGGAGUUGCAUAAUCUCAUAGUCGAAGGAAUAUGUAUUUGACAUGAAGAAAGCAAUAGCAACAAACUGAACGAUCAUUAUGCUAAGCUAACGGAUGGGUCUUGUCCAUCAAAUCAUUCUCCUAAUGAUGUGAUCCCGUUAUCAAAUGACAACACAUGUCCAUGGUUAGGGACACGGUAUUUGUUUAUGUAUUCACACAUGUAUUUAGUUUCUGGUCAAUACAAUUCUAGCAUGAAUAAUAAGCCUUUAUCAUGAAUCAGGAAAUAUAAAAUAACAACUUUAUUAUUGCCUCUAGGGCAUAUUUCCUUCAAUAACCUCGUCGGCAGCAGGGCACAGUUCAGGCGUGAAGAGCUUCUCAUAAAGGGAAUGAACCAUUCCCUUGAUCUCCCCCUAGGAGCUACACACCGAGCCAUCAUCACGGUCAGCGAGUGAAUUCUGUUACUUCUCCAUCUGGCCAUUGCACGAGCUUGAAAAAACUCAGUGCUUCCGUCACCCGCUUUGAGCCAAUCCACCCUGGAGUGUUGCCUUUCCAUGAUUUCCUCCUACUCAAACAUCUCACAUAACAGACUCUCAAUGCGACAUUCUUCUGACAGAGAAGAUGGAGAGGGCGAGGAAGCCCUAAUAGUAGCCAGGCGAAGCUCCAUCUUCCCAAUGUUUUUGUGGGCAGAACCAAAUGUUUCUUUACUCCAAGUCCAUAGAGAGCCAGCUACAUUCUCCAGUUUAUCCUAUAUCACCUGCCGAGACAAGAGGCCAUCCCUGCCAGCUGACCAAGCUUGCUCAAGGGUAUCCUUGUAGUCUGCAGCCCGCACCCACAUUGCCUCAAAUCUGAAACCCUAUUGCACUGGAGCCAAGCGACGCUGCCGAGAGCCAUGGUCCAGGCAAACAAGGAUAGGAUAGUGAUCAAAAGUUUGUCGCAAUGGUGUUCUCAAUAUUGCAGGCUUCAAAUUAGCUGGGGAAAGCACUAUUGGCCAUGGCAUGAUCUAAGCGGCACCUGACAUGGUUCUUGGGGUCUUGCUUGUUUCACGAAGUGAAUUUCGGACCCGAGAACCCCAAGUCGGCAAGGCCACAAUCCAUCAUGCAAUCCCGAAAUGCAGCAAUCUCAGAAUAAGACUGGUCCCUAGGGUCACAAUGUUCAUCCUAAUAUAGUACCUCAUUAAAGUCUCCACAAAAAAUCCAAGGAACACUCCAGGACGGUUGCAAGCGUCGAAGGAGCUCCCAAAAGUGAGGUCUAUCAUCCCUUCUUGGUUACCCAUAGACAAAUAAUGCAUGCCACGGCAUACCAUCCUCCAAUUUCACAUGAACAUCAAUAUAACAGUUGUUGGCCGCCUUGACAGUCACAUUAGCAGUUGAUGACCAAAAGAGAGCAAGGCCGCCACUAAGGCCCUCACUCCUGACAGCAUAAUACCCAAAAAAACCAGAGACCGCAUGAAAUUUUUCACUCUCUCAUCCCUCAUCUUCAUCUCCGAAAGGAAGAGGAGGGAGGGUCAGUAGAGCUUCACAAGCCAGCAAAGCUCGCCAACUGUCGAGUUUGACCCCAAGCCUCAGUAGUUCUAGCAAAUGAUACUCAUUGCAUUUGGUGGGACUGUGUUGCAGCCUCUGCCGGAUCCGCCGAUCGAGAGUUUGAGGUGCAUUGUUUCUUGUUUGACUCCGUGUAAAUGACCUUCUCCACAUCAUAAGUAUUAGUUUGGGUGCCAGCAACCAGAACCAGAGCUAUCACAUUAGCUUCAGACUGCCCCGGAUCAUAAGCCAGCCCUGAUGGAAGUGACUUAGCAGAUUUCCUCUUCUGCCCCGUAGUGUUGUUUUUCUCCUGACCUUCCGGGAAAAGCUCCCUGUUAGCAGUUCCUGCUCUUCUCCUUCCCCGUCCUCAAGAAGAGGGUGCACGACCGUGGCUCCUUACACCCCUCUUAAGUGGGGGAGGAAACCUCGCCCUCCACUUCAGUUGUGCUAGUAGGGUCUAUAGGCUUUUAUCGACUUGUUAAGGUCGACCAGGAACCACCCGCCUUGCCAUCUUCCCCAACAAAAGUAGAAGCAUUACUAGAUCUUGAUCCUCCUUACUUCUUGUAGCUAUCAUCAGGUACACAGAGCUUCUUGGCGGCAUAUGGCAGGAACGCCACUCUCAUCUCUGAUGCCUGGGUUUGGGCACAGGACCGAAGAUUGCCCAAGGAGGCCACAUGAGAAGCAAUGAAAUGGAAGAUGCUCAUACCUCACAUAAUAUGUGUCAGCAAAUUGGAGCCUGACUGAAGUCACUGUCACAUAGCGAACAAUUGGCUCAUGAACCGCAAUCUCAACCCUCACACACAUAUUUCCUCCCCAACAAUGGCCAUCAGCAUCGGCCUCUACCAUGGAAAUACGGCCAAUGGGCAUGGCACACUCCACCUUAGCUUUCAUCAAUCUUGGCGGCAGAUUCAUGAUGCGGGCCCAAAUGGCCAAACGAUCAAACUGUACUUGAAGUGGUUGGAUGUUUAGAUGAAAGACCUUGAGAAGAACAACAUGCUUGCCCUGUUGCCCACCAUCCAAGGCGAGCCUUCGAUCACCCGGGCUAUGUAUGCAUGGGUACCAAAUUCAGCAACGAACACAUUGUCCCUGAAGGGGUGGAACAACAAACGUUUCGGGUAGCCCCAUGCCAGGCUCAUUGCCAACGAGAUUGUUUGGAUAUGGAGGGUAUUGGGAGAAAGCACCUUCCCCACAAGGGCACAAUCCGGAGCAACCAGAUCGUCCUCAUCCUCGUCGUCCAGCACCACCGGUUGCGCCUCGACCGCUGUGAGGCGAAGCCGUUCCAUCAUCUCUUCCACGCGAUCCGCUGAACAUGAACCGCCUGCCGAGGGAAAUGGGCCUGUAACCGCCACCACCACCCCCCUCCCCCGCUUGGUAGCACCUGCCUCCGAUGAAUGCCGCCUCCUCCUGGUGCAGUCUGCACGUCCCAAGGGCACCAUACCCUCCCUCAUCACGAGCUCCUGCCAUGCCAGCGCUGGCAAUACCCAAUCCAGCCCCUGCCAAGGGUGGGUAGCGAUACAGAGAACGCCCCUUAAUCACCCUGAAUAGUGACAUGACGGAGAAACCACAAGCACCCCGGUGCGGUAAGAGAUCAGCGGGAUUUGGGAGAGAAGAAAUUGGAUCAGCGAUCCGAUCGCAAACCCAGACUACGAUCAAACCCUAGGAACUGCGUGUCGUCGUAUCAUCACGGGAGCCUAGGAAAGAGAACAUUGUGAAUAGCAAUCAUUGGAUGAGUUGUGGUGCAGCACCGACUAUUAGAAAUACGUCAAUCCACAUGUGGUGUGUGAACAAGAAAAGUUGUGUACCAUAGUCAGGGCAUUUCUAACUGAUCCCCGAUAAGGCCGUAAGGGAGGAUAAAUUGGGUUAUCCUCCCUUAUGGCACACCUAGACGAACCCCAAUCUGAUGUAAGGGAGAAAGAAUUAUCCUCCAACCCGCCUGGACCGCCUAUAUUUACUCCACCCACAAUCUCUCCCCUCCCUGUCAUGUCGUUGAUGCCUCCCCAGCCAUUUCCUCUCCUCCCAAUGGCCGGACGCAGUGGCCAGAGGUCCCCAUCAUCGAACCGCAACUUCAAUUUACGCCGUCACACGAGCCACGCGUCUUCCUCCAUCAGAACCUCCUCAAGCAGCCACCGGUGCGACAACGCCGCUAUCCCUUCUUCGACUUCCCCGACCUUCCCGCACCGCGGCAGCCGCAGGAGCUUCCAUAGUGUCCGACAGUGGGUUGGGGGACUUGGGUGGCCGAGAUCCGGGAUAGGGAAACCGGCCAAUGCCAUUGGCUCAGCUCCUUCCACAUGAUCGAACUUGCCGCGCUUGAGUAUGAUCGGUGGGAUGUUCGGAUGCACGGCGCUGAGGCGUGCCUUAACUUUCCGUUCGGGGUGGCGCCCGUCGAGCUCGAAUCGCGGCCACCGGGAACGGUAAAUGCGGUGAUGGACCAAGCGGCAAGGGAGUUCCUCGUGGCGGAGGCUGUCGACAAGGAGUACAUGGCGGACCUUCGCCGUCAAUACCCAGAGUUGGUGAAUGCAGAGCGACAGCGAUUUAUCGAAGAGGCGGUGGACAGGGCGGUAGUCAUCAUCUCCAUUGACAAGGAGGAGAUCGACGCCCAAGAAUGGCACCAUAUCUUCCCCAACAUCGACGAUGACGACACAUGGCUGGAACCAAGAUCGGUGGUAUGCCGUGGGACCAAUGGAUAGCACUAUAUAAGAAGGAUUAGAGUUUAUGUUGAAUCUAUGUUGAACUUCAAUUUAAGUUCAAUCUAUGUCUAGCUUAUUUAGAAUCUAUGUCAAGUUUAAGCCAAAGUUUAAAUUAAGUAGAAUCUAUGUUGAUCUUUAUGCAAAUUUCGGUUGAGUAUAUGUACAUUACAUCAAAUUUCGGUUGUUUUAACCGAAUCUAUGUUGCAUUUUUAUGCACAUUUGGUUGUUACUCUGUUAUAUAUAAGGGAUUGGCUAGCUCCGACCAAAACUUGGUGGAGUAAAUAUGCUACACUAAGGGUUUGCUCCAUCGGAUCCUCCUCUAUUUAUUGGGGAUUAGUUAGAAAUGCCCUCAGUAGUUAGGUAUGGAUAGGGAGGCAUAGAAUUCAAUACCUCGGUUGGUCCUAUACAUAUGACCUGCGAUUAGGAAAAGAAUAUAGCAAUAGCUAAAUGACGGUGCGUGAUGUCGGCCAGUUAGAGACCAUCGGUUACACGAUCUACUAUGUGUGUAAAGAAAUAGUACACCCUCUACUAAAAUGGGUUAAAAGGUUAGUAUGCCUAUAAAUAGGUAUAUGUUCGUUUGCAUUAUGAAUUGCGAUUGUAUGAUCAACCAUUGUGGGUAGAAUGCUAGAUGGCGGGAGCACGUUACGAUUAUUUCUUUCCCUCCUUCAUCUAUUAUGGAUCUAUGCUCCUUUGGAUCGAUAAACCUUUUGGAUUUUAUUAACUUUCAUAAUUAUUUUCUUUUUAAACAAAAAACUUAGUAAUUACAGAAAAUUAACUAAUAACAAACAAGAUUGUGGUUCCGGUGGGUAACUCUCCUAUAAAGUUCAUUAAUGUCUGAAGUCACUACUUUAUCUUCAGCGUACCAAGAAUAUUAGCGAACCACAUUCUUGCAAUUGCUCAGGAUACCCUCUUUUAGCUACUAGGUCUAUUUCUUAGUUCAAGAAAUCAACGCCUAAACCAAAGAUAUGGAUCAUCAAAGGGACAUUAGCAUGGUGUACUCCACUAUUGUAGCUAGUAUAUCGCAUUUUUCUUCAACUUAUUAUUUACUAACGCAAUAAAUCACAUGAAAAAAUAUAUUUGUUCAUUGACAAUUUAAAGCAAACCUUCAAAGUACUUCAAGAACUUAAAUACACUUUAGUAUAUAAAAAUAUUAGUUUUUUUAUUUUUAUAGUAACGUAAUGUUGGAUCCAUUCCUUUUGAAUUGUCAUUUUGCCUAUCAUGAUUAUUGGGAAGAGACAUUGGCAAUAAUUCACCAUGGACACAUUAUUUUGUGAAAAUGUUCCAUUGGAUGAAUCUUUUAAAAUAUGCAGCAUAGAGAAAACAAAGGCUAAACUAAUCGCUUUUAUUUGAACAGAAAAGAUUAUUGUUUCAACGAGAGAAAGAGAUAAGUUCUAGAUAAAUUAAUCAUGCUGAAUUGAAUUGACUAAUUUAAGUUCCACCUAUUCAACAUUAGUGGGAGUACAUUAUGUUUCUACUUCACGAAUAUGAUAUUUUUUGGACAUUUCUAAUAAUAGCAAGCCUUAUUCCUAUUUUGGCAUUUUCUAUUUCAAGGCUUUUAGCACCGGUUAGUGAAGGACCAGAGAAGCUUUCUAAUUAUGAAUCAGGUAUAAAUCAGGUAUAGAAUGCAUGGGAGGUGCUUGGGUACAAUUCUGAAUAUGAUAUUCUAUGUUUGUGACAACAAAGAAUCGUCGACACGAACAAGUCAAAUUUGAUGGAUUAUGUCUCCUAUAUGUCAACUCACCACACAUGCCACCUCAUCAAUUAUUAUUUUCCUCUUUCUUAAUUGCAUGCUUCACCCAACUAGCAUACUUAAUGCACAUGCAACAAUGCAUGCAUGGAAAAAUAGCUACCUCAAUAUACAAUCAUGCAUGGACCGAUAUUUUUACAUUGUAGAAUAAUCACAUGAUAUUAGUAAUACAUAUUUAUGCUCUAUAAAACAAAUCUCCUUAGAAUAUAUUGCGACCAAUUCCCGCUGCAACGCGGAGGGUAUCAUCUAGUUACUAUAAAAGGGCAACAACUUCCUACUAAAAUGGAAUUUGGCACUCCUUCCGCUAUUACACGAAAUAAUAAUUAUAGUGAAAGGGCAGGUAGGGUUGACUAUACUAUUGGUGGCGAACUCCAUGCUAAUAAUCCAAAGCGCGUGGACACGAGUUAUCCGCGGAACGAAAGACAAAUCUGAAUCUGCUUUGUCCAUGCUUCUUCUAUUCUUUUCCUUGCACGGAUGGAAUAUCCUGGUCAUUCCACAUCUUUGACCUCUAUUAGUUUCUAAAAGAAAUUUUUACAUGUAUCUAUACGUAAGGGCAUCUCCAAAGAAGACCCUCAAAACUCUCGUAUAUGUCUGUAUUGUUGUAUGCAGACCAUUUGUGUCAACUUUUGUCAUCCAAUGAGGACCUCAUCAGUCCGCGAAGUGGUCUGAACGUUCAUUUUUCGGCAAAUCCCAGACAAAUGUGAGAGUACUUCACGGGAGUCUGGACAUGCACUUGACCAAAACAAAGCCUCCACGUGGUCAUACUCUCUGUUCUCUCUCUUCACAUGCAUGGUCCCUCUCUCUCCUCUCUUCUUCUAACCGGACACCACACUACAAUAUCCCACCACAUGCAUGGUCCUCAUCUACUUUCUUUCCUCCCAACCAGAUUACUUUGUGAAUAGCAUUGGAUGACUCUCUCCCACAUCAUGUCCACGGACCACAUCCGAACAUGAAAACAGACAUUUCUUGUGUUCAUUUGUGGGUCAACGUUGGAGAUACCGUGAGAUCUCACGAAUAUAGCAUCGAUUGAGACUUUGUUAAGUCUCACUCGACUGAGAUUUAGCAACCCCGUAGAAAGAAAGACAGGUUGGUCAGCGAGGAGAAGAUCUCCCAAACCUUUCUUAACCAAGAACAAUAGCAUUUUUAUCAUUUCAGAGUACCUUCACAAAUGUAAUGAUAGAAUUGACAAUACUAUCAUGGUGGCAAGCCCGACAAGCAAUCUGUGUCAGCUGCCGUGGUAGCUGGCGGCGGCCGCCACAUCCACUCGCGACAUGUCGCGCUGCACAGCUUUUCUCACCCAGGACAAAUGAAAAACGGAAUGGUGGACUUGCACAUUACCUGCUACCAAUGACUGGUGGCAUGUUUAUUUCUCUCUUUUUCCCCUUGCUUUUACGACUAUUUCCUGCCAACCAUGCAUUGCCACCAAAAGCAAAUGCACAUAUGAGGGUGCAUGGCUAUGUACUUGCUUUUCCAUCGACCUGAGUGCUUGUAGUACCAUUUUCGUUUCUUUUCCUUAUGCUCUGCGACACCUGUUGACCCGAUGCUCCGACCUAAGGACCAUCUGUGCACCACAACAGCAACAAGACAUGCCGCCACGCAUAAAGGCGGCAGACAAUGUGUGGGUCUACCAUCUUUGUCGUUCGUCCCUUGCAAGAAAGCUAUGCAGAGCUAGCAGCAGGGCCUACCUCCAGAGACCAGGUCCGUCUCUAGAAAUUUGAGGCCCCUGUGCAAAAUGCAAAUUCUGGUUCUAAAAUUUCUAGAAUACUCGGUUUUUAAGGAAAGAAAUUUGAAUAAAUUCAAACACUGUAUAAAUUAUAGGCUAGUCAAGAUAAUAUGAUAAAAAUAAACUACCUGAAUGUUAAACGAGCAACUAUCUUGGAAAUCUUGGUGUGUGUCAAUUCGAUUAACUAACCUAGUUCAUAUAUCCCCUAAAAAAAGUUGAUUGAUGUACUGAUGCAUAUGCGCACAAUAUAUUGACUAAUAUAAUUAUUCAACAGAACACAAUAUAGUCUAAAUUUAAUGGAUUCAAUUCGAGCGCACCUGUUAGACAUAUCGGGGAUGCCCUCGCCUUUGGUCUUGGCCACCCGCUGCUUCAACUUGUGUGUUUUGAUUUGAUGUGACUUUCCGAGCGACCGGCGGCUAGCGAAAUCAUGGAAUUAGUUCUUGAUACGAGAAGGGCUAUGAAUUGAGCUGUGUCUUCGGGCAGGAAAUGAAGCAAUCACGAAAGCAAAAAACAAAGGAAACGAAGCAAUCAAAAACGAGACAACACCACUAGCCUAGGUCUCCCUGCGGCGGCGACGGCGCACAUCUGUCAGUUCGUGUCGGGAAAGAUCAUAGAUUGAUCGAUGGAUCGGUAGGCUGUGUAGUAGAUCGGGACUAGGGCUCGGUUCAGGACAUAUUGGAGCAGGCCCAGUUUGAGGGAGCCCGAGACUAGCAGCGAAGAAAGGGCCCAAAACAAAUAAUAUACAGACAUUGGCCCAAAACAGGGGCCCCCUAGAAUUUGGGAGCCCUGUGUGGUCGCACAGCCUGCACAUGCCCUUGGACGGGCCUGCCAGAGACUGUGACGGCAAGUGCUAUGUGUUAUUGGCCAAACCUAUCAAUUCCACUCAAAAAUGAUCAUGUUUGUCAUUACGUUCACGCGCGGUUUGAAAUGUCAAAAAUUGAGAACAAUCGCCCGUGAGAUGAGAUAUUGUAGCUUCAUAUCACACACGCCAACACCGUCCUCGCCAAUGAGAGUGAUGACAAUGAUGAUUUAGGGUGUACCCGUGGACUUCGUUGGUCCCCUGUCGACAGCCACAGAAGGAGGGAGACAACUUCUGUCACUGCAAUACCUUCUCAACCAACCUUCGCAAAGACAAUAGCCUCAUUCCCGUCAAUAAAGAUGAAUGUUCUAUGGUCGACUUCACGCAACAUCAGGAAGAAUAGUUAACAUAAACAUAAAAACAGGAUGUUGUACUUUAUCGAAGUUCAGCUCCUAUACAUACUAGGGUUCAUCCAUAUCCCUGAGAACCAGGGUGUUACUUAGACAUAAAUACAAUAUGCAUCAUCAUCAUAUUAUUCAUGGUACCUAUGGAUGAAUGAUUUAUGUAACACACAUAUGAAUCCACAUCAGAGUUCGGGAUUACAAUGACGUAAAAUGAUGAAAAUGCGGAUGAAGGUUGAUGUCGAAGGAGAAUGCUCAGAAGUUGCCCUAGUCCGAACUACUGUGGGAAUUUUUUUUUUUGAGCCCCAACCAGCUUUGUUGGAUCAAAAGUGUAUUUUCAACACAACUAAAAACGUGUAUUUGCAACACAAAGGACCCAUUAAAAACACAAAGAAGGAAAAAACAAAAAAACAUGUAUUGUGGGAUGGUUUGAGUUUUCAAAGAGUUUUUGUCUAACUAGACAUUUCUUAGGAACAUGCAACACACAUGUAUGCAAAUAUGUAUGCCCAAACCAUACCACGAGGCGACAGAAGGAGACCGUCAUGAAUAUGUAUGCCCAAAUCAAGGCAAUGUCAUUGUUGAUUGGGUGAGUGCUCUGAUGGAUCCCGUCACCGAAGGCUGGGAUGAACAACUGGUGGACGGCAUUUUUGUGAUGAUGAUGUGAAGGAUAUCUUAUCCAUCCCAAUCCGGUGUGGCGUGGAUGACCAAGUGGCCUGACACUAUCACGAAAAAGGGAUUCUAUCGGUUAAAUUUGUUUAUCACAUCGGGACAAGAAUCCGCAAUGUAGGCUGUAACAGGGAUGCAAGCAAUCAUUUGGUUCACGUGCUGUAAAGUGGAACAGAUCGUGGAUCUUGAGCUUUCCACCGAUGGUAAGAACAUUCCUAUAGAGAUUGUCACAUAAUAGUUUGCAUCUUAGACGGAGCAUAAAGAGAAAGGAUGUGGAGCUAAACAGCCUCUUAGACAACUCUACAUGCUUUCUCUUAGAUAGCCCGCCUCUUGUUGUCCGAUGUGUUUGAGGCUUGAUGAGGACAGAGGGCACUUGUUCUUGAGAGGUAAGCUCGUGACAUGUGUGUGGUGAAGGCUGCUGCUAGAAGAUGCUAGAAUGGCUCUUCUUGAGUGCCCAAACCCCAUGGUUGUUUUAGAUCACUUAUUGACUCUCAGAUAGUAACGACGAGAUCUCACAUUGCCGACGAUGUGAGAAUGAUAGAAUGUGUGUAAGAAAGUGAAGGUUGGGAUAAAGUUAAACCCUGUGAAGAAGUUUGUUUUCCGAUCAUGAGGCAUGACCAGGACUUUCGCAUGGGAGAGUCACCAAAUCAGCAUGAUAUGAUCCCAGAUGUGCAAACCUGGAGUCGUCCACAAACAGAUUUCGUCAAUAUAAAUUUUGAUGCGGCUUUUCAUGUGAAAGAGGCAGGAGGCGCACGGGGAGGCAUAGUGUAUUUGGAUCAAGGACCUUCAUUGUAGCUUGUGCCAGCAGUUUGGUCAUAUUGCCUACCCUCUACAAGUGGAAGCAAUGACAUGUGUGAAGGUUGUCGUAGUUGCGAAUGGUUUGGGAGUUCACAGGACAAUAUUUGAAUCAGACUCACUCUGGCUAAUGAAUGCUUUGAAGUGUGGAGAGUAUGAUAUGUAUUUUACAGUUGUUCUCCUUAGUGAGCUCGGUAGUCUGUGUGUGUCACCGUUUGAUGUUUUCGAGUUUAUUUUUGUAAGAGAGAUUGUAAUAAGUUGGCCCAUAAGCUAGCUGAAUUAUGGCUAUCGAGCGCACAUUUGUUGCUCAGAUCAUCUCCAAUAGAAGAUGCAAAUUUGGAGAUGUAAAAAUUUACAUCUCCUAUAGGUGCAUUUUACAUCUCCUAAAAAGAGAAAACUCCAACAGAUGAUGUACAUUGGAUAUGCAAAAGAGCAACUCCAACAGAUUAUGUAUUCCAAGAUGUAAAACUACUACUCCAACGGAUCAAGCGGUGGGGCCGAGCUUCCAGAGGAGCGCCGGCGGCCGAGCGACGAGAAUCAGCGUGACGCUUGAGCGUCUUGCCGGCGGCGGGAUCUCGAAUGGCCGGCGGUGGUAACUCAAAUUGGGCGGCGGCUACGCGAAUGGGACUCGAGUCAAGCAGUGAUGUUAAUUCGAAUGGCCGGUGGUGGUAACUCGAAUUAGGCGGCGGCGGCACGAGAAGCUCAUAUUGGACGGCGUCGGGAGCUCCAAUGGCUGGCGGCAGUAACUCAAAUCGGAUGGCGGCGGAAAGCGGCACUAGAAGCUCGAAUCGAGAGGUGGAAGCAGCGGCGGCGUGGCGGCGGGUGUGUGGGCUGGCAGCAGCUGGGCAAAAGGGGGAACUCAAAUCGGGAAGCGACGCGGCGAAAAAGCGGUCGAUUGUAACAUCCCAAAUUUUCAAUUUGGAAUGUUAUACAUUAGAUCAUCAUUGCAUAUCAUAUUUUAUUGCAUUUUGGUUUUAUCCUAGAAAUUUCACGCAACUCAAGGACUCGCGGAGAGAGUUGGGAAUUUCGUUAUUUCCUUAUUUGAAUUUUCUCAAAUUUAGAAAAGGGAUCAUUUGAUUUUAAUUAUUUUAUCUUCAAAUAUUUCACUUAUAAAAAUAAGAGAGAGGGAAUAAAAUGACUUUUACAAAAUAAAGAAAUAUUGAGGAUUUAAUAUUAAAAUCAAAUAAGAUUUUAUUUCGGAGUUUUGUCGCUAUUUUAUUUGAAUUAGGAAAAAUACGCGUUUUUCAAAAUUGCAUUUAGGCUCCAAAUAAAUGUUCAUCUUGUCCGGCUUAUUAUUGGAGGACGGGGAAAUUUUAUUUCGGAAUUUUUGAAGUCCGUUUAGUAUUUCUUUUAUUUGUUUUUCUGCGCAAAAUUAUUAAAAAAACGAACCGACCUAGCCGGGCCGUGCCCGACUAGCACUUUGCCCGGCCAGCCUUUUUAAGCGGAGGCCCGAGCCGCCCCCNNNNNNNNNNNNNNNNNNNNNNNNNNNNNNNNNNNNNNNNNNNNNNNNNNNNNNNNNNNNNNNNNNNNNNNNNNNNNNNNNNNNNNNNNNNNNNNNNNNNNNNNNNNNNNNNNNNNNNNNNNNNNNNNNNNNNNNNNNNNNNNNNNNNNNNNNNNNNNNNNNNNNNNNNNNNNNNNNNNNNNNNNNNNNNNNNNNNNNNNNNNNNNNNNNNNNNNNNNNNNNNNNNNNNNNNNNNNNNNNNNNNNNNNNNNNNNNNNNNNNNNNNNGCUGACCCCACUGCCAGCCGCCGCCACCGUCCCACGGAGUCGCCGUCGCUGCCGCCUGUCCUGCCCCGCCGGAGCCCGCCUCGCCGGAGGUAGCUUCCCGGUUUUUUUAAACCCGCAGUUUAUUUUUUAUAUAUAGAUCGGUUUAGUUUUUUCGGUUUAUUUAUUUUGUGGACGUCCGUCCGUUCGUUCAUUUUAAUGAACGGUUUUUGUCGUUUAGCCGCAGAUAGCGAACAUUCGUUCGUUAGCUUGUUCGUCCGUUUUUCUUUUUUUCGGAUUUUCCACGAUUAUUUCUGAUUGCGAUUUCUGAUCCGAUCUUCGUUCUAGUAUAACUUUUCGCUCGUUUAUCGGAAUCAGGCGAUUCAAGCGCCUAGAGUUUUGUCUCAAAACCCUCUUUUUGUUUAACCAACUCAAACAAGUUUUUGCUACUGUAAAAUUUGACUUAGGUCCAGAUAAGUAAAUGAAGCUUGUUUCUUUCGCUGUUUGACUUUCGUUGCUUCGUUUGAUUUGAUUCUUUUUGCAAACCGGAGUUCUUAAGUUGAACUUUCUGGUUAGAUCUCUUAUGUGAGUUUUACCUGUGCAUUAGAUGAGUGCUUAUUGUAUGCUUGUUUGUUUGCGAUAGAGUACCCGGAGUGCGCCGCUUGCUACUACGAGUCUCUAGGUUUUAUGGAUCAUCAGCAAGGCAAGUAGCACUUUGAUCAUACCUCUUUACUACUCUGUUUUAUUGCAUUAGAUCAAUCCUCAAACAAUUGCAUGGUUAGGAUGUGAUUAAUAUGUGGGUUUUGGGAAGUAGAUGAGGUAGUACCUAUUACCUGUUUUAUUAUCAAACCUUUGGGAGUUACUUCUACGUUUGCUUAUAUUGCUAUGAUAUGCUAGUAGACGUGGAUUGAGUGAGUGUAUCCAUGACAGAUGUGAGAUUGUUAUUUAAUGGUUUACUUAAGGUGGCAACUUAAAUUUACAUCUGGGUGGAUUGAGGCACCUGGGGAACCCAGUGUUGCCUGUAUUUUUGGAAAUCCCGGGGUACCGUGUGAUUCUCAUAUGGACCGCCACCCAGGCUCAAAGGGAUCAUGAGAUUAUUCAUGCUAGAAACUUCUAUGUGCAGCCGCAAGCUACUAUGGGCUCUAGCAUAGUUGAGUAUGUUGUGUGACCUCUUUCAGUGAUAGAGUAGCAGAUGUAGGGGAUGUAGGUUGGUACAGUCUACCCAGAGUAAAGAGUUAAUGCUUCUGAAAGACUAUGUCUCGGUCAUCCAUUUCUCAAACACCUUCUAGUGCGAGAAAUCCAACGGAGGCGAUCGAAUCUUGCGGGGAAAAGUGCGCAAACCUCUGCAGAGUGUAUAAACUAAUCAUGGUUAGCCGUGUCCCUGGUUAUAGACGUUUUGAGUAUCUAGUACCUGGAUUAUCAUGUGAAUCUCACCAUGUUACUUAAUUAAAUUUGUUGGGUUUAAUGAUGAUGCUUAAUUGGGAUUGAGUUGGAGGAACCUUCUCAAUGUUUAACAACCACCAUGAUAGUUAAAUAAAAUUUAUUCCUUUGUUGUAGGGAAAAAUUGGCUUUAUGCAAAACUGUAACCAUAGAGCUUUCCACCAGCCAUAUGUGCAUGUAGUGAUAGCAUUAUUCUAUUCAUUACUCUCUAUGUGUUACAUUGCCAGCAUAUUCCUUGUACUGAUCCGUUUUCGGGCUGCAACGUUCAUGUUUCAGACUUUUCAGACGACGAGUAAGGUGCCUUAGGUCGUGGUCUUAUACUCAGUGAUGCCGUUGGAGUUGAUGGACUCGCUUAUCUUCCAAGCCUUCCGUUGUUAUCGUUAUUAGAUGGCCUUAAGCCAUAUUUAUUGUAAUAAGUUCUCUUUUGAGACAUUCAAUGUAAUAAGUGUGUGAUUGCUACUCUAUUAUAAAUCCUCCAAGUACUGUGCGUGUCAGCAUUACCGAUCCAGGGAUGACACUGAUGCAUAGAGAUCAGACUGUUUGAGCUCUGGUCGCUACAAGAUGGUAUCAGAGCACACGCUAACUGUAGGACAUGACCACUAAGCUAAAGCCCUAGAUCACUACUCUCUCUUCUCAUUUCUGACUCCUCAUCUUUUCUACUCUUUUAGGAUGGCGGAUGCAAGGAACAAGUUCACACAACCGGAUGAAGAUACACCCUUUGGACGCCACUUGAAGUAAGUCACUAGAUACCUGAACAUCGGAGUACCAAGCUUCACCGGGACCUACAUAGCCACUUUACCAGAAGAGGAGUGUUGGAUGAUUCAAGUUCAAGUUCUAGGAAGGACAUUCGUGCCCGUCACUGAGCCCAUAGAGUUUUCUUUUGAUGCACCAACCUCGAGUCCUGGAAAGAGCAUGGCAGCCCACAUUACCAUGGGACGCAUUGGAGAAGUUUACCACAAGGAUCUCGAGGAUACUAUUUACCAGAUUUGUGGGCGCCGAGAUGAGCAAUGGGAGAUGAUCAGCGCUAGGAAGGAUAGAUCAAUUGCAGCUUUCAUCCAAGAGUUAAACCAGCACAUUCGUCUCCAGGAGAACCAGAUGUGCGCAGGCAUGAUAGAUCUGAAGAAGGCUAUGACCAAGAUCACAGAGCUGGAGGAAGAACUUAAGUCUACACGUGAUGGUUAUGAGGAAGAAAUGACGACACUCGUGGAGAAGAAUGAUGAUCUGAAGAAGAAGCUAAAAGUGUUUAUGGGAUUCCCCGCGACUGGAGGAGAAGACGAUGAUUGCACUUGCCUGGAGAACUACAUCAUCAUCGACGACACCGACUCGGACCCAAACAAUAGCGAUGAUGACUUUGUUGAUGAAGCUGGAGCAGAUAUCAUGGAGUCUUCGACCGAUCUAUUUUUCUAGUCGACCACCAUAACAGUAGUAGUAUUCCUCCAUGUAGUAUAGUCCGAGCACUUUUGUAACGAUAGUUAGACCGUUGUAUGCCCUUGUUUGAAUUGAUUGAAGUGAUAUUAUUUGUGUUUGUCUCAUGUGCUUAUGGGUAGUGUUUUUCUCUCUAGACCUCACUCUAUUCUAUAUUCUCAUCUUUUCUAAACCCUCAGAUGCCUCCGAGACAUGACAAUGGAUUUGCUUUCCCACCGGAGCUCACUUAGUUAAUCCAGCAGUAGAAUGCAUUGAUGCAGAUGCUAGUCCAGAAUCAGAAUCAGGGGAACAACAACAACAAUAACCCACCACCACCAUCACCUGUUGAUCAUUUAGCCCGUUUCUUGAGGCUGAAUCCGCCGGUGUUCUCCAGUAGCACCGAGCCGAUAGUUGCAGAUGACUGGCUCCGCAAGAUGGGAAGGGAGUUGACCACUGCAGGAUGCACAGAUGCGGAGAAGGUGCGUUUUGCCGCACAUCAGCUUGAUGGACCCUGUCAGCGUUCUGGGAACGGGGGUCCCAGACUUGCCUGCCUGCGGCCUGCGGCGUGGCUCGAGUGGUGGCCCAGUACAGCCCAUCUUCGUCAACACAAACUCAAGACCCUCGCGAGGGGCCAAGCCUCGCGGGGCGGGCGACGCAAGGCUUCCUCAAGAGCGGCCUCGCCAGGCAGGCUCGCGAGCAGGCGGACAGAUCAAGGCAAGGGUACCUCGCGAGGUGCUUGUGACGCAAGCCAUGACGAUCGAGACUAGGCGGGCGCCGGCCUGCGCAGUGUCCUUGUUUCCUCUUUGAUGCAAAGGGGGCAAGUACAAGCGUGGAGUACCGAGGCAUCAGGAAAAGGUUACCAUUUCGGUGUAACGAGACCAAGAUCAGCAGAGUGGCAGGAUGGAGGUCACUGUGGAGCCCAAGACGGCGUCAUCGCCAGUGCCUUUGGCAGCCGAAGACCAACUUGUGAGGAUAACUUGUACUAGAUGUUCCCCUUCAAAAUGGUUGUUGUUGGCGCCCUUCUCGCUCAAUAUUUGGGAAGAGGACCAGGGCCUCUAUAUAUAUAGAGCUAGCCACCACAGUAGAGGGCAUCUCAUAGAGCCCCCAUCAGAUCGAGAGGCGAUCGAACUCUCCCAAGUAGUUCAUCGCACCAGCCCAAGAACACCUCUCGUGAGGCUGUUCUUCCCCUUGUAUUGUUCAUCAUCAGCCCCUGAGGCAAUCCACCACACCACACACUGGAGUAGGGUAUUACACCACAACGGUGGCCCGAACCAGUAUAAAUCUUGUGUCCCUCGUGCUGUUCAUCGUUUUAGCUUAGAUUCUCGCGAAGCGUUUGAACGCGGAUUGGUAGGGGGAAGAUCUUCGCACGCACCCCAGAGUUUGAACCUUAAGGGUCUGCUGGAACCCAACAUCCGACAUUUGGCGCGUCAGGUAGGGGUGCGCCGGAAUCUUUCUUCCGCUGUUCCGCGUUCAAUCACCCGUCAUGUCCAUGGCUGACGCUCGUCGGGCUCGCACCGAGCGUCGGGCCGCUCUUGCCGCCCAUGCCGCCCAGACGGCUCCCGUCGGCAGGUGUCCGCGCCGUUCCCCGUCACCUGCCGCCAACGCUGCCACCGGCCCUGCGGGGAACGAGCAGCAGGCCUCGUCGCUGCAUCCCUCGGUGCGGCGGGAAGGCCGCACCGCCACCCCGUCGCUGACUCCAGCUGGUUCAUCGUCCCACGCACGUCGCACUCCCACAGACGCGCACGCCGCGUUGCUCUUGGCACGUGAGCUUCUGCACUACCGUCCCGUCGACGACCUCUACGAGGAGUGGCUCGCUUGCAUCACCGAGCUCGUCGCCACCGCAGGGGGCUCCUCUGUGCUGUCCCUCUCGCUGCCUCGCCCUCCGUCCAGCGCGGGUGAUGCAACUCAGGAGGUGCCUCCGCCACCUCCUCCCCAAGAAGGUGCCCUGGCUCCAAGGCGCACGGCCCCUGGACGAGAUACACCACGUCCAGCGCCUGCACAACAAGAAAGGAGCUGCCAAGAGAUCCCUCGUCCCCUAGAAGGCACUCGCGUGCUUCCUGCACCGGCACGCCAUGACCGUGUCCCUGCGCCAGCACGUCAAGACCCCGCGCUGCUCCUGGCAGCGAUGCGCGGGAAUCCCCAGGAGCAAGCCCCGCGUUAGCAGAGAGCUCCGGUGGCCACCGUAGUGAAGGAAAUAUGCCCUAGAGGCAAUAAUAAAGUUAUUAUUUAUUUCCUUAUUUCAUGAUAAAUGUUUAUUAUUCAUGCUAGAAUUGUAUUAACCAGAAACAUGAUACAUGUGUGAAUACAUAGACAAACAUAUAGUCACUAGUAUGCCUCUACUUGACUAGCUCAUUAAUCAAAGAUGGUUAUGUUUCCUAACCAUAGACAUGUGUUGUCAUUUGAUUAAUGGGAUCACAUCAUUAGAAGAAUGAUGUGAUUGACAUGACCCAUUCCGUUAGCCUAACACUUGAUCGUUUAGUAUGUUGCUAUUGCUUUCUUCAUGACUUAUACAUGUUCCUGUAACUAUGAGAUUAUGCAACUCCCGUUUACCGGAGGAACACUUUGGGUGCUACCAAACGUCACAACGUAACUGGGUGAUUAUAAAGGAGUACUACAGGUGUCUCCAAAGGUACAUGUUGGGUUGGCGUAUUUCGAGAUUAGGUUUUGUCACUCCGAUUGUCGGAGAGGUAUCUCUGGGCCCUCUCGGUAAUGCACAUCACUAUAAGCCUUGCAAGCAAUGUAGCUAAUGAGUUAGUUACGGAAUGAUGCAUUACGUAACGAGUAAAGAGACUUGCCGAUAACGAGAUUGAACUAGGUAUUGGAUACCGACGAUCAAAUCUCGGGCAAGUAACAUACCGAUGACAAAGGGAACAACGUAUGUUGUUAUGCGGUUUGACCGAUAAAGAUCUUUGUAGAAUAUGUAGGAACCAAUAUGAGCAUCCAGGUUCCGCUAUUGGUUAUUGACCGAGAAUAGUUCUAGGUCAUGUCUACAUAGUUCUCGUACCGGUAGGGUCCGCACGCUUAAGGUUUCGAUGACAGUUUUAUUAUGAGUUUAUGAGUUUUGAUGUACCGAAGGAGUUCGGAGUCCCAGAUGAGAUCGGGGACAUGACGAGGAGUCUCGAAAUGGUCGAGACAUAAAGAUCAAUAUAUUAGACGACUAUAUUCGGAGUUCGGAAAGGUUCCGAGUGAUUCGGGUAUUUUUCGGAGUACCGGGGAGUUACGGGAAUACGGGGAAGAGUAUUGGGCCUUAAUGGGCCUUAGUGGGAAGGAGCGAGGAGGUGGCGCGCGCCCCUCCCAAGCCCAGUCCGAAUUGGACAAAGGGUUUGGGGCGCGGCCCCCCUCUCCCUUCCUUCUCCACUUCCCUCCUUUCCCCCCUUCUCCUAGUUGGACUAGGAAAGAAGGAGUCCUACUCCCGAUGGGAGUAGGACUCCCCUUGGCGCGCCCUCCUCCUAGGGCCGGCCUCCUCCUUCCUUGCUCCUUUAUAUACGGGGGCAGGAGGCACCCCAUGACACACAAGUUGAUCUACGUGAUCGUUCCUUAGCCGUGUGCGGUGCCCCCCUCCACCAUAUUCCACCUCGGUCAUAUCGUCGCGAAGUUUAGGCGAAGCCCUGCGCCGGUAGAACAUCAUCAUCGUCACCACACCGUCGUGCUGACGGAACUCAUCCCCGACACUUUGCUGGAUCGGAGUCCGGGGAUCGUCAUCGAGCUGAACGUGUGCUGAACUCGGAGGUGCCGUACGUUCGGUACUUGGAUCGGUCGGAUCGUGAAGACGUACGACUACAUCAACCGCGUUGUCAUAACGCUUCCGCUUACGGUCUACAAGGGUACGUGGACAUACUCUCCCCUCUCGUUGCUAUGCAUCACCAUGAUCUUGCGUGUGCGUAGGAAAUUUUUUGAAAUUACUAUGUUCCCCAACAGUGGCAUCCGAGCCUAGGUUUUAUGCGUUGAUGUUAUAUGCACGAGUAGAACACAAGUGAGUUGUGGGCGAUACAAGUCAUACUGCUUACUAGCAUGUCAUACUUUGGUUCGGCGGUAUUGUUGGAUGAAGCGGCCCGGACCGACAUUACGCGUACGCUUACGUGAGACUGGUUUUACCGCCGUGCUUUGCACACAGGUGACUAGCGGGUGUCUAUUUCUCCAACUUUAGUUGAACUGAGUGUGGCUAUGCCCGGUCCUUGCGAAGGUUAAAACAACACUAACUUGACGAACUAUCGUUGUGGUUUUGAUGCAUAGGUAAGAUCGGUUCUUGCUCAGCCCGUAGCAGCCACAUAAAAUUUACAACAACAAAGUAGAGGACGUCUAACUUGUUUUUGCAGGGCAUGUUGUGAUGUGAUAGGUCAAGACGUGAUGCUAUAUUUUAUUGUAUGAGAUGAUCAUGUUUUGUAACCGAAGUUAUCGGCAACUGGCAGGAGCCAUAUGGUUGUCGCUUUAUUGUAUGAAACGCAAACGCCCUGUAAUUGCUUUACUUUAUCACUAAGUGGUAGCGAUAGUCGUAGAAGCAAUAGAUGGUGUAACGACAACGAUGCUGCGAUGGAGAUCAAGCUGUCGCGCCGGUGACGAUGGUGAUCACGACGGUGCUUCGGAGAUGGAGAUCACAAGCACAAGAUAAUGAUGGCCAUAUCAUAUCACUUAUAUUGAUUGCAUGUGAUGUUUAUCCUUUAUGCAUCUUAUCUUGCUUUGAUUGAUGGUAGCAUUUUAAGAUGAUCUCUCACUAAAAAUUAUCAAGAAGUGUUCUCCCUGAGUAUGCACCGUUGCGAAAGUUCUUCAUGCUGAGACACCACGUGAUGAUCGGGUGUGAUAGGCUCUACGUUCAAAUACAACGGGUGCAAAACAGUUGUGCACGCGGAAUACUCAGGUUAAACUUGACGAGCCUAGCAUAUAACAGAUAUGGCCUCGGAACACGGAGACCGAAAGGUCGAGCGUGAAUCAUAUAGUAGAUAUGAUCAACAUAUUGAUGUUCACCGUUGAAACUACUCCAUCUCACGUGACGAUCGGACAUGGUGUAGUUGAUAUGGAUCACGUAAUAACUUAGAGGAUUAGAGGGAUGUCUAUCUAAGUGGGAGUUCUUAAGUAAUAUGAUUAAUUGAACUUAAAUUUACCAUGAACUUAGUCCUGAUAGUAUUUUGCAAAUUAUGUUGUAGAUCAAUAGCCUGCGUUGUUGCUUUCAUAUGUUUAUUUUGAUAUGUUCCUAGAGAAAUUGUGUUGAAAAAUGUUAGUAGCAAUGAUGCGGAUUGGAUCCGUGAUCUGAGGUUUAUCCUCAUUGCUGCGCAGAAGAAUUAUGUCCUUGAUGCACCGCUAGGUGACAAACCUAUUGCAGGAGCAGAUGCAGAUGUUAUGAACGUUUGGCUAGCUCAAUAUGAUGACUACUUGAUAGUUUAGUGCACCAUGCUUAACGGCUUAGAAUCGGGACUUCAAAAAUGUUUUGAACGUCAUGGACCAUAUGAGAUAUUCCAGGAAUUGAAGUUAAUAUUUCAAGAAAAUACCCGAGUUGAGAGAUAUGAAGUCUCCAACAAGUUCUAUAGCUAAAGGAUGGAGGAGAAUCGCUCAACUAGUGAGCAAGUGCUCAGAUUGUCUGGGUACUACAAUCGCUUGAAUCAAGUGGGAGUUAAUCUUCCAGAUAAGAUAGUGAUUGACAGAGUUCUCUAGUCACCAUCACCAAGUUAGUAGAACUUCGUGAUGAACUAUAGUAUGCAAAGGAUGACGAAAAUGAUUCCCGAGCUCUUCGUGAUGUUGAAAUCAACGAAGGUAGAAAUCAAGAAAGAUCAUCAAGUGUUGAUGAUUGACAAGACCACUAGUUUCAAGAAAAGGGCAAAGGGAAAGAAAGGGAAACUUCAAGUAGAAUGGCAAACAAGUUGUCACUCCCGUGAAGAAGACCAAAGCCUGAAACUGAGUGCUUAUACUGCAAAGGAAAUGGUCACUGGAAGCGGAAAUGCCCUGAAUAUUUGGUGGAUAAGAAGGAUGGCAAAGUGAACAAGGGUAUAUUUGAUAUACAGGUUAUUGAUAUGUGCCUUACUAGUGUUCAUAGUAACCCCUGAGUAUUUGAUACUUGUUCGGUUGCUAAGAUUAGUAACUCGAAACAGGAGUUACAGAAUAAACAGAGACUAGUUGAAGGGGAAGUGAUGAUGAGUGUUGGAAGUAGUUCCAAGAUUGAUAUGAUCAUCAUCGCACACUCCCUAUACUUUCGGGAUUAGUGUUAAACCUAAAUAAAUGUUAUUUAGCGUUUGCAUUGAGCAUGAAUAUGAUUUGUUCAUGUUUAUUGCGAUACAGUUAUUCAUUUGAAGUUAAAGAAUAAUUGUUAUUCUGUUUACAUGAAUAAGACCUUCGAUGGUUAUACACCCAAUGAAAAAUAGUUUGUUGGAUCUCGAUCGUAGUGAUAAACAUAUUCAUAAUAUUGAUGCCAAAAGAUGCAAAGUUAAUAAUGAUAGUGCAACUUAUUUGUGGCACUGCCGUUUGGGUCAUAUCGGUGUAAAGCGCAUGAAGAAACUCCAUAAAAAUGGAUUUUCAGAAUCACUUGGUUAUUAAUCAUUUGAUGCUUGCGAACCGUGCCUUUUGGGCAAGAUGACUAAAACUCCGUUCUCCGGAACAAUGGAACGAGCUAGUGACUUAUUGGAAAUAAUACAAUGCGGUCCAAUGAGUGUUGAUGCUCGUGGCGGGUAUCAUUAUUUUCUGACCUUCACAAGAUGAAUUGAGCAGAUAUGAGUAUAUCUACUUAAUGAAGCACAAGUCUGAAAUAAUUGAAAGGUUCAAAGAAUUUCAGAGUGAAGUGGAAAAAUCAUCGUAACAAGAAAAUAAAGUUUCUGCGAUCUGAUCACGGAGACGAAUAUUUGAAUUACAAGUUUGGUCUUCAUUUGUAACAAUGUGAAAUAGUUUCACAACUCACGCCACCUGGAACACCACAAUGUAAUGGUGUGUCCGAACGUCGUAAUCGUACUUUACUAGAUAUGGUGCGAUCUAUGAUGUCUCUUAUCGGUUUACCACUAUCGUUUUGGGGUUAUGCAUUAGAGACAGCUGCAUUCACGUUUAAUAGGGCACCAUAUAAAUCCAUUGAGACGACACCAUAUGAACUGUGGUUUAGCAAGAAACCCAAGUUGUCGUUUCUUAAAGUUUGGGGCUGCGAUGCUUAUGUGAAAAAGUUUCAUCCUGAUAAGCUCAACCCCAAAUCGGAGAAAUGCGUCUUCAUAGAAUACCCAAAGGAAAUUGUUGGGUACACCUUCUAUCACAGAUCCGAAGGCAAGAUAUUCGUUGCUUAAAAUGGAUCCUUUCUAGAGAAGGAGUUUCUCUCGAAAGAAGUGAGUGGGAGGAAAGUAGAGCUUGAUAAGGUAAUUGUACCUUCUCCCGAAUUGGAAAAUAGUUCAUCACUGAAAUCAGUUCCAGUGAUUCCUAUAACAAUUAGUGAGGAAGCUAAUGAUGAUGAUCAUGAAACUUCAGAUCAAGUUACUACAGAACCUCGUAGGUCUUCCAGAGUACGGUCCGCACUAGUGUGGUACGGUAAUCAUGUUCUGAAAGUCAUGUUACUUGACCAUGAUAAACCUACAAACUAUGAGGAAGCGAUGAUGAGCCCAGAUUCCGCAAAAUGGCUGGAGGCCAUGAAAUCUAAGAUAGGAUCCAUGUAUGAGAACAAAGUGUGGACUUUGGUGGACUUGCCCGAUGAUCGGCAAACCAUAGAAAAUUAAAUGGAUCUUCAAGAGGAAGACGGACGUUGAUAGUAGUGUUACUAUCUACAAAGCUCGACUUGUCGCAAAAAGGUUUUUGACAAGUUCAAGGUGUUGACUACAAUGAGAUUUUCUCAACUGUAGCGAGGCUUAAAGUCUGUCCGAAUCAAGUUAGCAAUUGCCACAUUUUAUGAAAUCUGGCAAAUGGAUGUCAAAACUGGAUUCCUUAAUGGUUUUCUUAAAAGAAGAGUUGUAUAUGAUGCAACCAGAAGGUUUUGUCAAUCCUAAAGGUGCUAACAAAAUGUACAAGCUCCAGCGAUUCAUCUAUGGACUGGUGCAAGCAUAUCAGAGUUGGAAUAUACGCUUUGAUAAGUUGAUCAAAGCAUAUAGUUUUAUACAGACUUGUGGUGAAGCCUGUAUUUACAAGAAAGUGAGUGGGAGCUCUAUAGCAUUUCUAAUAUUAUAUGUGGAUGACAUAUUGUUGAUUGGAAAUGAUAUAGAAAUUCUGGAUAGCAUGAAAGGAUACUUGAAUAAGAGUUUUUCAAAGCAAGACCUCGGUGAAGCUGCUUACACAUUGAGCAUCAAGAUCUAUAUAGAUAGAUCAAGACACUUGAUAAGAUUUUUCAAUGAGUACAUACCUAGAUAAAUUUUUUAAAUAUUUCAAAAUGGAACAGUCAAAGAAGGAGUUCUUGCAUGUGUUGCAAGGUGUGAAGUUGAGUAAGACUCAAGACCCGACCAUGGCAAAAAAUAGAAAGAGAAUGAAAAGUCAUUCCCUAUGCCUCAGUCAUAGGUUCUAUAAAGUAUGCUAUGCUGUGAACCAGACAUAUUGUAUACCUUGCUCUGAGUUUUGCAAAGGAAUACAAUUUUGAUCUAAGAGUAGAUCAUUGGACAUUGGUCAAAAUUAUCCUUAGUGGAAUAAGGAUAUAUUUCUCGAUUAUGGAGGUGACAGAAAAGGUUCGUCCUAAAGGGUUACGUCGAUGUAAAUUUUGGCACUGGUCCAGAUGACUUUAAGUCUUAAUCUGGAUACAUAUUGAAAGUGGGAGCAAUUAGCUAGAGUAGCUCCGUGCAGAGCAUUGUAGACAUAGAAUAUUUGCAAAAUACAUACGGCUCUGAAUGUGACAGACCCGUUGACUAAGCUUCUCUCACGAGCAAAACAUGAUCACACCUUAUUACUCUUUGGAUGUUAAUCACAUAGCGAUGUGAACUAGAUUAUUGACUCUAGUAAACCCUUUGGGUUUUGAUCACAUGACGAUGUGAACUAUGGGUAUUAAUCACAUACAGAUGUGAAUAUUGGUGUUAAAUCACAUGGCGAUGUGAACUAGAUUAUUGACCCUAGUGCAAGUGGGAGACUGAAGGAAAUAUGCCCUAGAGGCAAUAAUAAAGUUAUUAUUUAUUUCCUUAUUUCAUGAUAAAUGUUUAUUAUUCAUGCUAGAAUUGUAUUAACCGGAAACAUGAUACAUGUGUGAAUACAUAGACAAACAUAUAGUCACUAGUAUGCCUCUACUUGACUAGCUCAUUAAUCAAAGAUGGUUAUGUUUCCUAACCAUAGACAUGUGUUGUCAUUUGAUUAAUGGGAUCACAUCAUUAGAAGAAUGAUGUGAUUGACAUGACCCAUUCCGUUAGCCUAGCACUUGAUCGUUUAGUAUGUUGCUAUUGCUUUCUCCAUGACUUAUACAUGUUCCUGUAACUAUGAGAUUAUGCAACUCCCAUUUACCGGAGGAACACUUUGGGUGCUACCAAACGUCACAACGUAACUGGGUGAUUAUAAAGGAGUACUACAGGUGUCUCCAAAGGUACAUGUUGGGUUGGCGUAUUUCAAGAUUAGGUUUUGUCACUCCGAUUGUCGGAGAGGUAUCUCUGGGCCCUCUCGAUAAUGCACAUCACUAUAAGCCUUGCAAGCAAUGUAGCUAAUGAGUUAGUUACGGAAUGAUGCAUUACGUAACGAGUAAAGAGACUUGCCGGUAACGAGAUUGAACUAGGUAUUGGAUACCGACGAUCAAAUCUCGGGCAAGUAACAUACCGAUGACAAAGAGAACAACGUAUGUUGUUAUGCGGUUUGACCGAUAAAGAUCUUCGUAGAAUAUGUAGGAACCAAUAUGAGCAUCCAGGUUCCUCUAUUGGUUAUUGACCUAGAAUAGUUGUAGUUCAUGUCUACAUAGUUCUCGAACCCGUAGGGUCCGCACGCUUAAGGUUUCAGUGACAGUUUUAUUAUGAGUUUAUGAGUUUUAAUGUACCGAAGGAGUUCGGAGUCCCAGAUGAGAUCGGGGACAUGACGAGGAAUCUCGAAAUGGUCGAGACGUAAAGAUCGAUAUAUUGGACGACUAUAUUCGGAGUUCGGAAAGGUUCCAAGUGAUUCGGGUAUUUUUCGGAGUACCGGGGAGUUACGGGAAUACGGGGAAGAGUAUUGGGCCUUAAUGGGCCUUAGUGGGAAGGAGCGAGGAGGUGGCGCGCGCCCCUCCCAAGCCCAGUCCGAAUUGGGCAAAGGGUUUGGGGCGCGGCCCCCCUCUCCCUUCCUUUUCCACUUCCCUCCUUUCCCCCCUUCUCCUAGUUGGACUAGGAAAGAAGGAGUCCUACUCCCGGUGGGAGUAGGACUCCCCUUGGCGCGCCCUCCUCCUCUCUUGCUCCUUUAUAUACGGGGGCAGGGGGGCACCCCAUGACACACAAGUUGAUCUACGUGAUCGUUUCUUAGCCGUUUGCGGUGCCCCCCUCCACCAUAUUCCACCUCGGUCAUAUCGUCGCGGAGUUUAGGCGAAGCCCUGCGCCGGUAGAACAUCAUCAUCGUCACCAUGCCGUCGUGCUGACGGAACUCAUCCCCGACACUUUGCUGGAUCGGAGUCCGGGGAUCGUCAUCGAGUUGAACGUGUGCUGAACUCGAAGGUGCCGUACGUUCGGUACUUGGAUCGGUCGGAUCGUGAAGACAUACGACUACAUCAACCGCGUUGUCAUAACGCUUCCGCUUACGGUCUAUGAGGGUACAUGGACACACUCUCCCCUCUCGUUGCUAUGCAUCACCAUGAUCUUGCGUGUGUGUAGGAAUUUUUUUGAAAUUACUACGUUCCCCAACACGCAGGCUGCCGCGCCUUCACCACCGAGCUACGAAGUGUCGCCUGGCCGGGCAAGUUCAAGCCGGACCUCCCUCCUCGCUACGACGGCACUGCCGACCCCGUGGAGUUCCUGCAGCUCUACGAGCUAGGCAUUGAAGCCGCCAAUGGGGAUGGAAAGGUCAUGGCGAACUGGUUUCCCAUGGCGCUCAAGGACGGAGCCCGCACCUGGCUCCUGAACCUGCCUCCCGAACGAUCUCCUCCUGGGACGAGAUGCGCACCUGCUUCAUCGCCAACUUUCAGGGCACUCGCGACCAUCCGCCGGUCGUGGGUGACCUGUGCCGCAUCAAGCAGCAACCCGGAGAGACCUUGCAGAAGUACAUCUAGCAUUUCAACAGCGCUCGCCUCAAGAUUCCCAAGGUGACCGAGGAGGCCAUCGUCUCGGCGUUCUCUGACGGCGUCCGCGCCGUCAAGAUGAAGGAGGAACUGGCGAUCCAUGAAGAUCUAUGCAUGUCUCUGGAGCUGUUCAACCUGGCGACCAAGUGCGUAAGGGCUGAGGAGGUACGCCUCUCCCUUCUCGAGCUCCCAGCUGCAGAUCCAGAAGAGAAGUAAGCCAAAGCCAAGGAUGUGAAGUGCAAGGGAGAAGUUGUGCUCGUAGCAGAGCCGGAUACGAAGCACGGCAGGGACCAGCCGGAGUCGUCCAAGGGCAGCCGGCACUUCGUGUACCACGAUCUCCACACCCACAACACCAACGAAUGCCAAGAGCUCAGGGCCAUGCGAGAAGGCCAUGUCGGUCGACGCCCCGAGCGCAACGAUCGGGGCUAUGGCCGAGGCGGAGGAGAGGUGGAGGACGAUGGGACGAUCGUGGCCCACACCAAGGGUGGCGUGACCGACCUCGCGAGGACCGCUGGCAGGACCAGCCUCGCGAGGGGGCUUGGAGAGAUCAGCCUCGUGAGGAUCUCCCACAAGGCAACGCAGGCCUUCCUCCUAUGCCACCACCGCCAAGAAGGAAUGACGACCAUCACCAAGACAAGGGGGCUGGGGGCUUCCAGGAGCCACAUGCUAUUGCUUGCAUCUUGGGCGGUGCCCAGGCCCCAGCCUCUCAGCGCAUCUUCAAGCAGUUUGCUUGCGAAGUGAAUGUAGUCCUCCCCAAGCUCGAGGCCACGCGUCCUCUCAAGUGGUCCACGUGCACCAUCAUGUUCAUCUUAGCGGAUCAGCUCAAGUGCGCGGCAACAGCCAGUGUCCUCCCAAUGCUCUAUUCCCCAGUCAUCAGCAAUGUGCAAGUUACCAAGAACCUCAUCGAUGGUGGAGCAGGGCUCAACGUCCUGUCCGUAGAGACGUUCAACAAUCUCCAAGUGCCAUACGAUCAGCUUCAGCCGGCCAAGCCUUUCUUAGGAGUCACUGAUGGUUCCACAAUCCCGAUAGGGCAGGUCCGCCUCCCUGUCACCUUUGGACAUCGUAAGAACUACCGUACCAAGCUCAUUGACUUCGAUGUUGACCACAUUCGCCUGCCAUACAAUGCCAUCCUCGGAUAUCCAGCCCUGGCCAAGUUCAUGGCAGUGACUCGCCAUGGCUACAACGUCCUCAAGAUGCCAGGGAGUGGCGCAGGUCAUCACGGUCCCCUGUGAAGAGAAGGAUGUGGUGUGCUCUCUUGAGAGUGCCUUCCAAGCCACGUCAAUCGAGGACCCAAAUAGCAAGAGCGGAAGCCUCCCUGAAGCAGCUCCCAAGAAGAAUAAGACAUCACUCAGCUCAAGGCCUCGGGAGGCAGGCAUCUCCGGAGGUGCCGCGCCAGGAUCUGCACCCAACCAAGGGGCGCCGCCAUCCGUCGCAUAGGAAGGCGCGUCCGGCGCCCUCCUCGGGCAAGGCUCGGGGGCUCUCUCCUGGAGGGUCACUGACUUUGCCAAGAUCACGAGGGAGGCGCUCGGGCACCACUUGGAGGUGUGCUUCGCGGCACGUUUCCCUCAGGAAGGCAUAAGGCAAGGAGGGCCCAACCCUCAGGAGUUCAUCACCAAGAUCACUCAGGAGCUGCAGGAAUCGAGAGUCAUGCACGGCAACCGUCGCCUACCCAGCGUAGCUCCCCAUCCAGGCGAGGAUGGCGGGCUGCACGUCUGCAUCGACUACCCAGGGCUCAAUCGAGUCGCGUCUCAGGAGCGCUUCUGGCCUUCACGCGUGCGGCAUUGCGAGGGCCCACCUCACAGCUACGUUCGCAUGCCUUUCGGCCUGCCGAACACGGCUGCUGCCCACCAGCGUCUGAUGAGGAGCAUUCUGAAGGCUCAGGUGGCCAGGCACCACGCGUUCUUGGAGGAAAUGGAGAUGGACCUUGGCGAGCCGCCCGGACCUCCAGAGCCUCCCGAGGCUCAGAGUUCCGAAGGCUCGUGAGGAUUGGCUUCUUCACCAUGCACCAUUGGCUACUCCAACAAUCGCUCUGCAAUAAUAUCAGGUGACAUCCUUCGAGUUUCAUUUCAGCUGGGAGCGCCCUCAGGGCUGCAUCAUUCCCAGGUCGCGUGGGUCUGUCCCCGCGGCAUGUAUCCAUUUUGCUUAUGUCUUUAGCUUACUUUGUUGGGGGCGCCCCUCGGGCUACAUCAUCCCCAAGCCGCUCAGGCCUGACCCAGUGGCGUGUGCCUUUCCUUGCAUCUAUCUAAGUUGGAUUGCCUUUUCAUGCUUAACCUGCAUGUGAUAAUCGCCUGCUCGAUUGACGCCUACCUUUGGAGCCGCUCGCUCUGGCACGGCGCUUGUGCAUGAGUCCGUCCCUGCAACAUCGACAAAUCUGAGUGGUCGAGCUCUGGCCACGGCAGCCCCGCAAGGCGCUACCUCACCAGGCCCUCAGUGCCCUCAUCACUCCCUCGGAGCAACCAAUGGCUGGCUGGCAACCGUAAUGGCAGUCCUUUUUUUCCUCGCGUUGGUUUACAGGGUCCACCUAAGGAAUAACGUGGGGGCAUCGUGAGCUCUCUCUCUCCCUCUCAUGUGUGAUCCGCUCGCGUGUUAAAAGGGGGGCACCUGAGCAUCGCGACUCAGGGGCUCUUACUGGAUCUCCAGCCCUCACCCCUGGCCUUGACCCACGGCAUCGCGAACUGUCAUACCAGUGGCGGCUGAGCUUGCUCGAGGGCCGGGACCUGAGGACGUAGAGCAUGAAGGAAAGUGCGGGGAGGAGGGUAGAAGCUCACGAGGGCCUGACCCAGUGACAUCCCAGCUGCCGACGCGCAGGUCCGGCACCUUGCCAAGGAACGACUCCAAGCUCCCGAGAUAAGGCAUGCUCCUGGAAAAGCUAAAUCAACGUGACACCAAACCCUCGCCUAAUGCGGUUCUGUCACGGUGACGUUGCCUUCCUUUCUCACCCAGCGGAGGCUGCUUGAGUGCUAAAGGGGAUCUCCUGAGCAUCGCGCCUCGGGGGCUCUUACUGGACCUCGGGCCGCUCACCUCCUGGCCUUGACCACGACAUUGUGACCUAGCAUACCAGCGACGGUUGAAGCCUGCCUGGGGACCGGGACCUGUCAGCGUAGAGCAUCAAGCCCUCGUGAGGAUAGAAAGGGGGAACCGAGCCGAGACGGGACAAGCAUCUCGCACCAAUCCAUAGUAAGGAUGAUAUUCACAAAAGACAUAGCAGACGCUUUACAUACCCCACGGGGGGUUUCCUUGAUUCCUCCCAGGGAACAAAAGGAGUUAAUCCUAAGGGACGCUAACUACGCACGCCUCCCUGGUCGAUGCCAUCAUCAACAGUGGGCCACCAAGCGCCGGCGCCAACCCCAUCCAGAUCAGCCGCGUCGGUGGCCCGAUGCGGCUGCCCUACUCCGAGUACGACGCGAGCUCGGGGGCUCGUAGCUGUCGUCGCUCGUCUCCGGAGUCACGAGAAUCUCGGGAGAGUCGCUGGACCCUCCGCCUUCUCCGCUGCUACCAGAGGAGCUGUUGGGGAAGCGGUUAGCAGGCCUAGCCCUUGCCACUUCGAUGCCCCGGCCGCCUUCCCCGGGGCAGCAUUCCAGUCGGCGUCCUUCCAUGUCGAAGACCUUGAAGAACAUCAAGGAGGCACCAUCGUAUUCGAAAUGAAUCACAAGGGCACCUCCAGUUCGGCAGACCCGGGCAAUCUCGCCACAGCCCCGGGUCAUGUAGACCUUGCCCGGAGCGACAACCUUAACCUCCACUCUGGUCGCAGGGGUACUGCAGUUAGCAUGCUGCAGCCAGAGCUCAAGAGGCCCUCUCGGCGGCAUCUCAAAGGUGAAAGAGAGAGGAAGGUGAAUCCAAGAGCUUGGAGGCAUGGCGGCGUGAAGCACGAGCUCGCGAGAAGAGCCCUCGGCAUGGACUCCAGGGCGACGACGUGCACCGCCGUGAUUCGUCGGCGUCGCCGGUGGCGCGGGCAGUGCUGCUCAGCGUCUCCUUCUCUAGGGCCCUCAGCCCGGGUGUACAAGGGCAGCGGAAACCUAGGCGGUGGCCGCUCGUACCAAGGCCUCGACGUCCCCUGCCGCACGACCUCAUCGCGGCGGCCAGGGACCAGCCGCUUCUUCGGCGGGAGCGGGUCGGGACCCUCUCGGGGGGGCUUCCCUUUCUCUUCCGCUGAGAACUGGCAGAUCGGUGGCAUUGGCGUGAAGGUGGAGGAGGGGAGAGAAAGAAGGAGUGAAGCAAGAAGAGAUGGACUACGGGGGCUCUCGCCGGUCCGUACUUAUAGUCCAGAGGAGGCCAACCGACGGCCUCCACGAUCGCAGGUAAUCAUGACUCAUUUUUGCAUGCAGGGACUUGUCAAGUCGAGCAGUUCCGAGGCAGCGUGAGGAAGCGAAGACGCCCACGUCCAAUCAACCGCCAUGCGGCGCCCAAGGACGCAGGCUGUUGGGGCCCGCGGCGCUCCGCACUUGCCCCUUCACUUCUCUACUAAGCCAAGUCUGAGCGCGCCUUGGGCCCAGGGGCUACUGUCGGCGUUCUAGGAACGGGGGUCCCCAGACUUGCCUGCCUGCGGCCUGUGGCGUGGCUCGAGUGGUGGCCCAGUACGGCCCAUCUUCUUCAACGCAAACUCAAGACCCUCGCGAGGGGCCAAGCCUCGCGGGGCGGGCGAUGCAAGGCUUCCUCAAGAGCGGCCUCACAAGGCAGGCUCGUGAGGAGGCGGAGAGAUCAAGGCAAGGGUACCUCACGAGGUGCUCAUGACGCAAGCCGUGACGAUUGAGACCACGCGGGCGCCGGCCUGCGCAAUGUCCUUGUUUCCUCUUUGGUGCAAAGGGGGUAAGCACAGGCGUGGAGUACCGAGGCAUCAGGCAAAGGUUACCAUUUCGGUGCAACGAGACCAAGAUCAGCAGAGCGGCAGGAUGGAGGUCACCAUGGAGCCCAAGACGGCGUCAUUGUCAGUGCCUUUGGCAGCCGAAGACCAACUUUAGUCAGGAUAACUUGUACUAUAUGUUCCCCUUCAAAAUGGCUGUUGUUGGCGCCCUUCCCGCUCAAUAUUUGGGAAGAGGACUAGGGCCUCUAUAUAUAGAGAGCUAGCCACCACAGUAGAGGGCAUCUCCUAGAGCCCCCAUCAGAUUGAGAGGCGAUCGAACUCUCCCAAGUAGUUCAUCGCACCAGCCCAAGGACACCUCUCACGAGGCUGUUCUUCCCCUUGUACUGUUCAUCAUCAGCCCCUGAAGCAAUCCACCACACCACACACUGGAGUAGGGUAUUACACCACAACGGUGGCCCAAACCAGUAUAAAUCUUGUGUCCCUCAUGUUGUUCAACGUUUUAGCUUAGAUUCUCGCGAAGUGUUUGAACGCGGAUUGGUAGGGGGAAGAUCUUCAUGCGCACCCCAGAGUUUGAACCUUAAGGGUCUGCUGGAACCCAACAUCCGACAGACCCGUGUCAUCAUGGUGGGAAAAUUUCACAGCCACUUACCCCAUCGACACUGUCACAUGGGAUCAGUUUCAGCAGGCUUUCCGUACUGCCCAUGUUUCAGCAGGAGCUACGGCCAUGAAGAAGCGUGAGUUUCGCAACUUGCGCCAAGGAGGACGUACUGUUGGCCAGUAUGUGGAUGACUUUAGUAAGCUAGCACGUUAUGCCCCAGAUGACGUUGCUACGGAUGCAGCUAAGCAGGAGAAGUUUCUGGAAGGACUGGAUGAUGAGUUGAGCAUGCAGUUGUUGGUAGCAACCUUCAACAACUACCAGGAGUUGGUAGACCGAGCUCUCAUGAUUGAAGGGAAGCAGCAGCAGAUUGAUAGCCACAAGACGAAGUAUGGACAAGGGAAGUACAACUCUAGAGCUCAGUAGAAGCCUCGUUUUACCCCGAAUUCGAGAGGACCUUUUCAUCAUACCCAUGGAGGAGGGAGUCCGCACAACCAUAGUGGCCCCAAGAAUGGUAAUGGGAAUGGAGGAAGCAACGGGCAGUAUUGUGCCAACCCAUCAACACCAGCCAAGAGGGAUCUAAGCCACAUUACCUGUUUCAAAUGCUAGAAGACUGGACAUUAUGCCACUUAAUGUCCUAAAGCGAGGAAUGGAAAUGGCAAUGGGAGCUCUGGGAAGAAGCCUAACCCUUUCAACAAGGGACAAGUGAACCACGUUAGCGUGGAGGAGGUUGAAGCCCAGCCAGAUGCAGUAAUAGGUAAGUUUUUGGUUAAGUCAUUUACUGCAAUCGUUCUUUUUGAUACUGGUGCAUCACAUUCAUACAUAUCAAGGGGAUUUGUGGAUAAGUAUAAACUGCCAACCCAAGCCCUUAGAUCACCCAUGUUAGUAACCUCUCCAGGAGCCGAGUAUAUGGCUAGUCUAUGGUGUGAUCGGUUACCAUUAAGGAUUGGUAACUAUGUGUUCCCCUCAGACCUAAUAGUAUUGGAGUCGCAAGGACUGGAUGUGAUAUUAGGCAUGGAUUGGUUAUCAAAGUAUGGAGGGAACAUUGAAUGCGCUAGUAAGUCGAUUUUUCUUGCCACGCCAGAAGGAAGAAGGAUCAAGUAUGUAUCCCGGCAUGUCCCAAAGAGGACCCAAGUAAAUUCCUUAACAGGAGUUGUACAGGAGGAAGUACCCAUGGUGAAGGAUUUUCCUGACGUAUUUCCAGAAGAGUUGCCAAGCAUGCCACCAGAUAGAGACGUUGAGUUUUUGAUUGAGCUUUUGCCAAGCACAGGGCCGAUAUCUAAGAGACCGUACAGGAUGCUUGCAAAGGAUUUGGAGGAAAUUAAGAAGCAGAUAAAGGAGCUACUGGAUAAAGGCUAUAGUCACCCAAGUUCUUCACCUUGGGGAUCGCCAGUGCUUCUAGUGGAGAAGAAGGAUGGAUCAUUGGGAUGGUUGUUGAUUAUCGAGGAUUGAAUGAAGUGAUAAUCAAGAACAAGUACCCACUACCAAUGAUCAAUGACUUGUUUGACCAAUUGCAAGGAGCUAAGCUAUUUUCCAAAUUCGAUCUGUGAUUAGGAUACCACUAGUUGAAGAUUCGAGAGCAGGAUAUACCUAAGACGGCUUUUACCACCAGGUACGGGCUGUAUGGGUAUACCGUUAUGUCAUUUGGUCUGACUAACGCACCUGCCUAUUUCAUGAACAUGAUGAACAAGGUGUUUAUGGAGUUUCUGGAUAAGUUCAUCGUGGUGUUCAUUGAUGAUAUUCUGGUCUACUCAAAGAAUGAAGGGGAGCAUAAGGAGCAUUUGCAUUUGGUACUCGGAAAGCUCAGAGAACAUCAGUUAUAUGCCAAGUUCAGCAAAUGUGAGUUUUGGUUGAAGGAAGUUGGAUUCCUCAGACAUGUGAUAUCCGGAGAAGGAAUAGCAGUAGAUCCCACCAAAGUUGUCACUGUGACAAAUUGGGAAGCACCCACGUCAGUUGGAGAGAUCUGGAGUUUUCUUGGACUCGCAGGAUACUACCGGAGGUUCAUUGAGAAUUUUUCAAAGAUUGCGAAGCCCAUGACGGAGUUGUUGAAGACGGACACCAAGUUCAAAUGGACUGAGGAAUGUGAGGCCAGUUUUCAGGAGUUGAAGAAGCGUUUGGUUACAUCACCGGUGUUGAUUCUGCCAGAUCAGUGCAAGGAUUAUGAAGUAUAUUGUGACGCUUCUCGUCGAGGACUUGGAGCAGUGCUUAUGCAGGAGGAAAGAGUUGUUUCGUAUGCCUCACGAUAGCUUAAGCCCCGUGAGUUAAAUUAUGCCACCCAUGAUUUGGAGUUAGCAGCCAUAGUGCAUGCGUUGAAGACAUGGAGACAUUUUCUCAUCGGAAACCAUUGUGAGGUGUACACGGAUCACAAGAGUUUGAAGUACAUCUUCACACAAAAGGAGUUGAUUCUUAGGCAAAGGAGAUGGUUGGAGCUCAUCAAGGAUUAUGAUAUGAGAUUGCAUUAUCACCCCGGAAAGGCUAACGUGGUAGCCGAUGCAUUGAGCCGCAAGAGCCAUGUCAACACACUCUUGACCGGAGAGUUACCGAAUGACUUAGCCGAGGAUCUUCGCGAGCUAUGUUUGGAGAUAGUUCCGAGAGGCUAUGUUGCAGCGUUGGAGAUUCAAUCUACUUUAAUGGAUAAGAUCAGAGAAGCUCAAAAGACAGACAAGGAGAUUGCCGAGAUAAAGGAGAAGAUGAGCAAAGGAAAAGCUAAAGGUUUUCGUGAGGAUGAGCACGAUACCUUAUGGUUUGAGGACCGCGUUUAUGUGCCUAAUGACCCAGAGAUCAGGAAGUUGAUUCUGCAGGAGGCCCAUGAUUCACCUUAUUCGAGUCACCCAGGAAAUACCAAGUUGUACUUAGAUUUGAAGGACACUUUCUGGUGGACCAGAAUGAAGAAGGAUAUUGCGGAGUAUGUAGCAGUAUGUGAUGUAUGUCAGAGAGUGAAGGCAGAGCAUCAGAAGCCAGUAGGAAUGCUACAGCCAUUACCGAUACCCGGAUGGAAGUGGGAUAAGUUAGGCAUGGAUUUUAUCACGGGAUUGCCCAGGACUCGUUCAGGCUAUGACUCAAUAUGGGUUGUAGUCGAUCGUUUGACGAAGGUAGCUCAUUUCAUCCCAGUGAAAACCACUUACACCAGUGCUAAGUUGGCAAAGAUAUACAUGACCAAGAUCGUAUGUUUGCAUGGAGUUCCGAGGAGCAUUGUAUCAGAUAGAGGAACCCAGAUUACCUCAAAGUUCUGGAGUCAGUUGCACGAAACUUUGGGUACCAGGCUAGAGUUCAGUAUAGCCUUUCAUCCGCAGACAGAUGGACAAAACGAGAGAGUUAAUCAGAUUCUGGAGAACAUGCUGAGAGCUUGUGCGCUAGAUUAUGGAUCUAGUUGGGACGACAAUUUGCCAUAUGCGGAGUUCUCUUACAACAACAGUUAUCAAUCUAGUUUGAAGCUGGCCCCUUUCGAAGCUUUGUACGGAAGGAGGUGCAGGACACCAUUGUUCUGGGAUGAAGUUGGAGACCGCCAGUUGUUUGGACCAGAUUUGAUUAAGGAGUCUGAACAGAAGGUGAAGUUGAUUCACGAUAGGCUCAAGGUAGCCCAGUCCAGGCAGAAGAGCUAUGCAGAUUCUAAACGCAAGGAGACAGAGUUUAUCUUCGUGUGUCCCCACUUCGAGGAGUUAAGCGUUUUGGAGUUAAGGGAAACUUAGGGCCACGUUUUAUGACACCAUACAAAGUUUUGGAGCGUAUGGGAGAAAUUGCUUACAAGUUGGAAUUGCCAGAAGGAUUGUUAGGAGUUCAUGAUGUGUUCCACGUUUCCAGUUGAAGAAGUGCCACGCAGAGAUGGCUGAUAUACCGCUGAGAGAUACAGUGCCACUGGAAGCGAUUCAGUUGGAUAGUGAUUUGACCUACGAGGAGAAACCAGUCAAGAUUCUCGAGUUUGCCAGCCAAGUCACAUGCAGCAAGGUUAUCAAGUUUUGCAAAGUUCAGCGGAGCCACCAUACCGAAGAUGAAGCCACCUAGGAGCGAGAGGAAGAUCUACUGAAGGACAACCCUCACCUAUUUUCUAGCCAACCUGAAUCUCGAGGGCAAGAUUCAUCUUAAGGGGGGUAGUUUGUAACAUCCCAAAUUUUCAAUUUGGAAUGGUAUACAUUAGAUCAUCAUUGCAUAUCAUAUUUUAUUGCAUUUUGGUUUGAUCCUAGAAAUUUCAUGCAACUCAAGGACCCGCGGAGAGAGUUGGGAAUUUCGUUAUUUCCUUAUUUGAGUCUUUCUCAAAUUUAGAAAAGGGAUCAUUUGAUUUUAAUUAUUUUAUCUUCAAAUAUUUCACUUAUAAAAAUAAGAGAGAGGGAAUAAAAUGACUUUCCCAAAAUAAAGAAAUAUUGAGGAUUUAAUAUUAAAAUCAAAUAAGAUUUUAUUUCGGAGUUUUGUCGCUAUUUUAUUCGAAUUAGGAAAAUGCGCGUUUUUCAAAAUUGCAUUUAGGCCCCAAAUAAAUGUUCAUCUUGUUCGGCUUAUUUUUAGAGGACGGGGAAAUUUUAUUUCAGGAUUUUUGGAGUCCGUUUAAUAUUUCUUUUAUUUGUUUUUCUACGCGAAAUUAUUUAAAAAUAAAUAAAUAAAUAAAACGAACCGACCUAGCCGGGUCGUGCCUGACUAGGACUUUGCCCGGCCGGCCUUUCUAAGUGGACGCCCGACCCGCCCCCAAGCCCUAGCCCCGCCCCAGCCGACNNNNNNNNNNNNNNNNNNNNNNNNNNNNNNNNNNNNNNNNNNNNNNNNNNNNNNNNNNNNNNNNNNNNNNNNNNNNNNNNNNNNNNNNNNNNNNNNNNNNNNNNNNNNNNNNNNNNNNNNNNNNNNNNNNNNNNNNNNNNNNNNNNNNNNNNNNNNNNNNNNNNNNNNNNNNNNNNNNNNNNNNNNNNNNNNNNNNNNNNNNNNNNNNNNNNNNNNNNNNNNNNNNNNNNNNNNNNNNNNNNNNNNNNNNNNNNNNNNNNNNNNNNNNNNNNNNNNNNNNNNNNNNNNNNNNNNNNNNNNNNNNNNNNNNNNNNNNNNNNNNNNNNNNNNNNNNNNNNNNNNNNNNNNNNNNNNNNNNNNNNNNNNNNNCCCGUCCCGCCCCACCGGAGCCCGCCUCGCCGGACCUCGCCGGAGGUAGCUUUCCGCCGCCGGCGGUUUUCUCUAGAAAACCGCCCGGUUUUUUAAAACCCGCGGUUUAUUUUUUAUAUAUAGAUCGGUUUAGUUUUUUUGGUUUAUUUAUUUUGCGGACGUCUGUCCGUUCAUUUGUUUUAACGAACAGUUUUUGUCGUUUAGCCGCAGACAGGGAACGUUCGUUCGUUAGCCUGUUCGUCCGUUUUUCCUUUUUUCGGAUUUUUCGCGAUUAUUUCUGAUCGCGAUUUCUGAUCCGAUUUUCCUUCUAGUAUAACUUUUCGCUCGUUCAUCGGAAUCAGGCGAUUCAAGCGCCUAGAGUUUCGUCUCGAAACCCCCUUUCCGUUUAACCAACUCAAACAAGUUUUUCUACUGUAAAAUUUGACUUAGGUCCAGAUUAGUAAAUGAAGCUUGUUUCUUUCGCCGUUUGACUUUCGUUGCUUCGUUUGAUUUGAUUCUUUUUGCAAACCGGGGUUCUUAAGUUGAACUUUCUGGUUAGGUCUCUUAUGUGAGUUUUAAUUAUGCAUUAGAUGAGUGCUUAUUGUAUGCUUGUUUGUUUGCGUAGAGUAUCUGGAGUGCGCCGCUUGCUACUACGAGUCUCUGUGUUUCACGGAUCAUCAGUAAGGCAAGUACACUUUGAUCAUACCUCUUUCCUACCUAGUUUUAUUGCAUUAGAUCAAUCCUCAAACAAUUUCAUGGUUAGGAUGUGAUUAAUAUGUGGGUUUUGGGAAGUAGAUGAGGUAGUACCUAUUACCUAUUUUAUUAUCAAACCUUUGGGAGUUACUUCUACGUUUGCUUAUAUUGCUAUGCUAUGCUAGUAGACGUGGAUUGGGUGAGUGUAUCCAUGACAGAUGUGAGAUUGUUAUUUAAUGGUUUACUUAAGGUGGCAACUUAAAUUCACAUCUAGGUGGACUGAGGCACCUGGGGAACCCAGUGUUGCCUGUAUUUUUGGAAAUCCCGGGGUACCGUGUGAUUCUCCUAUGGACCGCCACCCAGGCCCAAAGGGAUCAUGAGAUUAUUCAUGCUAGAAACUUCCGUGUGCAUCCGCAAGCUACUAUGGGCUCUAGCAUAGUUGAGUAUGUUGUGUGACCUCUUUCAGUGAUAGAAUAGCAGAUGUAGGGGAUGUAGGUUGGUACAGUCUACCCAGAGUAAAGAGUUAAUGCUUCUGAAAGACUAUGUCUCAGUUAUCCGUUUCUCAAACACCUUCUAGUGCGAGAAAUCCAACGGAGACGACCGGGUCUUCCGGGGAAAAGUGCGCAAACCUCUGCAGAGUGUAUAAACUAAUCAUGGUUAGUUGUGUCCCUGGUUAUGGACGUUUUGAGUAUCUAGUACCUGGAUUAUCAUGUGAAUCUCACCAUGUUACUUAAUUAAAUUUGUUGGGUUUAAUGAUGAUGCUUAAUUGGGAUUGAGUUGGAGGAACCUUCUCAAUGUUUAACAACCACCAUGAUAGUUAAAUAAAAUUUAUUCCUUUGUUGUAGGAAAAAAUUGGCUUUAUGCAAAACUGUAACCAUAGAGCUUUCCACCAACCAUAUGUGCAUGUAGUGAUAGCAUUAUUCUGUUCAUUACUCUCUAUGUGUUACAUUGGCAGCAUAUUCCUUGUGCUGACCCAUUUUCGGGCUGCAAUGCUCAUGUUGCAGACUUUUCAGACGACGAGUAAGGUGCCUUAGGUCGUGGUCUUAUAUUCAGUGAUGCCGUUGGAGUUGAUGGACUCGCUUAUCUUCCAAGCCUUCCGCUGUUAUCGUUAUUAGAUGGCCUUAAGCCAUAUUUAUUGUAAUAAGUUCUCUUUUGGGACAUUCGAUGUAAUAAGUGUAUGAUUGCUACUCUAUUAUAAAUCCUUCAAGUACUGUGCAUGUCAGCAUUACCGAUCCAGGGAUGACACUGAUGCAUAGAGAUCAGACUAUUUGAGGUUUGGUCGCUACAUUGAUGCAGCCAAUUUUUAGGAAGAGGGCGGCACAGGGAGACGAUACCGGCGACGGAGGUGACGGCGGGGUCGCCGGAGUCUACCAUGGCCCGGGAGGUGGGUGGAGGGCGGCGCACAGGAGCCAGGCUAGCGGGUGGAAAAGAAAUGGAGGCGGUUGGUCUGCGGCUGACAUUUUUUAACAUCUCCUGUAGGUGGAGAUGUAUAUAUGGAUCACGAGGUAUUGCAUUUUAUAUCUCCGGGAGAUGGAGAUGUAUUUUUUUGCAUCUACAUCAUCAGUUGGAGAGAAGUUUUUGGAUCUCGAAGAUGCAAAAGUUAGUUUUUUUGCAUCUACAUCUUUUAUUGGAGAUGCUCAUGGUGGCAUGAACAUGUUCCUGACUUUGUUAUGGGUUUGGUCGCCAAUGAUUCAGCUAUGUGAUUUUCAGGUUAAAAGAAAAAGUAUGACAAAAUGUGUAUGUAAAUAUGCAAGAUUUCAAUAUGCUUACUAAAUAGAAGUUUUAAAAAAUAAGGAACAAUGAUUUUUUUUUCUGCAAAAAAGAGAAGAUCAUUUUUUUCAGACAAUAUUGAGAGCUUUAUUCAAAUAAAAGCAUUCGCUUGAUGAUCAGCCAAUAAGUCGUUCACCAGGAAGCUAGGAGUCUCUUCUAGCCAGCUUUCUAUCAUAAUCAAUGUGCAAGCACGCUUUGCACAUAAAUGAGCUGGAUAGUUGGCUGACCGGAUUACAUGAUGAAUAUCAAAAGAAAUAAAAUUACCAGCUAGCUUUCCUAUUUUAAAAAACAGGGGUGCCACAAUCGAAGCUGAAUUGCGGCAUUUUUCCAGAGUUUCGAAACCUCCAGGCAGACUGUCUCAAUAAUCAUCUCCUGAAAAACCUCUGAGUUGUGCGAAGCGCACGCCCUCCCGGCAGAUAAGGCUUCAGCUAGCUGAUCAGUAACACCCUCGAGGGGUUCGCACCAAGCUCCAAGUAGGUGAUUUCUCGAUCGGGCCACACCUCCCGCUCCCCCAGUGCUACCAUCCAAGUGAAUGGCCGCAUCGGUGUUGAUUUUGAUGAUCAUGUCAUCAGGAGGCCACCAACCAUAACCCGACAAAAUUUCAGGUGUUGCCUAGGGAUCUCCAAGAUCGCAAGUUCUUCUUAAAUACGUUGCACAGAGAUGGCCGGAUCAAUCUUUUCCUGAUCAUGAGUAAGACGAUUCUGAGAAUGCCAAUGGCCCACAUCACUGUGAUGAUGAUCACCCGUUCCCUACCUGUCAAUUGUUGGUCACAUAGAAUAUCUUGUGACCAUUUACUGGGGUGCAGAUGUGGUAGUUUGAAGUCAAAUAGCAAUUGGGCUUCUUCCCAGAAUUGUUGUGCAUGCGUACAAUGGAUCGCAUGAGCCAAGUCUUCAUCCAUCGCCAUACAAAUUUUGCAUCUUCCAAGUUCUUGUAUAUGCCGGUGUCUCAAAGUACAUUCAGUCAGAAUGAUCCCUCUCAAGACAAGCUAGUAGAAGACUUGGACCAUCGGAAUCACAUUCAAUUUCCAUAAUGCAUCCCAUGGCUCUUUUCCUUCAUUAGAGGGUCCGGUACUCGCCCCUUCUUCAAGAGCCAAACGCUCUUUUAUGUUCAUUAGAGAACGGUACGCCCAUUUGACUAUGUAUACACCUGAUUUUUCAUGUGACCAUGCCAUAAAAUCACCACCACCUCCCUGACAUAAUGGUAUGUUCAGAUUGCUUGCGCGUUAGGGGCGCUAAAAAGAUCUCGCACGAACUCUGUCUUCCAUGUCCAGUUGUUAGUAUCAAUAAGUUCACUGACGAACUCGACAUUUGUGUUUUCUGGUAUAAAUAUAGGAGUCAUGGAUAUUGUCGACAUAAUCCAUCGGUCCCCCCAUAUUGAUAUGGUGGAUCUUGUACCCACAUGCUUGAUGAGGCCGGUAUCGAGUGCCUCUCGGCCAGCCACUAUAGCUCUCCAUGUAACAGAUGUAGUCUUUAAGAAAUUGGCCAGAUAGAACUUUGUAUCAGGAAAAUAUCUCCCUUUCAAUACUCGAGCACAUAAGGAACUGGGAUUAGUCAUGAGGCGCUAGUCAUGUUUCCCAAGAAGUGCCAGUUGAAAAAUCAUAGACCGUGGAAGCCCAUUCCGCCUUUACAUUUGGGUGUAGCUAAGUUGUCCCAUGAGAUCCAAUGCAUAGACCGUUGAUCAAUGGAGCUACUCCAGAAAUAUUUUUCCAUACCUGAAGUCAGGUUCUUGCAAACUUUUUUGGUCAAGAGAAAACAUUUCAUGCUGAAUGUUGGGAUCGCCUAGAUCACUGAUUUCAAUAGAGUUUCUUUGGCAGCACAAGCAAGUAGACGCUCUGACGAACCUUACAUUUUUGUGCGCGCCCGUUCAUCGAUAUGGGUGAAGGUGCCGCUGGUAAUCCUACCUAUUGCCGUAGGCAGACCAAGGUAGCGCUCGCCAAAGGCCUCAACCUGUACACCGAGCAAUUGUUUAACCGUCACACGUGUAUGCUGGGGAGUAUUGGGACUAAAAAAUAUUGAACUUUUGUCUCAAUUUACACAUUGUACAGAGCCCUCCCCAUAGAUGCUGAGAAUUUCAUUAAGUCUAGUUGCACUUUGACUAUUGGCUUGUAUAGAAAUUAGGCAAUCAUCUGCAAAUAGUAAGUGGCUAACCCAUGGUGAUAUGAAACUCACUCGAAUGCAUCUAUCAAUAUAUCUACCAUAUGAGUUUAGCAAAGAUGAAAGUCCUUCUGCACACGAAAGGAAUAGGAAUGGUGAUAUGGAAUAUCCCUGGCGCAGACCGCUAGAUGGGGUAAAAUAUGGGAGGAGUUCAUCAUUCAAUCUAUCUGUGAACCGCACUAAAGUAACACACUUAUUAUCAGGCGAACAAAGUUGAUGCUAAAGCCAAUUUUCAAGAGAAUGGACUCCAGAUAGUGCCUUCCACUCGAUCAUAAGCUUUCAUCAUAUCGAGCUUUACUGCGAAUGUAUGAUUCUUUCCCUUCUUGUUUCUCUUCAUGGUAUGAACACUUUCAUAAGCAACCAAAACAGUAUCCGUGAUUAGGCGGUCAGGAACGAAAGCACAGUGUUUAUCACUAAUCAACUCAUCCAUCAAUCCUCUCAUGCGAUUAGUAACAACCUUAGCUACUAUUUUAGAGCAUAGGGCAUAGAACAAUAGGCCAAUAUUGUGAAAUAAACUAAGGAUGUCAUACCUUAGGUAUCAAUGUGAUGGACGUAUCAUUCAAACCUGUUAGUAGAUCACCUCCAUUGAGAAAACCAAGGACCGCCUGCGUUAUAUCAUCUUUGAGCAAGGUCCAAUGCCGCUGGAAAAACCCGGCAGUAAAACCGCCACAUCCAGAGCCUUCGAGGGGGCAUAUGAAAUAAAGCAUCAUGCGCCUCGACAGCUUCAUAUGGUCUGUCCAGAAACUCUCUCGUAGCUACUGUAACCCGGUUGGGAAUAUGUGAUAAAAGCACACUAGUAUCGUAGGCCCCUUGGGACUCAUAUAGUCGCUGAUAGAAAGCUAAUUUUUUUUCUUAAUAUUCUUCACCAUGUGCGCACACGGAACCAUUAGCCCGUUGUAGACUAACAAUCCAGUCCGUACGUUGCCGCUGCUUGACUUGCGCAUGGAAAUAGCCGGUGUUGCGGUCUCCCUCUCAUAACCAAGGUACUCGAGAUCUUUGCCGCAUCCAAAUCUCCUCUUGCCGAAGUGCUUCUCUAAGCUUAAUCACAGUUUGCUUCUCCUCUUCAAAAGGGCCCUGACCGAGUGAUUGACGACCCAAACUGUCUAGUCUUUUUUGUAACUGUUGAACUAUCCGAGCUAGACAACCAAAAUCCUUUAGCCCCCACGACUCAAGCUUGCUUUGCAAGUGACCGAGGGAAUCAAUCACCCCCAGCAGUCCCGGUCCUCGUUGGCUUUGUCGCCAGGUCUCAGUGACAAGGUGUUCAUAGUCGAUGUGAGUCUCCCAAACAUUCUCAUACCGGAACUGGCGCUUUGAGCAUGACACAAUGGGCAGCUGAUUCAUAUUGGAACCAAUAAAGCAAUGGUCCAAGUCAGCUGCACAUACAUGUCGUACUCUAAUGUGUUCAAAAAGCUGUCUGAAAUCUUCAUUUCCAAAGGCCUGAUCCAGACGAGCUUUGACGUUCGAGUUCCCACCCUGUCCGUUUGUGACGCCCCCGAUUUAAUCGUACACUAAGCAUGCACACAAAUGUGUACGAUCAAGAUCAGGGACUCACGGGAAGAUAUCACAACACAACUCUAAAACAUAAAUAAGUCAUACAAGCAUCAUAAUACAAGCCAGGGGCCUCGAGGGAUCGAAUACAAGUGCUCGAUCCUAGAUGAGUCAGCGGAAGCAACAAUAUCUGAGUAUAGACAUAAGUUAAACAAGUUUGCCUUAAGAAGGCUAGCACAAACUGGGAUACAGAUCAAAAGAGGCGUAGGCCUCUUGCCUGGGAUCCUCCUAACUACUCCUGGUCAUCGUCAGCAGCCUGCACGUAGUAGUAGGCACCUCCGGUGUAGUAGGAGUCGUUGUCGACGGUGGCGUCUGGCUCCUGGACUCCAGCAUCUGGUUGCGACAACCAGAAAGAAAGGAAAGGGGGAAAAGGGGGGGAGAAAGCAACCGUGAGUACUCAUCCAAAGUAUUCGCAAGCAAGGAACUACACUACAUAUGCAUGGGUAUAUGUGUAAGGAGGCCAUAUCAGUGGACUGAACUGCAAAAUGCCAGAAUAAGAGGGGGAUAGCUAGUCCUAUCGAAGACUACGCUUCUGGCAGCCUCCGUCUUGCAGCAUGUAGAAGAGAGUAGAUUGAAGUCCUCCAAGUAGCAUCGCAUAGCAUAACCCUACCCGGCGAUCCUCCCCUCGUCGCCCUGUGGAAAAGUGAUCACCGGGUUGUUUGUGGAACUUGUCUGGGUGUGUUUUAUUAAGUAUCCGGUUCUAGUUGUCAUAAGGUCAAGGUACAACUUCGGGUCGUCCUUUUACCGAGGGACACGGCUAUUCGAAUAGAUAAACUUCCCUGCAGAGGUGCACCACAUAACCCAACACGCUCGAUCCCAUUUGGCCGGACACACUUUCCUGGGUCAUGCCCGGCCUCGGAAGAUCCACACGUCGCAGCCCCACCUAGGCACAACAGAGAGGUCAGCACGCCGGUCUAAAUCCUAUGCGUGCAGGGGUCUGGUCCCAUCACCCAUUGCACACCUGCACGUUGCGUACGCGACCGGUAAGCAUACCUAGCAACCUCCAUUACAAAGGAAGUUGCGUUAACGCAGUCCAACCCGGUGCGUACCGCUCAGUCGCUGACGUCACGAAGGCUUCGGCUGAUACCACGACGUCGAGUGCCCAUAUCUUUCCCGCGUAGUUGGUUAGUGCGUAUAGGCCAGUGGCCAGACUCAGAUCAAAUAUCAAGAUCUCGUUAAGCGUGUUAUUAUGAAGUAACCGCGGACACCGACCAGGGCCAGGCCCACCUCUCGCCUAGGUGAUCUCAACCUGCCCUGUCGCUCUGCCACAAAGUAACAGUCGGGGGUCGUCGGGAACCCAGGCCCACCUCUACCAGGAUGGAGCCACCUGUCCUUUCAGCCUCCACAUCGGAAUCACUUGCGGGUACUCAACGAGCUGACCCGACUUUAGUCACCAUCUGUAUAGUAUGUAUAUAUGUAUAAUAUAUACCCGUGAUCACCUCCCAAGUGAUCACGGCCCGAUAGUAUAGCAAGGCAGACUGACAAGAAUGUAGGGCCAAUGAUGAUAAACUAGCAUCCUAUACUAAGCAUUUAGGAUUGCGGGUAAGGUAUCAACGACUGUAGCAACAAUGACAGGCUAUGCAACAUAAUAGGAGUAACCGAACAGUAACAUGCUACACUACUCUAAUGCAAGCAGUAUAGAAAAGAAUAGGCGAUAUCUGGUGAUCAAGGGGGGAGGGCUUGCCUGGUUGCUCUGGCAAGAAGGAGGGGUCGUCAACACCGUAGUCAAACUAGGGGGUCGCCAGCAGUCUCGGGGUCUACCGGAAAGAAGUAACGGAGGGGGAACACAAUAAAUAAUAGAGCAAUCAAAGCAACACAAAGCAUAACAUGGCAAUACGCAGUGCUAGAGGUGACCUAACGCAAUGCUAGGAGAUAUAGGUGAAGGGGGGAAACAUCCAGGAAAGUAUCCCCGGUGUUUCGCGUUUUCGGAUAGUUGAACCGGAGGGGGAAAGUUGCAUGUUUGCUAUGCUAGGGAUGUGUGGCACAUGAACAUGUUGCGUAUCCGGAUUCGACUCGUCGUUCUGAGCAACUUUCAUGUACAAAGUUUUUCCAUCCGAGCUACGGUUUAUUUUAUAUUAAUUUUAAAAAGAUUUAAAUUAAUUUUAGCAUUUAUUUAAUUAAUUUAAUACAACAUUAUCCAAAACAGUGCAUGCUGACAUCAUCAUGACGUCACCAGUCAAUAGGGGUUGACUGGGUCAAUCUGACAUGUGGGUCCCGCAUGUCAUUGACUGUUAACUAACCUAACAGAUUAAUUAACUAAACUAGGUGAUUAGGUUAAUCUAAUCAGGAUCAAUUAAGUUAAUUAAUUCUUUAAUUAAUUAACUAAUUAAUAUUUUAAUUAUUUUAAUUAUUUAAUUAUUUACUUUUUUAUUAAAUCUUUUUUUUAAUUUUCGUUCUAGGGCCUGGGCCCCUCAUGUCAUAGGCACAGGGGCCUUAACGGGUGCUGGUACAGGCGGGUUACGGGCGCUCGGGCAUCGAGUGCUAGCGCCCAGCCCGUUUGCGAACAGAGGCGCGUCGGCGCGAGCGCCAGCAAGCAGAGACCGUGGGCGGGGCCGACGAGGAUGGCGGAGUGCGACGAGUGAAGAGGCCGGUGACCAGGGCGGUUUGUGGCGACGGAGCGGUGGCGAGGCGUGGAACGCGACAACGGCAUGGCGCGCGUGGCUGCGGGCGCGGCCUUCGGUGCAGUAAGGCGUCGAGUGCGGCGGCUAGGCGCAAGCAGAGGGGCUCGCACGGGUGCCGGCGAGGCAAGGGCAGGAGGGAGGCGGCCUAGGUCGGGUGGGCGCGGAGUCGGACGCGCGCGCGUGUCGCGCGUGACGAGCAGCGCUGGCCAAAGAGGAAAAAAAAGAGGGAAGGACGGCGGCUCACCGGGCCCUGCAGAUGUGCAUACGCGGGCUCGGGGAGGAGGACGAGGACGGGCGAGGUCGAGGCGGCGGUGCUCCGGGGAGGUGGUCCGGCGAGGAGGAGGAUGGGGACAAUGUGUGACAAAGAGGAGGCAGUCCGUCGAAGGCGGAGGCGCAUCGAUCUCCGGGCGGCGAGGAUCCAGCGACCGGGGCGGUGGGGUGGUUCGGCUCCAGGUGUCGAGCGGCAGAGCGGCGUCGGCAGUGGUGCGGCGUCGGGCGGUGGAGUCAGGGCAUCGCGCCCCGAUCCAGAUCCAGCGGGGGGGAACGAACGAGUGGGGGGAGUGGUGGUNNNNNNNNNNNNNNNNNNNNNNNNNNNNNNNNNNNNNNNNNNNNNNNNNNNNNNNNNNNNNNNNNNNNNNNNNNNNNNNNNNNNNNNNNNNNNNNNNNNNNNNNNNNNNNNNNNNNNNNNNNNNNNNNNNNNNNNNNNNNNNNNNNNNNNNNNNNNNNNNNNNNNNNNNNNNNNNNNNNNNNNNNNNNNNNNNNNNNNNNNNNNNNNNNNNNNNNNNNNNNNNNNNNNNNNNNNNNNNNNNNNNNNNNNNNNNNNNNNNNNNNNNNNNNNNNNNNNNNNNNNNNNNNNNNNNNNNNNNNNNNNNNNNNNNNNNNNNNNGUAUAGGGAGUGGGGGUGUGGGCGGUUGGGCCGGCCCGUUCGGGCGGCGGAGGCCAGCUGGGCCACUUGGCCCAGCGGGGGGGGGGGGUCUGUUGUUUUUGUUUUGUUUUGUUUUCCUAUCAUUUGUUUCUUUUUAUUUAUUUCCCUUUCUGUUUUAUUCAAUUUAAAAUAUUUAUGCAUUUUCUAAAAAUGUGUUUACUUUAUUAUAAUUGCCCUUGUAAUAUCCGGCACCCACCAAACAUUUUUGUUUCAACUUUUGAAAACUUUUAUUGUUGACAUUAAUUUGAGUUUGAAUUUUGAAGCGGUUUUGAAUUAACCCGAGGUUAACUACAGUGACAGAGGUGACGUGGCACCAUUAACGUGAGAUUACUGUAGCAUGAUUAUCCGGGCGUCACAAUUCUCCUCCACUACAAGAAAUCUCGUCCCGAGAUUUAAGAGGUAGUGAAAGGAGGGAAGUUUUGGUAACGAAUCUAGCGGGUCUUCUCAUUCUGGCUUGCUCUUCUUGAAGAGACCGGUCCAAUACAUUGAUGUCUUCAUUCCUUUGCUUCUGGUCAUCAUGAUGAAGUCGACAUCCUUUCUUCGGGAUCUUCAUCGUACUUACGAAUAGGUAACGGGGUAGAUCGGUAACGACAGAAUGCUAUAAGGGUAAUAAUCUGGGAUUAACCCAUGAAUGAGUAUAUGAGUACCUCUCGAGUUGAACAAAUAAAACACAUCGAGAGUGAGGUUCGAAGGUACAAUAAGAGGUUCCAAGCAGAUAGAUAGUUGCUCGAAGUCCGAACCAGAGUGAGAAAGGGGUUCAGAGCAGCGAGAGUAAGUAUAGCAUCUGAUACCAGAAUAGAGCACUAGGAAGGUGGCCGUGAGUUAAAUACAAAGCCAAGCAUGGGGAAUAACCAUUAGAAAUAGGAUUAUACAGUAGAGUCAGGUUUCGAUCCUGUGAAACUGUGGGUUAUGGGCCCACCAUGUGGGUUAAAAGUAGGAAGGGCGAUGACGUCUUGCACGAUCAUGUAAGCAAGGCAUGUCAGAGGAUAGCCUAUCAGUUAUGUUGACUGCAUCAUUGGUACCAAGGGCGAGGGAUGAAGAGAACCAUUUUCCUGCUCAUUGAAACGAUGCGGACCAAUAGGCAAAGUUCUCGUCCAUCGGUGGUUUACCGAAAUGUCAUCAAUAAUAGUAACACGGUCUUACUGACAAGGUUGUACACCAUGGUGUUUACAUAAGCAGGGAGGUAUUACUGCUUAUGUCAUACUGAUCACAGAAAGGUUAAACAAAACAAUGGAAAGGAAAUGUGAUCAACAAAUUAAACAGAACAACUCAAAGGAAAAUGUGUUUAAACACAUAUUUCAGGAGUAUAUCCUUUCCAAGGGAAAGCAGAGCAUGAUAUCCAUGGUAGGAUAUGAAGUAGAAAACCACUUAGGUAAGGGGAGAGGAAUUUCAUGACACUACCCAAACAACGGUGUUUGGAUAGUUGAUCAACAAACAUUCUGCAUGGUGCUACAAAUGUGCUUAUUGUAAAAUCGGAGUACCAGAGACACGCUUCGAGAUAGCAUUGACAUUGUCUUCAAGCAAAGGUCAGACUUAGGAUACACGAAGGAUGUAGAAUAAGUCUUACAAUUUCCUCAUGGAUGAAUGUAUAACCUUGCAGAAAAGGAAACUAUAACACUAGGUGCUCCGGCCAGGUGUGCUAGGCAUGACAUCACCUUACCCGACCAUGUAAAGAUGUUAUAACUCCUGGAAUAUGUUCCAACCAUCAUAUCUGACCGAGAUUCAGAUCUGAUUGGUGUUAGGAUACCUUAGACUCAGGAUGCUUGAGAAGAAGAGGUGCAGCACAAAUCGACGAGAUGACAUUAUAAGAUUCUCGGGAAAUGAACUAUAGAAGCAAGUUUCGAAACAAGAGUUCAUCAUUUAAACCAAGGAGAGGAUGAGGGGUAGCUGAUGGACUCAGCGACAAUCCAUUGAGAUUCCCAAAAAGAUGGAUUUCCACAAUUAUGGGAACAAGGAAAUAACAUUUGUCAUAUCAAAUGAUAUAAUGAUGUAUGCUCGAUGAAAAACAUACACCAUUAAACAUUGGUUGAAAGAUGCACACAAAAGAUGGGCUUAGGUAGCAUGACCAAUGUUAGAAUGGUGGUUCAACAACCAAUAGUCUAAGAACGAACUAUCGACCAUCAACUUCAAAGCAAUAGGGUUGCUAGAAGUUCAGAAUCCAAGCAGCACUGUACACGUGUUGGUACCCUGGUUCGAAUCAACACGGGGACCAAGAUAUGAAUGGAGAUGGCGAGAAGUAUUACUAUAUUAAUAAUUCUUAAGAGGUGUUGAAAUUCUCACCACAUUUUUGACAUAAAAGAUGGUAAUACUCCAGGGUAGAACAUAACAUAAGUUGGAUACCAAGGAACUCAAGGUACCACGCAAAACUAGAACAAGUUUUGUGUUGGGAGGGAGAUCAAUAAUGUUGUUGAUGUUAACACAAAUCAUUGAGGGGGCAAGCAUGGAAUUUCUCAUCAGGAACUCAAUGUACGUCUCGGAAGAAGUUAAAAUGUUGACGAUGAUCACGACACAUUUAUCGAGAGGUUCCAAGAAGAUGUAAUCGAUCAGCGACGACAUCACACCAAGGGAAUGGUGAAGCAAAGGGUUACUAUAACCAUAGAUAAGAUACAAUCUCAUAAUCCGGAGUUGUCUCCCAAGACAAACAAUAUGAUGCGAAAAGUUCGAUGUAAGCUUAGAGCACUGUCGGGAUUGUGUCCCGGAGAUGAAGGACAUAGGUAGAAUGGUCAAGCAGUCAGCCUGACGAUGAUGAUGUAGUCAAUCAGUUGGGAAUGACAUGAUCGAGUACAAAACUCGUAAGCAAUGAAGAUUACUAAGAGUUGUCGAAUCGCAGUGCGGACUCAAUUCACUAUUUGGUGUUCUCGGUUGUCGACAACCUAGAACUCAUGGAGUGACUAUGAUAGGGAAAGGUAUUACUUCAUCAGAAAUUCAUAAGAUGAAGUGCAAUGGGUUGGUAUCCUCGAGAUACCAGGGGGUAAUACUCAAAAGUAGAUCAGGAUAGAAACUGAACUGGAUUGUUGAGUAACGAUAGCAGAUACUUUAACCUUGUCAAAAUAGACGAGGCACUGGAAUGGUUUCCUUUCAGAAAUAUAUUAAAUAAAGUUAGCAUGGUCGGAACCAUAGCUGCAAGGGAUCCAAUAUAAUGACUCUGGAAGAAUUAUUCAAAUGAUUCAAUACUUUUGCAAGAAGCUUCCAUGAUAAGUUCCACAUUGGGUCCAUGGGCAUGAACACAAAGGUUCAGGGUCGACUCCACUUCUUCAAUGCAUAACCUUUCAUUUACUUCUCGUCUUCGAAGAAGUUGUAGAACACAAAAUUAUCUGGUAAAACUCCAGAAUGAUAUGACUUGUGUAAUCUUUCAGGUUCAUGCGAUUUUAGGGAAGGUAUAGGUUCAACCCUUAGGGGUAUCUUGGGAAUGUAUACCACAAACUUCGGGGUAAAUAAUACAAGCUCAAAAGUAGAGCAUUGUUCAAAAGCAAAAGAUACAAUUUACCAAAGGCAUUAUAUACCCAUGGAAAGGCUCUCAAGGUUAUUCAAUAUGAAGGACAUUGUCGGAUAAAAUCAAACAAAGGAACCGAUGGUCCACAAGGGAUCUGAUGUGAGCAUCAGUACUCAACCAGAGGAAGAAGAAUGCACGGGCAUCAUAUUAUAGAACAUCUGAAUAAUUCGAUGCUUAGAUAACAAAGGAAUUACGGUUUCCAAAACAAAGGAUCAGAAGCACUCGCUCUGAUCAAGGAUGGAUAAGUUGGAUAGACCAGAGGCACAAUUGACGACCAAUAGUUUGGUCGAGAACCGGCUCAUGUUCAAAAAUGAUGUCUGACCCGGAAAGAUAAUUUAGAAGGGUUGAUAGAUGAUUGUGUGCAUUCGCACACAUGUUGAAUCAAUAGGAUCAAAAUGACGGUGUCAAAAGAUACUAGUGAAUAUUGCCAGAUAUAUGGGAAGCAUCCAUAAUGCAAGUAGACAAGUAUUUGCAGAGCAAUAAAGCUGCUAAGGAUUUUCGAAGGAUUGAAUAGUAUUUCAAAGACUUUUGUGAAACACCUGAACAACUGGGGAUGAGCGGAUACUCGGAAAGUGCGAGAAAUUAUUCUUAGGGGUAUUCAGGUGGCAAAGAACUGCAAGGCAGUAGGCACAAAAUAUUCUCGGGGUAUCUUGUAAUAACAAGAUCGAUUGGGAAUAAAAGUAAGCACGACAGGUGUAAGUAUUUAUCCAUAGGGAUAUUUCGGUGGAAGGGAAUUGCAAAAGCAACGGGCACAAGGUCUUGAGAGAAAAUCGGAGAGUAUCUUCGAAAUCUCCUGGUGCAGUCGGUGAUCAUCUGGACUGAAGGGCCUCUCCGGGAGAAAGUAUUUUCGAGAACCUAAAGUUAGAUUUUAGUAAAAACCGUUUAACCCGAAUAGAAGAGAGUUCAGAAUCCUGGAGUAAAGGUCGAGGAGUAAAAGAUCCUAGUACCACCCAAUGGCGACGUGGGCCCGUAAGGCACACAGCCAUGUUAGUAAAAGUUUUGUAAUAUCUAGACUCAACUUCGGCCAAGAAGUGUGGAGGGGGGAUUCCUACAGGCAGUCGGCUCUGAUACCAACUUGUGACGCCCCUGAUUUAAUCGUACACUAAUCAUGCACGCAAAUGUGUACGAUCAAGAUCAGGGACUCACGGGAAGAUAUCACAACACAACUCUAAAACAUAAAUAAAUCAUACAAGCAUCAUAAUACAAGCCAGGGGCCUCGAGGGCUCGAAUACAAGUGCUCGAUCAUAGACGAGUCAGCGGAAGCAACAAUAUCUGAGUACAGACAUAAGUUAAACAAGUUUGCCUUAAGAAGGCUAGCGCAAACUGGGAUAUAGAUCGAAAGAGGCGUAGGCCUCCUGCCUAGGAUCCUCCUAACUACUCCUGGUCGUCGUCAACAGCCUGCACGUAGUAGUAGGCACCUCCGGUGUAGUAGGAGUCGUCGUCGACGGUGGCGUUUGGCUCCUGGACUCCAGCAUCUGGUUGCGACAACCAGAAAGAAAGGAAAGGGGGAAAAGUGGGGAGAAAGCAACCGUGUGUACUCAUCCAAAGUACUCGCAAGCAAGGAACUACACUACAUAUGCAUGGGUAUAUGUGUAAGGAAGCCAUAUCAGUGGACUGAACUGCAGAAUGCCAGAAUAAGAGGGGGAUAGCUAGUCCUAUCGAAGACUACGCUUCUGGCAGCCUCCGUCUUGCAGCAUGUAGAAGAGAGUAGAUUGAAGUCCUCCAAGUAGCAUCGCAUAGCAUAACCCUACCCGGCGAUCCUCCCCUCGCCGCCCUGUGGAAAAGCGAUCACCGGGUUGUCUGUGGAACUUGUCUGGGUGUGUUUUAUUAAGUAUCUGGUUCUAAUUUUCAUAAGGUCAAGGUACAACUCCGGGUCGUCCUUUUACCGAGGGACACGGCUAUUCGAAUAGAUAAACUUCCCUGUAGGGGUGCACCACAUAACCCAACACGCUCGAUCCCAUUUGGUCGGAGACACUUUCCUGGGUCAUGCCCGGCCUCGGAAUAUCAACACGUCGCAGCCCCACCUAGGCACAACAGAGAGAUCAGCACGCCGGUCUAAAUCCUAUGCGCGCAGGGGUCUGGGCCCAUCGCCCAUUGCACACCUGCAUGUUGCGUACGCGGCCGGUGAGCAGACCUAGCAACCUCCAUUACAAAGGAAGUUGCGUUAACGCAGUCCAACCCGGCGCGCGCCGCUCAGUCACUGACGUCACGAAGGCUUCGGCUGAUACCACGACGUCGAGUGCCCAUAUCUUUCCCGCGUAGUUGGUUAGUGCGUAUAGGCCAGUGGCCAGACUCAGAUCAAAUACCAAGAUCUCGCUAAGCGUGUUAUUAUGAAGUAACCACGGACGCCGACCAGGGCCAGGCCCACCUCUCGCCUAGGUGGUCUCAACCUGCCCUGUCGCUCCGCCACAAAGUAAUAGUCGGGGGCCGUCGGGAACCCAGGCCCACCUCUACCGGGAUGGAGCCACCUGUCCUUCCAGCCCCCACAUCGGAAUCACUUGCGGGUACUCAACGAGCUGACCCGACUUUAGUCACCAUCUGUAUAGUAUGUAUAUAUGUAUAAUAUAUACCCGUGAUCACCUCCCAAGUGAUUACGGUCCGAUAGUAUAGCAAGGCAGACUGACAAGAAUGUAGGGCCAAUGAUGAUAAACUAGCAGCCUAUACUAAGCAUUUAGGAUUGCGGGUAAGGUAUCAACGACUGUAGCAACAAUGACAGGCUAUGCAACAUAAUAGGAGUAACCGAACAGUAACAUGCUACACUACUCUAAUGCAAGCAGUAUAGAAAAGAAUAGGCGAUAUCUGGUGAUCAAGGGGGGGGGGGCUUGCAUGGUUGCUCUGGCAAGAAGGAGGGGUCGUCAACACCGUAGUCAAACUGGGGGGGUCACCGGCAGUCUCGGGGUCUACCGGAAAGAAGUAACGGAGGGGAAACACAAUAAAUAAUAGAGAAAUCAAAGCAACACAAAGCAUAACAUGGCAAUGCAGUGCUAGGGGUGACCUAACGCAAUGCUAGGAGAUAUAGGUGAAGGGGGGAAACAUCCGGGAAACUAUCCCCGGUGUUUCGCGUUUUCGGACAGUUGAACCGGAGGGGGAAAGUUGCAUGUUUGCUAUGCUAGGGAUGUGUGGCGGAUGAACGGGCUGCGUAUCCAGAUUCGACUCGUCGUUCUGAGCAACUUUCAUGUACAAAGUUUUUCCAUCCGAGCUACGGUUUAUUUUAUAUUAAUUUUAAAAAGAUUUAAAUUAAUUUUAGCAUUUAUUUAAUUAAUUCAAUACAACAUUAUCCAAAACAGUGCAUGCUGACAUCAUCAUGGCGUCACCAGUCAAUAGGGAUUGACUGGGUCAAUCUGACAUGUGGGUCCCGCAUGUCAUUGAUUGUUAACUAACCUAACAGAUUAAUUAACUAAACUAGGUGAUUAGGUUAAUCUAAUUAGGAUCAAUUAAGUUAAUUAAUUAUUUAAUUAAUUAACUAAUUAAUAUUUUAAUUAUUUUAAUUAUUUAAUUAUUUACUUUUUUAUUAAAUCUUUUUUUUAAUUUUCGUUCUAGGGCUUGGGCCCCUCAUGUCAUAGGCACAGGGGCCUUAACGGGUGCUGGUACAGGCGGGUUACGGGCGCUCGGGCAUCGAGUGCUAGCGCCCAGCCCGUUUGCGAACAGAGGCGCGCCGAUGCGAGCGCCAGCCAGCAGAGGCCGUGGGCGGGGCCGACGAGGACGGCGGAGUGCGACGAGUGAAGAGGCCGGUGGCCAGGACGGUUUGUGGCGACGGAGCGGUGGCGAGGCGUGGAACGCGACAACGGCAUGGCGCGCGUGGCUGCGGGCGCGGCCUUCGGCGCAGCAAGGCAUCGAGUGCGGCGGCUAGGCGUGAGCAGAGGGGCUCGCACGGGUGCCGGCGAGGCAAGGGCAGGAGGGAGGCAGCCCAGGUCGGGUGGGCGCGGAGUCGGACGCGCGGGCGUGUCGCGCGUGACGAACAGCGCUGGCCAAAGAGGAAAAAAAAGAGGGAAGGACGACGGCUCACCGGGCCCUGCAGAGGUGCAUACGCGGGCUCGGGGAGGAGGACGAGGACGGGCGAGGUCGAGGCGGCGGUGCUCCGGAGAGGUGGUCCGGCGAGGAGGAGGAUGGGGACGACGUGUGACGAAGAGGAGGCAGUCCGUCGAAGGCGGAGGCGCAUCGAUCUCCGGGCGGCGAGGAUCCAGCGACCGGGGCGGCGGGGUGGUUCGGCUCCAGGCGUCGAGCGGCAGAGCGGCGUCGGCAGUGGUGCGGCGUCGGGCGGUGGAGUCAGGGCAUCGCGCCCCGAUCCAGAUCCAGCGGGGGGAACGAACGCGUGGGGGGAGUGGUGGUCGUGGGGCUAGGGUUCGGUGCCCCCAGGGGGUAUAGGGAGUGGGGGUGUGGGCGGUUGGGCCGGCCCGUUCGGGCGGCGGAGGCCAGCUGGGCCACUUGGCCCAGCGGGGGGGUCUGUUGUUUUUGUUUUGUUUUGUUUUCCUUUCAUUUGUUUCUUUUUUAUUUAUUUCCCUUUCUGUUUUAUUCAAUUUAAAAUAUUUAUGCAUUUUCUAAAAAUGUGUUUACUUUAUUAUAAUUACCCUUGUAAUAUCCGGCACCCACCAAAUAUUUUUGUUUCAACUUUUGAAAACUUUUAUUGUUGACAUUAAUUUGAGUUUGAAUUUUGAAGCGGUUUUGAAUUAACCCGAGGUUAACUACAGUGACAGAGGUGACGUGGCACCAUUAACGUGAGAUUACUGUAGCAUGAUUAUCCGGGCGUCACACCGUUGUCCCAGGUAUAGGGUACCCCUGACCAAGCAAGAUCUUGAGAGAAAAAUUGUCGAUUACUUCUUGAAAAGCUCUCAUUUGCCACUCGGGCCGCUCGAAUUACUGAAGUGCUCAGUGGCAUAGGGUCUCGUUGGAGUCACCCAUGCAUAACCAUGCAGAAUGAGGCAAGGCAUGUAGCGUUCGAAGAAACCGCCAACUACGGUGACGAUCCUCAGCUCAAGGGGCUCCAUAAAACCUGGUGAACCGCCAUUCCAAUGGAGCUUGUUCCUUCGCAAAGUUUUUUUUACCGGAACCGGUAUGUGCCGGCAAAGGAUCCAUCUUACACCUCAGAAUUUAAGACUCGUGCAAAGAAAAUAAAAUCCUUUUCACAUUUGGAGAUAUAGAUGGAAUACACAACUGUACAAAUGACAUGCACGGACUUUUGUCAGGCAAAGUACUAGUGGAGGAUGCUUUCACUCAGAAUAGUACAACACUGGCUGCAUGCACAUGUCGUCCUCCUCUCUCUCUCUCUCUCCAAACAAAAAAACUUGCCUUUUAUUUUCAAUCUAGCAUUUUGAAUUGCACAUAACUUUUAAACCUAAUUUUUGUUUUGGAAACUUUUUAUAUAUUCGUAUCUAGGUCGACAAGGUCUUUAAAUCAAGACCAAUCUUGGAUAUAUUUUGACUAGUUUUAAUUUUCAAUUCUAGUUAUUUUUUUCAAAGGAGUGAAAUAAGUUUUUGAAAAUGAGUGGAAGUUGGUCUCACGUUUUUUUCCCUGUUCCACAUGUUCGAAAUAACUAGUUUACUCAUUUCAAAACUUUUGUUUCACUUAUUUUAGAACACUAAUUUCACUUAUAUAAAAAACUACCAUUUAAAAAAAUCACUAGUUUCAAAACUAGAUUUCACUCCUUUUAAAAAUUAAUUUGAAAUAAUAAGUUUCACAUUUUUUAAAUAACUAGUUUGGCAUUUUUGAAAUAACAAGUUUCAACUCUCAAUUGAGUGAACACCGUCUUUGAAUUGAAAGGAGUGAAAUCCCUUUUUUUGAAAUGAGUGAAACCAAUUAUUUCAAAUGAUUGAAAUAUGUGUUUUGAUAUGACUGAAAUAAGUAUUUUGAAAUGAGUGAAAUAAACAAGUUAAAUCAUUUUUUAAGAAACGAGUGAUUUUUUUAAUUAGAAAUGACUGAAAUAGGUUGCAAGAAUUUUAAACUCGUUCGAAAUGUAUUCAAAUAACAAGUUUUACAUCUCAAUUGAGUGAACACUGUCUUUGAAUUGAAAGGAGUGAAAUCUGCUUUUUGAAAUGAGUGAAACCAAUUAUUUCAAAUGAUUAAAAUAUGUGUGUUGAGAUGACUGAAAUAAGUAUUUUGAAAUGAGUGAAAUAAAUAAGUUAAAUCAUUUUAUAAGAAAUAAGUGAAACGUGUUUAAGAAAUGAGUGAAAUAUGUUGCAAGAAUUUUAAAGGCAUUCAAAAAGUAUUCAAAUAACAAGUUUCACAUCUCAAUUUAGUGAACAUUGUCUUUGUAUUGAAAGUAGUGAAAUCCGUUUUUUGAAAUGAGUGAAACCAAUUUUUUCAAAUGAUUGAAAUGUGUUUUGAAAUGAUUGAAAUAAGUGAAAUAAAUAAGUUAAAUCAUUUUUUAAGAAAUGAGUGAAAUUUGUUUAUUACAAAUGAGUGAACUCAAUUCGAAAUGUAUUCAAGUUUGAUCUUAUUUUAAAGAUCGCGUCGUCAGGAAUUCAAAUAAGUAAAAAUAUUUCAAAAUGAAAUUUUUAUUCAAAAUAUAUCAAUGAAUUAAUAUCUUUCAAGAUAAAUAAAAUGUUUGCUUUUUCUGUGUGUGGAUUGUUUUUACAGCAUGCAUGCACGGCUAGGCAUAAAAAAUGCACUCAAUAAUACAGUUGGAUCUGACAUUGAUUUAAUUUAAUGCACCAGAUACUAGCCAAAUACAAAACAAUACCAUUAGAUAGUUGGCCCACACAAAGUUAAGUGAAAGCAUUUGAUUGGUUGGGACUUCGUCGGUAGCUCCUAGCACCGGUAGAUUUACUUAUUUGCUUGUUCCUUACGAUCAGCGCAGUUUUAUUAUUUUACGAGGAUCAGUACAAUUUUGUCAGGACCCCGACUCAAUGCCACAUCGAUCUAGCAUGUAACACCUCAUAUCACUUUGCGGCCUCACGCACGGUAUUCCCACGGGUGUCGCCUUACCUCUGCCCGGGACCGUUUGCGCCUUUUGGCACACGUAUAUGACAGUGUCGCUAGCAUCCAUAUGAUAAGGAGCCCGGGCUGACAUGGCUAGUCGUAAACCCAAAGUGGCACAAACUUACAGGGACAGGCAUCCAUGACCCAGCAUCGAACGUGUCGGUCAUCAGCGAGUGAAUCCAGGCUGUAGCACUGGGCUAGCAGGACUCCGGUGAACCGGGCUGUAGCGGGCUAAUAGGACUCCGGUAUUCAUCGCGUGACAUUUCCCCGAAGGGACGGACACAGGAACGAAGAAGGACACAUGCCGGCCAGCCUAAGUGUUCCGGAGCAGCAGCAAGCUACCAUGGCUCAGUGGAAACACUAGGAGACAUUUCCCGGUAAGAGAGGCUACUAAGGAUAAACAACUAGAUAGCCAGAUCCCACACAUACCAAGCAUUUCAAUAACAUACACACAAUAUGCUCGAUAUGUGCAAUUACAACAUGGCAUCACAACAUGACUCUAUGACACAAGUAAAUAUUCAAUAGGCUCCGAGGAGCGAGAUAUUACAAACAUGGGUCUCAUGACCCAACAAUCAGAGCAUACAAGUCAAGCACAAGCGGAAGCUAUCAUGUCUGGGUACAGAUAUCUAUAAAUGAAAAAGGCUGAGAAGCCUGACUAUCUAUCAGAUCCUGCCGAGGGCACAAGAUCGUAGCUGAGGUAACAAGCUAAACGUCGAAGUCCACGCGAAACUACUAGUGAGACUGAAGUCUCUCUGCAAAAACAUAAAAUAGGCAAACGUGAGUACAAAUGUACCCAGCAAGACUUACAUCAGAACUAACUACAUAUGCAUCAUUAUCAACAAAGGGGUGGUGGGGUUUAACUGCAACAAGCCAGCUUUGACUCGGUGGCUAUCCUAAACUACGACUGCGAGUAACUCUUUUGAGGUGGCGCACACGAGUCCACAUAUUCACCAUAUCAAUACACCACUAUGGAUCCGCUCCCGUCUCCCUACGAGAGCGCCAUCCAUAGCACUCACGCUUAUCUUGCGUAUUUUAGAGUAUCCACUUUCACUUGUCUAUGAACUGAUAUAAGCAACCCAGAAGUCCUUUUCCGCGGACAUGGCUAUUCGAAUAGAUUAGGUUAACCCUGCAGGGGUGUACUUCUUCACACACGCUCUCACCACUUACCGCCGUUUACACGACAUGUACUCGGCAACCUUCAAGCGGAAGCCCAACGUGGGUGUCGGCCACGGCCUACCUAAACACUCAAGUCUCUAGUCUAGGUUUAUCGCCUAUUCGGGUUCCAUCCAUGAGGAGAUCCGGCCGGAGUUUCGCUCACAGCCCCAAACGAUGUGAACAGGGUUCCCGAGACACCAAACGGGCGCCCGGUACACCGUGCCACGUGCCUACCGCAUCACAGCCCACCCCUACGGUCAGCGCUGCGCACGGCCUCCAGCAUACUACAAACACCAGAAACUACUUGCAACUCCUGGACAGAGGACAAGGGUGAUCAAGAAGCCGAGAGGGUCCAUUGGUUUCGGGCCCAAUGCGUGGUAGUAGCUGAAUCAUGGAUCACAAACACAGAACUCAGUUCCUGAGGACGGCUGCAAUGAGACAACCCACCAUGUACUCCUACAUGGCCUCUCACCGCUACCUUUACCAAAUCGUGUUCACAUACUUAGCUCACACAGUAGGACAUGUUCACACGCCUCUGAUUCAUCCCCGAUGAAUCAGACCUGACUCAACUCUAAGCAGUAGCAGGCAUGACAAACAAGCAAGAAUGAGUAGGCACAACAGGGCUCAAACAACUCCUACUCAUGCUAGUGGGUUUCAUCUAUUUACUGUGGCAAUGACAGGUCAUGCAAAGGAUAAAGGGGUUCAACUACCGCAACAAGUAACAGAUGAAUCGUUGUUGUCCUAAUGCAGUAAAAGAGAGCAGGAGCGAGAGAGUGGGUUUGUAUCGGAAUGAACAAGGGGGUUUUGCUUGCCUGGCACUUCUGAAGAUAACAUUGAGUCUUCAUCAGUGUCAACGAUCACAUCAUCGGUAUCACGUCUAUCGAAAGGGGGCAAUCACCGGCAACUGAGGAAAGACACAAUCAAUGCAAUGCACAAUAUGAUGCAUGCUCAUGACAUGGCAAUAUGAAUGUGUUUUGAGCUAAUGCAACUAAAACCAAAUUAAAUGAAGUUGGUUUGAAUCCAAGAUUCAAAUUCAAACUCCAUAUGUGGAUAUUUAAAUGCCCUUUAUUUGAUUUGUGCUAAACAGCAGCUAUAAGUUGUUCUAACAUGCAUGAAAAUGGUACAGAUGGAUUCCUUGAAUUUUUCUGAUAAUUUUUCAUAUAUAAAUUAUUUAAUUUGGAGUUACGGUUAAUUUUCUAUGAAUUUUAGAAGUUUAUACAAUUUUCUGGAUUUUCUGAAUUAUUUUAGAAAAUGAUUAUCUGCGUCAUCAUUGCGUCAUGCUGACCUCAGCAGGUCAACAGACCGGGUCCAGGUCAAACCUGACACUGGGACCCACAUGUCAGUGUGAUUAGCUUAACUAAAAUUAAUUAAAACUAAUCCUAAUAGUUAACAGGGCUGGGCCCCACCUGUCAUUGACUCAGGAGAGUCAACCGGGGCCCACCCGUGGUCAAAGUCAAAGUCGGCUGCCGGCUUUUAGCCGCCGGCGAGCCCGACGCGGCGGCGAGAGUGGUUUUGGCCACUCCGGCGACCAAAUGGGCCGCGGAGGGCAUCUAGGAGGAGCUGGGGACGAGCCGAAGCUCUUGGUGGAGUCAGUUGCGCUCGGGGCGGCCGGAAUCGGUGCCGGCGGCGAGCGAGGCGGCGGCCGGAGCUCGGGUGGGUGCGGGGUUAGCGCUGCGGCUUGCAAACGAGCUAGCUGCCACGCUAGCGUUACUCCACGGGUCGUUGCGAGUGCAACGGACGCACGCGCGGGGCCAUUUGGUCACCGGGGCUUCGCCGGUGACGAGCCCGCGCGGCGAUGGCUACGGUAAGCAAGGGGGCGGCGGCUACGGCAAGCAAACGAAGGCGGGAUUAGGGGGAAGAGGACCGGGGGCUCACCACGGUCACGAAGAGAUGCUCGGCGAGGUCGGGGACGGUCCGGAGCCGGCGAAUUUGACGAAGAUGGCCGGCGGGUCCGAGGUAGAAGACGACGGCGAUGGCGGCGAUGCAGGGCUUCCGGAGGGUUGUGGAUCGGUGGGGAGGAAGAGGGGGUCGAGGCGGAGCUCCUGGGUGCAUCGGCGAGGCUAGGGGUGCACGGUGGCUGCGGCAAUCGGCGUCGGUGGCGGCGGCUCCGUUCGGGCCCGAGGUGCGGAGCGAGAGGGAGAGCAGGAGAAGGGGAUGAGCACGGGAGGGAGUUGAGAGCGGCCCGAGGGUUGCGUGGCGCUCGGGAGAGGCAUCCAGACCCUCGGCGGCAAGCAGGAGCUGGCGAGGCGCGUGCUCGCGCGCGUCGGCCACGCGUGCUGUCCUUCUGGCGAGAGGAGAGGGACGACUGGCGUGGCCAGUCUGCUGGGCCGAACUGCUGGGCCAGCUGGUAAGUGGCCCAGGUAAGCCUCUCUCCCCUUUUUUUCUAUUUUGUUUCUCUUUUCUAUUUCUGUAGUUUUGUUUCUGAUUUAGUUUAUAGCCCAAAUCAUUUUAAUAAAUCCUGCAAAUAAUUGUGGCCAUUAAAUGAAUUAUUACAGAGGCCCUUAACUAUUUUCAGAAUUGUUGGAGCAUUUAAAAAUAUUAAUAGUAUUUAAAUGCCCCAAUUCAAAUACAAUAUGGAUUAUUCAAAAAUCCAUAAUGGCCCAAAAAUAUUGGCAUCAUUUUUGGUAGAGGUUUUUCACCUUUGUCAAAAAUCAUGAACAUUUUUGAAAGCCAUUUGGACUUACUUGAAAGUAUUUUAGGUGAACCUAGUGAAUUCCUUUAAUGCUAGGGUUUGAGCAAUCCCCAUUUCAAGUUCAUUCAAAAGUUAAACAUGAUGCACACAUGAGGUCUAGCCUAGUGCAUACCAGAAGCUAGGGAUGUGACAACUCACCCCCACUAAACAAGAAUCUCGUCUCGAGAUUCAAGCGUAGGGUAGGAUGAAGGGAAAACGCAAACUAGCACAAUCUUCACGAUCCAGGUUGCACUUCAAUUGAAUGUUGAUUCGUUCACCAUCGUUGUCUCGAAGUCUUGCUCUGAGAAAUCCUGCCAACAUGACAUGGAGAGAAGAAGGAGACUCUAGAAGGGUCGAUCUUCUCGAAGAUCGAACAACUCAAGAUUAACUCACGGAAUGAGACAUAGCAACCUCUCUCGAGCUGAGAGACGAAGCACACAUCCAUAGGAAUGGGGUGAAGCAGAUGACAAAGGUUCACUAGGUAGACAACAACUCCAGACUUAAGAAUGUGGUGAUCGGUUGUCAACGUAGCGAGGAGUUGAAUUGCCAUGAUACCAUAACGAAACAUCCUGGAGAAGGGUGAUUCGUAGAUUAUUAUCUUAAGUGGCAAAAAGAAUUACCUUUGAUAUAGAGAUCAUUGAGACUCUCUAUAUCAGCCUAAGGCAAAUCACAGCAAUCGAUUGGUGGGGUCGGUAGAAUGGCAUACUCGGACUUGGAUGAUGUGGAUUACCUUGUUGAAGACAACGUAAUGGAUGAAUUUCCUUAUCACCGAAGAUGGAAGAGACCCGUGGUAGAAUGGCACAUUGAUGGUGCAAGCUAGGAACAAAAUGCAAAUGCUGGGAAUGAUUCUGGUAACUAGGAAGGAACCCAACAAUAGAGAGUGAAUUCACUGUUUGAGUAGGUCAUAGCAUGUCGAGGAAACGGAGAGGAUCCCCAGUUAGUGCCGAAGAUAACACCUAGCGCUUGAGCGUGCUCUCAAGAACUUGAGCAUUUCCAUAAUCAUCAAGGUUUUACCAACAUCCGUGUCAAGGAUCCUGGCAACACAACUUGCUACCAUGAUGAAUGAUGAUGGAUGAUGCAGAUGCAAAGGAAGAUAACACUUUCUCAGAUUUCACCUUAGCGAGGCCAAGGAAACAAAAUCUGGAUGAUCGACCGAGAGACAUUUAGCACUCCGCUUCUAAUGUUCUCCUUGACGUGCUGGUGUAACCCAUUCAUAGAUAUGGUUUGAUAACUAGAACAUCAAGUAAAGGUCGGACUUCGGGAGCAAUAGAAUCCAUAAGGAACAGUUACGGAGGUAAAUCCUACGAAAUCCUUAUGGGGAGGUGGCCAACUUCAUCAAUCAAGAUAUUAUAAUAACAGGUCUUCCGGCUGGGUGUGUUGGCCACGACAUCCACUUUACCGGUUAUCGCGCGACCAAUAUUAUAAUUCUUGGGAAAUAUUCCAACCAUCAUAUCUGCCUGAGAUUCAGAUCUGGUUGGUGUCAGGAUAUUCCAGACUCACCAAGUCUAGAAAGAAAAAUGAAAGUUUGCAACACAAAUCGACGAGAUGACGUUGCGAGAUUCUCGAGGGACGAACUGCGAUAGCAAGCUCCAAAACAUGAGCUGGUUCUGCUACAAACAUGUGAACACGCUGUCCUAGACAAACAUUAUCACAUGGUAGUCUUACAAUAAAACACUACCGAGUUCAGGUGGGGAACCAUAAUCGAGGAUAUUGAAGUCUUGUGCAUGACCUAGGAUUAGCACAUCAACUCCUUUUCCGUGAACAAAUCAAUCAGUGGCUUGGUGUGCUAGGAUAUACAUAUGGAAUGGAGGUUGCAAGUCUCCGAACCACAGAAUACUUCGCACGUAUGCAUGACUGAUUUGGGAUGAUUCCAAAGGAAACAACAUUGACUUUCUCGAGUCCACGUCGGCAACUUGCAUCCAAUGCACAUGAACUAGAGGAAGUCUCUCCUUACAUCCGAACAUAUGCUUCAUGAGCUAGCAUGAACAAAUGCUUUCAAAAGUUUCGAACACUAGCUUAAUGUUCAGCAAAAUUAUGGAGAAGACAAGGAUGUUGUCGAUGGGCUCAACAACAAUUCAUCUGGGUUUCCUUAUCACUGGACUUCCACCAUCAUGCGAACACGGUGAUAGCAUUGGUCAGACCCAAAAGAUAUAAUGGUGUAUGCUCGAGGGAUCAGCCACGAGUAAGACAACAUUACGAGCAUCGUUGGUACUGAUUUGACUUGACGAUGGCCCACACUCAAAUCAAAGGAUUGAUAAGACAAUAGGUCCAACAACUGAUCACAGGGACCAAUCGAUGAAGAUAUCAUCUUUCUUCAACACACACUACACAAGAAUAUCCCUUUGGAACGAACUAAGUCAGACAAGCUUUUAUCUUCCAACUCUCCAAGUUGUUGUCUAGCUUAACCAACUAGCUCAGGGAUAUCUAACACCGAUUCUUGGAGAGAAGGUGGUUCAUAAGAAACCAAUUUGAUCACGAGCUCAACAUAACGGUUAGGUGACGACCUGGUGAUACUUCCGAGAAGACAUUCAGAAAAUCAUGAACCAUCGGUAUGUUACUAAGCUCGAGAACAAUCUUGCUUUUCAGGGCAAGACGAUAUGAUCAAUAGAGCAAGGAUUUGAAAUAAUCCUAACUCAUCGAUCGAGGAGUGAACCAGGAGAAUGGACUAGGUAGCACGAUCAAUCUUAGAAUGAUGAUUCAAUGACCAACACACUAAGAGUGAGGUUAUCGUCCAUUUAACUACCCAGCAACGAGGUUGCUAGGCGUACUGGUUUCACACAUCACAAUUCAUUUGUCGGUAUUCCGGUUGCAUCAACACGAAGACCGAGGAAUGACUAAUGAUGGCAAGAAGUAUCACUGUACCAAGAGUUCAUAGGAUGGUGUGCAAUUCCUAUAACAAUCCCGAUAUAAAGAUGGUAAUACUCCAAGGUAGAGCAGAACAAAAGCUGGAUUAGCAAUUUGAUCUGCGGAGCACAACUUCUUUGACCCAAUCCUGGGUAUGGAUGAGGUACUGGAGUUUGUUUCUCCAAGUCAUUCAGGACAGAAUGGCUUGACGGACCACAAGGGUAAUAGGCGUCGAUAAACGAAUGCAUGCAUACCCUUGGACUAUCAAUUGAUAGACGAAGGUCAGUAGACAACUAAAGAGGGACAACUCAAAGGAACAUAUAAUUUUCUGAGUUGUGGAUGCAUAGAUUAGUAUAUCGAGCGAGAUCAACAUUUCUUCCGGAUAACCCAUGCAAAAAAGUAGAACUGGCAGAGCCAUAACAUAUAAUGGAGAACUCAUCAAGAGCACUUUGGUUGUGAUCGUUCAGUUCAACGAGGAACUUCUGCCAUAAGUAGUUCAUGGUAUUUGGAAGAAGGAUGUACCACGAACCUCGAGGACUAUCGCAAAGGUUACUAAUAUCCUAAAGGAACUAGCAAACCCUAUCAACAUGAAGUAAGUAGAGUGAAUCUCGGGUUCAAAACCCAAGGAGUAGAAUACCUACUACUAAGUAGCAUCACGGGAUGCUUUCGAGAAUGAUGGCUAGAAUCAUCACACUGGGAACACAAAUCAUGGCUAAAUUACUAGAUGAUCCCCUAAGCACUUAGGGUCAUAAUAAUAAUUCCAACAUAUAUGUCGAGGUAAUAAUUACCUCAACACACCGAUUAGUGUGGUUAAUCUGGCCCAAAGGAACAUCGAAGCGGGAGGAAGGAAUUUGCAAAUGCAUCAGACUACUUAGAAACCUGGGAUGACUCGGACAGCAUAACGGCUGUAAAUGCUCAGAAGAGAUUUGAGACAUUCACAUAAAAUGGUGGCAUAACCACUCAGAAGCACAAUAUCAAGGUUUCGAGAUCAACAAUUAGCAUAUGGAAGUAGUAGGAACUGAACUGAGACUUAAAUCCAACAAUCUUAUAAGUCCACUGAUUAGUAACACGUGAUCCUGAUAGAAAGAAGAGAUAGCCUAGUUCUUAAUCCCCAUAGGAAAGAUAAGAUGACUCAGAUCAGAAGGCAUAAGGUAUAAGGAGUAAAAAGAGCCUUACGUUCCAUCCCACAAUCAAUUCCCUUACAUAACUAAAGAAUUUCUAGACUCAACUUCGACCAGUUUGGCUUGGUAAUCCUACAGGCAGUCAAGCUCUGAUACCAACGCUGUCAGGACCCCGACUCAAUGCCACAUCGAUCUAGCAUGUAACACCUCAUAUCACUUUGCGGCCUCACGCACGGUAUUCCCACGGGUGUCGCCUUACCUCUGCCCGGGACCGUUUGCGCCUUUUGGCACACGUAUAUGACAGUGUCGCUAGCAUCCAUAUGAUAAGGAGCCCGGGCUGACAUGGCUAGUCGUAAACCCAAAGUGGCACAAACUUACAGGGACAGGCAUCCAUGACCCAGCAUCGAACGUGUCGGUCAUCAGCGAGUGAAUCCAGGCUGUAGCACUGGGCUAGCAGGACUCCGGUGAACCGGGCUGUAGCGGGCUAACAGGACUCCGGUAUUCAUCGCGUGACAUUUCCCCGAAGGGACAGACACAGGAACGAAGAAGGACACAUGCCGGCCAGCCUAAGUGUUCCGGAGCAGCAGCAAGCUACCAUGGCUCAGUGGAAACACUAGGAGACAUUUCCCGGUAAGAGAGGCUACUAAGGAUAAACAACUAGAUAGCCAGAUCCCACACAUACCAAGCAUUUCAAUAACAUACACACAAUAUGCUUGAUAUGUGCAAUUACAACAUGGCAUCACAACAUGACUCUACGACACAAGUAAAUAUUCAAUAGGCUCCGAGGAGCGAGAUAUUACAAACAUGGGUCUCAUGACCCAACAAUCAGAGCAUACAAGUCAAGCACAAGCGAAAGCUAUCAUGUCUGGGUACAGACAUCUAUAAAUGAAAAAGGCUGAGAAGCCUGACUAUCUAUCAGAUCCUGCCGAGGGCACAAGAUCGUAGCUGAGGUAACAAGCUAAACGUCGAAGUCCACGCGAAACUACUAGUGAGACUGAAGUCUCUCUGCAAAAACAUAAAAUAGGCAAACGUGAGUACAAAUGUACCCAGCAAGACUUACAUCAGAACUAACUACAUAUGCAUCAUUAUCAACAAAGGGGUGGUGGGGUUUAACUGCAGCAAGCCAGCUUUGACUCGGUGGCUAUCCUAAACUACGACUGCGAGUAACUCUUUUGAGGUGGCGCACACGAGUCCACAUAUUCACCAUAUCAAUACACCACUAUGGAUCCGCUCCCGUCUCCCUACGAGAGCGCCAUCCAUAGCACUCACGCUUAUCUUGCGUAUUUUAGAGUAUCCACUUUCACUUGUCUAUGAACUGAUAUAAGCAACCCAGAAGUCCUUUUCCGCGGACACGGCUAUUCGAAUAGAUUAGGUUAACCCUGCAGGGGUGUACUUCUUCACACACGCUCUCACCACUUACCGCCGUUUACACGACAUGUACUCGGCAACCUUCAAGCGGAAGCCCAACGUGGGUGUCGGCCACGGCCUACCUAAACACUCAAGUCUCUAGUCUAGGUUUAUCGCCUAUUCGGGUUCCAUCCAUGAGGAGAUCCGGCCGGAGUUUCGCUCACAGCCCCAAACGAUGUGAACAGGGUUCCCGAGACACCAAACGGGCGCCCGGUACACCGUGCCACGUGCCUACCGCAUCACAGCCCACCCCUACGGUCAGCGCUGCGCACGGCCUCCAGCAUACUACAAACACCAGAAACUACUUGCAACUCCUGGACAGAGGACAAGGGUGAUCAAGAAGCCGAGAGGGUCCAUUGGUUUCGGGCCCAAUGCGUGGUAGUAGCUGAAUCAUGGAUCACAAACACAGAACUCAGUUCCUGAGGACGGCUGCAAUGAGACAACCCACCAUGUACUCCUACAUGGCCUCUCACCGCUACCUUUACCAAAUCGUGUUCACACACUUAGCUCACACAGUAGGACAUGUUCACACGCCUCUGAUUCAUCCCCGAUGAAUCAGACCUGACUCAACUCUAAGCAGUAGCAGGCAUGACAAACAAGCAAGAAUGAGUAGGCACAACAGGGCUCAAACAACUCCUACUCAUGCUAGUGGGUUUCAUCUAUUUACUGUGGCAAUGACAGGUCAUGCAAAGGAUAAAGGGGUUCAACUACCGCAACAAGUAACAGAUGAAUCGUUGUUGUCCUAAUGCAGUAAAAGAGAGCAGGAGCGAGAGAGUGGGUUUGUAUCGGAAUGAACAAGGGGUUUUUGCUUGCCUGGCACUUCUGAAGAUAACAUUGAGUCUUCAUCAGUGUCAACGAUCACAUCAUCGGUAUCACGUCUAUCGAAAGGGGGCAAUCACCGGCAACUGAGGAAAGACACAAUCAAUGCAAUGCACAAUAUGAUGCAUGCUCAUGACAUGGCAAUAUGAAUGUGUUUUGAGCUAAUGCAACUAAAACCAAAUUAAAUGAAGUUGGUUUGAAUCCAAGAUUCAAAUUCAAACUCCAUAUGUGGAUAUUUAAAUGCCCUUUAUUUGAUUUGUGCUAAACAGGAGCUAUAAGUUGUUCUAACAUGCAUGAAAAUGGUACAGAUGGAUUCCUUGAAUUUUUCUGAUAAUUUUUCAUAUAUAAAUUAUUUAAUUUGGAGUUACAGUUAAUUUUCUAUGAAUUUUAGAAGUUUAUACAAUUUUCUGGAUUUUCUGAAUUAUUUUAGAAAAUGAUUAUCUGCGUCAUCAUUGCGUCAUGCUGACCUCAGCAGGUCAACAGACCGGGUCCAGGUCAAACCUGACACUGGGACCCACAUGUCAGUGUGAUUAGCUUAACUAAAAUUAAUUAAAACUAAUCCUAAUAGUUAACAGGGCUGGGCCCCACCUGUCAUUGACUCAGGAGAGUCAACCGGGGCCCACCCGUGGUCAAAGUCAAAGUCGGCUGCCGGCUUUUAGCCGCCGGCGAGCCCGACGCGGCGGCGAGAGUGGUUUUGGCCACUCCGGCGACCAAAUGGGCCGCGGAGGGCAUCUAGGAGGAGCUGGGGACGAGCCGAAGCUCUUGGUGGAGUCAGUUGCGCUCGGGGCGGCCGGAAUCGGUGCCGGCGGCGAGCGAGGCGGCGGCCGGAGCUCGGGUGGGUGCGGGGUUAGCGCUGUGGCUUGCAAACGAGCUAGCUGCCACGCUAGCGUUACUCCACGGGUCGUUGCGAGUGCAACGGACGCACGCGCGGGGCCAUUUGGUCACCGAGGCUUCGCCGGCGACGAGCCCGCGCGGCGACGGCUACGGUAAGCAAGGGGGCGGCGGCUACGGCAAGCAAACGAAGGCGGGAUUAGGGGGAAGAGGACCGGGGGCUCACCACGGUCACGAAGAGAUGCUCGGCGAGGUCGGGGACGGUCUGGAGCCGGCGAAUUUGACGAAGAUGGCCGGCGGGUCCGAGGUAGAAGACGACGGCGAUGGCGGCGAUGCAGGGCUUCCGGAGGGCUGUGGAUCGGUGGGGAGGAAGAGGGGGUCGAGGCGGAGCUCCUGGGUGCAUCGGCGAGGCUAGGGGUGCACGGUGGCUGCGGCAAUCGGCGUCGGUGGCGGCGGCUCCGUUCGGGCCCGAGGUGCGGAGCGAGAGGGAGAGCAGGAGAAGGGGAUGAGCACGGGAGGGAGUUGAGAGCGGCCCGAGGGUUGCGUGGCGCUCGGGAGAGGCAUCCAGACCCUCGGCGGCAAGCAGAAGCUGGCGAGGCGCGUGCUCGCGCGCGUCGGCCACGCGUGCUGUCCUUCUGGCGAGAGGAGAGGGACGACUGGCGUGGCCAGUCUGCUGGGCCGAACUGCUGGGCCAGCUGGUAAGUGGCCCAGGUAAGCCUCUCUCCCCUUUUUUUUCUAUUUUGUUUCUCUUUUCUAUUUCUGUAGUUUUGUUUCUGAUUUAGUUUAUAGCCCAAAUCAUUUUAAUAAAUCCUGCAAAUAAUUGUGGCCAUUAAAUGAAUUAUUACAGAGGCCCUUAACUAUUUUCAGAAUUGUUGGAGCAUUUAAAAAUAUUAAUAGUAUUUAAAUGCCCCAAUUCAAAUACAAUAUGGAUUAUUCCAAAAUCCAUAAUGGCCCAAAAAUAUUGGCAUCAUUUUUGGUAGAGGUUUUCCACCUUUGUCAAAAAUCAUGAGCAUUUUUGAAAGCCAUUUGGACUUACUUGAAAGUAUUUUAGGUGAACCUAGUGAAUUCCUUUAAUGCUAGGGUUUGAGCAAUCCCCAUUUCAAGUUCAUUCAAAAGUUAAACAUGAUGCACACAUGAGGUCUAGCCUAGUGCAUACCAGAAGCUAGGGAUGUGACAAAUUCUACCCCUUUUUCUAGACAAAACGCACAUCUACCCUCUUUUUGUUGGAAGGAUCAGGAUGGACCUCCUAUGCGCCGCGUUAUGCGGCAUACUGUCGAUCAAACGCACAGGGGACUCUGACCUGGGCCGGCCCAGUAUCCGGCCCAAUAGUGUACUGUAUGGCGGGAUCAAAAAGAGAAAAAGUAAAGUUCCGUGUAUCCUAUGCGCCGCGUUAUGCGGCAUACUGUCGAUCAAACGCACAGGGGACUCUGACCUGGGCCGGCCCAGUAUCCUCCUAUGCGCCGCGUUAUGCGGCAUACUGUCGAUCAAACGCACAGGGGACUCUGACCUGGGCCGGCCCAGUAUCCGGCCCAGUAGUGUACUGUAUGGCGGGAUCAAAAAGAGAAAAAGUAAAGUUCCGUGUAUCCUAUGCGCCGCGUUAUGCGGCAUACUGUCGAUCAAACGCACAGGGGACUCUGACCUGGGCCGGCCCAGUAUCCUCCUAUGCGCCGCGUUAUGCGGCAUACUGUCGAUCAAACGCACAGGGGACUCUGACCUGGGCCGGCCCAGUAUCCGGGCCAGUAGUGUACUGUAUGGCGGGAUCAAAAAGAGAAAAAGUAAAGUUCCGUGUAUCCUAUGCGCCGCGUUAUGCGGCAUACUGUCGAUCAAACGCACAGGGGACUCUGACCUGGGCCGGCCCAGUAUCCUCCUAUGCGCCGCGUUAUGCGGCAUACUGUCGAUCAAACGCACAGGGGAAUCUGACCUGGGCCGGCCCAGUAUCCGGCCCAGUAGUGUACUGUAUGGCGGGAUCAAAAAGAGAAAAAGUAAAGUUCGCGCCAGCUCGGAGUCGAACCCCGGACCUCGCGCGGCGGUGAGCACGACAACAGCCAUCACACCAAACUACUAUUAGUUACAUAGUAGCAGCGCACAUUUUUAAGAACUAUCAUCGCGUAUAGGCAUGCUGCAGCUGAGUAAAAUGGCACUGUAGCAGUACUGUAGCUAAUGUAUUUUCUUAACAAUGUACAUAUUUCAAAUUUCGAAAAUGUUUUUUGAAACCACGAACAGUUUUAAAAAACAUAUGAAAAUGUUUCAAAAACUAAUUUUUUUCGGAUCACACGAACAUUUUCAAAAAAACUUGAACAACUAUUAUUUUUGCAAAUAUUUUUGUCAAAUUUUUGAACAUUUUUUAAAAUUGCAAACAUUAUUUUGAAAGCGUGAUUUAUUAGAAAUAAGAACAAUUUUUCAAAUUGCAAAUAUUAUCUUGGAAAACGUGAAUAUUUUCUAAAAUUUACGAACAUUUUUUAAAACAAGAACAUUUUUCGAAAUGUAUGAACAUUUUUGAAAACACGAGCAUUUUCAAAAUUUGUGAACAUUUUUUUAAAAUUUGCAAACAUUUUGAAAAGGCGAACAUUUUCUAAAAUUUGAGAACAUUUUUUUAAAGCAUGAACAUUUUUUGAAAACAUGAACAUUUUGUAAUUUACAAUUAUUUUGAAAAAACAAAGAUUUUCUAAAAUUUGGGAACAUUUUUAAAAAAAACGAACAUUUCUUCAAAAUUUAUGAAUUUUUUUUGAAAACACGAACAUUUUUUUAAAAUAUGUGAACUUUUUUUCAAACAUGAACAUUUUUUGAAAACCCCAAACUUAUUUUCGAAAUUGCAAAGAAUUUUGAUUCUAAACAUUAUUUAAAUUGUCAAAUUUUUGAAAAAGAAACGGAAAAAGGAAAAAAAACAGAAAAAAUAAAAACGAAAAUUAAAAAAAGAAACAAAAAGGAAAAAAGAAAGAGAAAACACCUAAAAGAAAACCAGCCACAGAAAACAACAGGAAAAAAGAAAAACCGAUUAAAGAAACCUUCUAGUUCCAAACCCGGGAGAAAACCACCCGUCCGUAAAAGCUACGCUAACACCUAAGGGGCCUGCCCAUAUCGCGUCGCUCUCUCGUGACCCUCCGUGCGAAUCCCCGACAGUUUGACACAACGUGCGUCAUAUAGGAAAUUCCCAAUUCUACUACUUGAGAGUCCAGAAGCUGCUGGUGUCUUCUCCAUGAGUCCGGACCAAACCAAAUCCGUCCCAAACGACGAACGCAAUCCAGUGGCCUCGAGUCUUCAGGAGAAGACGAGAGAAUUCUCCAGAAGCUUGUUUUCUCCUUUUUCUCCAUACAAUCCCCAGCCCUCUAUAAAUUCUCCCGUUCCGACCGACAGAAACCCAAGAAAGUCUGAACAAAAGCACCGAUCAAAGAACGAUCCCUCCCAAAUCAAUCGCUCACCCUUCCGCUUCCUAACACCAGCUAAAUCGUCGAUUCCUUCGACCAGCAGCUCGAAUCCCCACCGACAAUGUCGCUGAUCCGUCGCACCAACGUGUUGGACCCCUUCUCCCUCGACCUCUGGGACCCCUUCGACGGCUUCCCCUUCGGCUCCGGCGGCAGCGGCAGCCUCGUCCCGCGCACCUCCUCUGACACGGCGGCCUUCGCCAGCGCGCGGAUUGACUGGAAGGAGACGCCCGAGGCGCACGUGUUCAAGGCGGACGUGCCGGGGCUGAAGAAGGAGGAGGUGAAGGUGGAGGUGGAGGACGGCAACAUCCUCCAGAUAGCGGCGAGCGGAACAAGGAGCAGGAGGAGAAGACGGACACCUGGCACCGCGUGGAGCGCAGCAGCGGCAAGUUCCUGCGCAGGUUCCGGCUCCCGGAGAACGCCAAGGCGGAGCAGGUGAAGGCGUCCAUGGAGAACAGCGUGCUCACCGUCACCGUGCCCAAGGAGGAGGCCAAGAAGCCCGAGGUCAAGUCCAUCCAGAUCUCCGGCGCGAUGAGAUGGACUGCAGUCUGCAGAGCAGUGGUGUGGAGUUUCGCCCGGUCGUCGCGAUGAAAUAAAAUCAGUCAGGCUGUCUAGUGCUCUAAUCUUGUGUGCGAAUGGUCCGAUGUUGCAGUCAGUGUUUCGAGUCUGUCGCGUCUGUGUUCGAGUCCACCUUGUUCAUCAGCAACAAAGUAAAUCCAUUACCUUCUGCUAAUUUGUGAAUGUUCCCUCACACUUGAAAGCAAUUUCAACUCGGAAUAAAUAGUAAACAAUACAAUCAAGCCGUUUAGUGGGAUGCCAAAGGUGGGAUCCGCGCUAGUAGGAGUAGGACGGCGAGCAGCUGGUGGUCUGUUUUGUCCCGAAAAUAUCAUUACCGAAACCAACAUUCGAUGGAAGAUGACCAUGUUUUAAUUUUUUCAAAAAAUAUAAAAAUAUAUGAGAUGUUAAGAGGAUGAUGUUCUAUUGUCAUGCAAAAUUUUAAAUUUUAGUACAUUACCGAAUGUGAGCUUUGUUGAGUUUGUCUUUUCAUACCUCGCAUCCCCUAAGGUUAAAAUUUCACAUGGCAGCACAACAUCAUUCUCUUAACAUCUCACAUUUUUUUCAGAAUUUUUGAAACUUCCAGAUGGGGUUUCCACGGAGUUUUCUUUGUACGUCGGUUUUCAUAUGAUAUUCUUCCCUGUUUUGUCCUUCCGGUCGCUCGUCAAGCGUGGAGAAUUCAUAAAGGAGCUUGAGCCGUGCGCCUCGAGGUACUCUCUUUUUUUUGACAGAAGUGCCUUGGCCAAGGGAAAACCCUAUUUACCGCUCUUCGCGACAAGUUGUCGCUGUUUCGCCGAAGUGAUUGAGCGACUAUUCGAGGGUGGGCCGGUCCGUUAAGCGUUUCAGUAGUACUGGUUUAGGGAACCAUGAUGUUUUUUAGCCGUUUUUCUUUUUCGGUUUGGGAACCUUCUGGUAGGCGGUUUUUUCAAUUCCAGUUUCUUUUUUUAUUUUUUCUAUAUCUCUCAUUUUCAUUUUUUUACUUUUUUUAUGUUUCAUUUUUUAUUUUAUUUAACAUUUUAUUUUUCAAAAUUAUAUUAAAUUCCAAAAAAGUUUUGUUCAGAAAUUCUAAAAAAGUUUAGAAAUUCAGAUUUUGUUCACUUCUUUUGAAAAUAACAUGAUUUUAAAAAAUAUCAAAUUUUGUUUGCUUCUUUUGAAAAAUGUUCGAAAAUUCAUAAAAUUUAAGAAUUUAAAACAACAUUCGCAUUUUAAUUUUAUUCACAAAUAAAAAAUGUUUAAGAACUUCAAUACAAAGGUUCUCAUUUUUUUAAUUUAUUUGCAUAUUAAAGAAAUGUUCAUCAUUCAAAAUUUGUUUUAAAAUUCAAAAAAGGUUCGCAUUUUUUAAUUCGUCGCAAAUUCAAAAAUGCUCGAUAACUUAAAAUAUGUUCUUAUUUUCUAAAUUUGUUCACAAAUUCAGUAAAUGCUGCCGUUUCAUAAAUUUGUUCACAAAUUUAAAAACUAUUCAUGCUUAAAAUUCGCAAAUUCAAAAAUGUUUGGGGGAAUAUCAGAAAAGGUUUUUGAUUUUUUGUAAAAAAAAUCAUAAGUUUGGAAAAUGUUAACGUUUACAAAAAAUCUUGUUUUUUUAAAAAUAUUGUAUUUUCAGAAAAUUGCUCGUAAUUUCCAAAAAUGUUCUCCUAUUCACUUUUGUUCCAUUUUCCCGUAAAACUCAUAAGUUUCCAAAAUCAUGAAAGUUUAGAAAAAUAUAAAAAAUGUGCAGCGAGUUAUCUAUACUCCUAUAUAGUGUACCAAUAUGAAGUUAUAUAGAUCGUUGGAUGUAUGUAAACGAAGGGCUCAGAUUCAAUUGCUUUAGAUAGAGGACUACGUGGCCGCAUAUAGACCAUAGGAUAGGGCAAUCUAACGGCUGAGCGCGCAGGGAUUCGCGGUGGGGUUCCAUUUUCGUGCUGCUAGAUUGCCAGCGCGGCAGAGUACUUGCAGGCUCUCGAUUCUUCUGCCGGGCACUGGAAAUGUGCCGCAGGCCCAGUUGACAAAAAGAAACGCUGCCCCACAGCCACAGUACCAGGCAAGCAGUACUAUGCAACGCUGCCCCACAACCACAGUACCAGGCAAGGAGUACUAUGCAACGCUGCCCCACAGCCACAGACACAUGCAUUGCAGCCUCGGUACCGAUGCUUUAGCAGAUUAUAAACAACACGUAAAAUAGAAGAUUAAUAUAUGUGUUGUACUAAAAAAAACUUUGUUACUUUCAAAGUUUAACUCUCGGGCAUCAAUACUACUGGUGCCAGAAGUAUUUUCUCAUAUUUUUAUUUGUCAAAAAUAACACAUGUAGUAAUCUGCAUAUUUACUAAACUGGUAUUUUUUUAAAAAAAUAGGGCAUGUGUAAAAAAAAAGAACUCUGGCAUGUUUAUAUUGAUUUGCAUUAACAUUUAUUGACGUUCGCUGCUUUUUGUUUUGUACGAUGUGCAAAUCUUGGUAUCAUUUUUUUGAAACCUUUUGCUAUGCUAGAGAACACCCCACUAGUGCCUGAGAGCCUAAAGGCUGCUUUGACACUUUUUUUAAAGAAAAUGACCCUCAGCCUCUCUAUUUUUCUACUUUCUCUUAUGAAUUCAUUUUACGAACAUUAUUGCCAAGCUUUCCCAUUGUUCUCACCAAUAUUUUUUUAGGCAAGCAUCUACUCGAUUAGACAGACUAAUCACUGUAUGCAUGCAUGUUUGUGAACUUUACAUGAAAAAUAUAAGUUAAUAAAUACUAAGAACCUUUUUUUUGCGAAUGAAUAAAUACUAAGAACCUGAUUAUAUAGUAAAUAAAAAUGCCUUCAAUCCCUCUCAACGUAUCACGUGACACAUGUGAUAAGCAAUUCAAGGUAUUAAAAAAAUUCCUCUCAACAUACAACUUGUCGCAAUAAUCCUUACAUGUGCAUGGCACGUGCCUUUAACUAGUGGUUCAUAGAUACUGGGCUGCCCUUUUGGCACCAAAUCUGAGGCAUUACUUUCGAUGUGGUUCUUGUUUUUAAGUUUUGACAAGUUGUUGGUAUGUUCCUUAAUUUUCGCACUUUAAACCUUGAAAUUGGGUUAGCAAGUCGCUGUGGCUAACGCAAGGCCUGCAACUACGAGAGGUCACGUGUUCAAUUCCUAUAGCUAGCGCGCUGUUCUUUUUUGCUAUUUUCCACCUCAUGACGGAGGAGCCAGAGCAAAUGGGCUGGCCCAGGUGAGCUGCCCUGUGCAAAACCACGACUCUUCACCACAAUAAACGGCGUAUAGGAGGUCCUGUCCCGAGCUAUGUUUUGCGCGAGUGCGGAGCUUUCCGUGUCAUCGAAAGGGCCACGGGCUUCCGGUCCACCAAAUACAACAACUAGCUAGGCCCAAGUUAGCUCGUGCCUCCGCCUUCCGCCGCCCGCAACCGUCCUCGUGCGUCGCGGCCCCAUCCUUGUCACAUUCGCGUCACGCCCUGGGCACCCCGCACACGGUUAUCCUUGUCCCGUUCGGCGAUGGUUCCACAGCCAUCGCUGGCUUCAUUGAACUAGCAAGACUUCUCGUCGUUCUCCCACCGUCCCAGGCUGCCACUGGCCUCCUCUUUCUGGCCACGUCCUACAUCUCCCGCCUCAUCACCGUCACCCUUACUCGCGCUUCCCGAGGAAAUCUCAACUCCAUUUCUUAAGGUGAUGCGACCGGGCGGAGGGCGUUCGCAUGUCCACCUCGCAUGUCCACCACGUCAGCAAGGUGUUUGGCACAUUGUGUGAUGCUACCUCUUGAGCACUGCGUUGGAUUUUCCCGAAGAGGACAGGAUGAUGCAGCAAAGUUUAGGCGGUCGCUAGCGGGCAAUCAUUGGGAAGAAUGGCUCCAUCUAGUUAGGAGACUGAUGGAGGUUCAACUUUCUCACCAACCCGAUGGAUUACGCUGGAAGUUGACUAGUUUUGGAGUAUUUACAGUUAAAUCAAUGUAUAUUGAUGUUAUUAAUUCGAACUCCAUUCCAACGUCCAAGUAUGUUUGGGCUGUCAAAAUUCCUUUAAAAAUUAAAGUGUUUAUGUGGUUUGUCCAUAAACAAGUUAUUUUAACAAAGGACAACUUGAUAAAGCGUAAUUGGACAGGACCUACUAGGUGUAGUUUCUGUGAUCGGGAUGAGACGAUUAAGCAUUUAUUCUUUGAUUGCCUGUUGGCCAAAGUUCUUUGACGGACGGUCCAUAUUGCUUUCAAUAUUACUCCACCUACUUGUGUCAAUGUUUUAUUUGGGACAUGGCUUAAUGGGGUUGAGCCUGACUUAGCAAGACAUAUUCGGGUUGGAGUUUGCGCUUUAUUGUGGAGUAUCUGGAAUUGCAGAAAUGAUUUGGUUUUUAACACAACAUCACGGAUUCAUUUUUUGCAGGUUAUUUUCCGAGCUACGGCAGUGAUCCGUUCGUGGUCGUUACUCACUCCGAUGGAGGUCAGGGAGCGUUUGGUUACUGGAUCUAUCCGUUGGGAGAUGGUAGCUCGGGAUAUCUUCAACCGGUUUGGAUGGCGGUCAUGUAAUAGGAUAGGCAAUUAGUUUACCUAUCUAUUUUUAGCCAGCCGGUUGUGGCAUCUUUUCUUGGCUAGUUUGUGUAUCUAGCUUUUUAAGCUUUGUGUGAGCUGCCUUUUUCUUUUAUCAGCUGGAGACUUUGGAACCUUGUUCGCACUUUUUGCUAUUUGGUUAAUAAGAUGGCCGUAUGCAUCGCUCUGAUGCAGAGGCCGGGGCGCCUCCCCCCCUUUUCGAAAAAAAAGGAGACGGGAAAGACCCUGGCUGAGUAUUUUAUGUACAACGAACGGCGUACUUUAAUAAUUUAUGAUGAUCUCCCCAAAUAGGUACAAGCUUAUCGCCAAAUAUCCCUUCUAUUAAGAAGAUCUCCUAGCCGUGAGGUUUAUCCAGAGGAUGUUUUUUAUUGAAAGAGCCAUUAAAUUAAAUUCUCUUUUAGGCGAAGGAAGUAUGACCGCUUUUACCAAUAGUUGAGACUCAAUCUGAAGACGUUUCCGCCUAUAUUCCUACUAAUCUAAUCUCCAUUAGAAUCAGAGGGAGUAUCAAAUGAUACCUAAGCUUUGCGUCUUCCUGAAAAUAGACUUCACUAUGCUACGAAAUGUAAGCUUGUUAGCGAGUUCCUGCUCAAUGUCUGGCUGUGUUUUCCUCACUAGAGUUGUUUCAAAGAAGUUUCGUUCCAAGCAAUCGUUUUCGUAUCUGGUUCCAUUUGGUUGUAGCUUGUAGCUUCGUUGAUUUUCUAGUGGUGAGAGGCUUACAAGGGUGGGAUCGCUAGGUGAUUGUUCAAACCUAUAUUGCAUAGAACAAUGUCUGUGCAUUGCGAUGAGAUAUAAAUAUUCUAAUAUGAUUUACCUGCUCAUAAUAUAUAACUGUGUAAAUAAAUGUUCGUCAAAUUUUGUUUCUAAUUUACCUUAUAUUAUGAUCAGAAAUGAAUUACCUGCCCAUAGUAUGCGAUUGUGUAAAUAAAUAUUUAUCAAAUUCUGACAGUUAUUUACCUCUUAUUUUGAUUAAAAAUUUGGUAAGUAAAUUAAAAUGAAAUUGGUUCAAAAGAUAAGUAAAUUAAGGUGAUUGAUUAUUAUACGUGGAAGAUUGAACGAAGGGGUGGUGCGAAGAAAGGUGAAACGGAAACUUUACAUUCUUUUUGAGUACUCCCUCCGUCCGAAAAUACUUGUCAUCAAAAUAGACAAAAAAAAUGUAUCUAGAACUAAAAUACAUUUAGAUACAUCCUCUUUUACUCAUUUUAAUGAUAAGUAUUUCCGGACGGAGGGAGUUAGUAGAGAUUGCAAAUAUCGUAGGAUCAUAUUUGUACAAAAUUGUGUACUGAUCUAUUUUCACAGGUGAUUGUCCAAACCUAUAUUGCAUUGUCUAUCACAUGAUCGAAUUUGUACCAAAGUUGUGAACUGCUCAGAUUGUUCGGUUCCUUGUGGUGAAACCAGUUCAUUAGGGUUCAAUUCCUAGAUUUGCAUUAAUGCUCGCAUUUUUCUAAGAAUAGAGUGUGCGUGCUACUACGCUAAAAAAGAAUUUGCACUAAAAUUACUAGAUCACGCUCAUAGGAAUGCUUCAGUGGGGUCAGAAUCAAAUGGUAAUUUAUGAAACAAAAAUGUACUUUGAAAAAUUUAAACCCUUUGAAUCAAACAUGCCUAGUGUACAACUUUGCCACUUUGGGCUCCUAUUUUUCUUCCCUCAUGAACUUCGCCUAGAAGUGUGUUGUAUUUUCACCACGCAAAACACGCUAAGAUAGGCCAACGCUUGUCAAUAGUUACGCUAUGAGCACUAAUGAUCAAGGUUUAUCAAGAUUUACAAUAUUAUUUAUUUAUUUAUUAUUUUAAUGGCGAUCCUCCUGAGUCGCCCCGGCAGGCGACGUGAGGGAACCCUAGCCGCCACCGGGCGCCCCUCCUCCCGCUCCUCCCCUCCCCUGUCGCCGCCAGAGGGCGUGACCGGGCGAAGCCCAACCGGCACCUGCGGCACCAGGGCUCUCCGCCCCCUCGUGCGUGGAUCUGGUGCGGGCCGGGAUCGAUGGGCCAAGGCGUCGCGACGUGGAGGGUCACGGCGGCGCGAUCUGCUCUGCUUCCUAGCGGCUUCGUCUUGAGGCGGGUGAUGCGGCUACCCUCUGGUGGUGGGGCAUGUCGGGUAUUGGCAGCGGCGGCGAUCUGGCCCAGAUCCGUGGUCCCAAGGCACCAGGCGGCACGGGCUGUGGACGGUGACGGCUGGUGCUAUCUUCUGGGUAGUGGUGGCCGGCGGCGAUGGUGGACGGGGGUUGCAGUGGCGGUCCAGCGGUUGCGUGCGUCUCCAUGGCGAGGCACCGCGCGGUUCCAAUCAGCUACAGCGUCGGGAUGGCGUGACUGACGGCGAAAAUCGCGUCGACUUCGGUCUUGAUGGACGAUGGCAGUGUCUUUGACGUUGUUUCCUUGUUGAGGCAUCAUCGGUGCAGGCUGCGUCAUCUCGCUCGGCCUGCUCCGGGGGAAACCCUAAAUCUGGGUCUCCCGAAUCGGACGUUGAUGGUACAUUGUGUCAUUCUCCCCCCCAGGGGUUUUGAAGCGGGUGCUGACUAGAGGGGCCCAGAGGUGGAGCGGUGUUACAUCUUCCGCAUCGACAACGAUGGAUCUCGUGGUGCGGCAUAGUGGAGUCUCGACGUCGGAUGCGUGUAGAUGGACUCGCCCAGGAGGAUGGCAUUGUCUGGCGUCGUGGUGGCGUCGACGACAGAGACGACUGGCAAGGUCGAUGCAUUGAUCCCUCCUAAAGCUGAGACAACGAAAGAUGGCGGCGGCGGAUCCUAGAGAGUGUGCAUGCGGUACGCGCUGAGCGUCUGCUACAACCGGUUGGUGCUCUCAACUCGCCGACGGGCGGUUUGGGAAGGUCACCUGAUUAGAUGGUGUGCUUUGGCACGAGGUUGGGCACUUUAUCAACCUUAUUGGUAUAGCCAAAAGAGGUCGUCAAAUAGGCAGCUUUGGGUUGAUCGUCAAAUAGGCGGCUUUCGGUCAAUCCAUGUGUUUGUUUUAUUAAACUAUGUCAAAUAAUUUAAUAAAAAUAGUUUUUUAUUAAACUCUGUUGAAUAAUUUAAUAAAAAUAGUUGUGUGCAUCCUUGAAUGCAAAGGUCAAAUGUUUCAACCUCUUCAAAAAAAUUAUUUUAAUUUUUUGAAAUGAAAGGCAAUUUUUUUGUCUCAUUCACUAAUUAAAAAGAGAGUGCCCAGUUAAUUAAAUUUUUUUCUCGAAUAUGCACGAGUGUGCAUAUCAUAUAUUAAAGAAGAAGGACAAAAGAAUGCCUCCACCAUAAUACAAUGUUCAAUUACAGUACGCUACUCCUCACGUCUAUCAGCUACAGCCCGUGAGGAGUAGAGGUUCGGAUCCUUCUCGGUAUACUGCUGUAGAUCAAAGGUGCAAUUUCCUGCCCCCUCUGCCCAUGCAACCAUCGAUCUUCCCAGAAAAGUGUUGUGCGUCCAUCAUUAGCAGUGCUCGCAGUGGCUGCCUGGUAGAUUUGCAUGGACUCCUUAGGGACUUUAAUGUUGAACUCAUUCCAUGGUCUGGUCACAUCCGUUCUUUUGAGCCAGGGCCAUCUAGACUGCAUGGCCACGUUCAUCCAUCUCAAGUUAGGCAGGCCUAAGCCUCCUGCUCAUUUGGGAGCACAAACAGCGUCCCAAGCCACAGCACAGUUUCCACCCUGCGCUUCCAAUCGUCUGCACCAGAGGAAGCCUCGACAUAUCUUGAUCAUAGCUUCAAUCGUUUUCAUGGGUAGGUCCAUUGCCAUCAUCGCAUGAAUUGGCAUGGCACAUAGGACCGAAUGCACCAAGGUCAAACUACCACUCUUCGGCAUCAGGGCAGCUUUCCACGAGGGCAACUUGUUCGCCAUUUGAUCCACAAGAUAUUGCAACUGGGGCGCGGUCUGCUUCCGCAAGGACAAAGGCAGGCCAAGGUACUUGAUAGGGAAUGACCCCACAGGGCAUCCAAGCUGACUGCAAACCAAGUUGACUUCCUCCUUCGUGCAGCGUAUUGGCAAGCCCGCCGACUUGUUCAUGUUGAUCUUGAGGCCUGACGCUUCUCCAAACAGCUGAAAAAUGCACCGACAGAUAGCAAGAUCCAUAGGGAUAGGCUUCACAAACAAGGCCACAUCAUCCGCAAAGAUGGAAAGCCUCUUCCUUAGGCCUACCUGCGCCAAGGGCGCAAGGAAUCCUCUACUGGCAGCAAACUCAAACAAGCGCUGAAGCGACUCCAUAGUCAGAAUGAAUAGCAUUGGUGAGAUGGGGUCACCUUGUCGUAGCCCCUUGCAGUUGAGGAUAGUGUCACCAGGUUCACCAUUAACCAUGACCUUGGUGGACGAGGUCGCAAGUAUGCCGCAAAUCCAUGAUCUCCACCGUGGUCCAAAACCCAUUUGUUGUAGUAACUCCAGGAGAAAAGGCCACCUCACCGAGUCAAAGGCUUUUGAGAUAUCAAGCUUAAGCAAAAUCGCUGGCCUUCCCAAGGCGUUGAGGCGUCUGGCCAUGCAUUGCACUAGCAUGAAGUUGUCAUGCAGCGAUCGACCCUUCACAAAUGCGCUCUGAUGAUUGCCUACGAGUCUCGGCAAGUCCACCACUAGUCUGCACGCGAGCACUUUCUCAAAGAUUUUGAUCGCACCAUGCACAAGAUUUAUGGGGCGGAAGUCCCCCACAUCCAAGGCCCCCUCUUUCUUCGGCAGGAGAGUAACAAGAGACUUGUUUAUCGCUGACAUUCCCCUCAUGUCACCAUUGUAGAAGCAGCGCAUGGCUGCCAUGAAGUCCUCUUUGAUGAUAUGCCAACACAUUGCAUAGAACCUGCCUGUGAAUCUGUCCGGCCCCGGAGCUUUAUCCGGGGGCAUGGAUUUGAUCACCCUCUCGACCUCAUCUUCUAUGAACGGCCCCAGUUAAUUAAUGGAAACCAGACGAAAAUCGUCACAAUGUUUUUUUUAAACGGAGGCAAAAGCUUUGCCUCAUCCAUUAAAUAAGAGAGAAAAGAGUUUGUUACAAGUCACCCAAUUACACGGCAUGCGGAUUAUUCUCGCAAAAUUAAAGACCCUAGCUUUUUUGCACCGGCGACGAUCCAAAGGUUGGCCUCAGUAGAGAUGGAGGAGAGCAAGAUUGUCGGUGGAGCACUCUUAUGUUUGAAAACUCUUGCGUUACGCUCGUUCCAAAUUGUCCAUGACACGAGCAUGGUGAGGGAUGCCUUGGCUUGUCGGUUUGGCGUGCCGUCGGCGCAAGUACUCGCCCACCAAUCUUUAACCGAGUCAAAGAAAGGCCAAGCGAAAGUGUCUAGCCCGAGAAUGAGGAAUUUCUCGAUGACCAAUGACCAAAGCCUUCAAGUAUAGCGGCAUUUGUAGAAGAGGUGAGGUCCGCAUUCUUGCGCCCUCUUGCAAAAAGGGCAAAGAUCACAAUUUGGCCACCCACGCUUUGCCAACCUAUCGGCGGUCCAAAUUCUAUCUUGGAGCGCCAACCAAGCAAAGAAUUUAAUUUUUGAAAGUGCCCAAGCCUUCCAAACCAUCUUAUCCAUGGGUGAGAGGACCAUCCCUAGGUAACCACUACACCCAAGGCCAUGUAAAGAUACAAUAUAACCACUACACCCAAGGCCAUGUAAAGAUACAACACGACCACCCCCCAUUGAUGGUUAAAUACAAGCACAUCAAUCUCCAGGCAAUUCCCCUUAUUAAAUCAACAUAUAACAGUCUGUACUCUGUAGCGUGGCAUAGAUACAUACAAAUCGCAAAAAUGUUGUCCCCGUAGAACCAGCCUGUUGGAGCCCACCCAACCCCUCGGUAAUGCAUGCAUUUACAAAAAUCUGCAAAGAAUAAAUGGAAUGUGCCUCCACAGGGAAACCAGCGGCAGAAGAAUGUGGUGCGUCUCAAUCCAGACCGUAGAAAUCACUACCACACGAUCGUAGAAGCCAGCAGCCGUGGUUUCCUAGCCCUACUCUGAAUCGUAGAAAUCACUGCCGCACGGUGUAAUUACAUCCGACUCCAGCAUCUGUACCACCCUAUGCAUCGUCGGACGCUCCUCCGGCAAAGAGCUCACGCAUUGCUUGGCGAGAGAGAGCAGGGCGUCCAGGGUCUCGAUCUGCACGCCGUCGCAAUCCGGAUCCACAAUCUCCCGCUCUCUGCUCUCUCCAGCCAAGAAGUUCAGCUGCCAUAUAGCAAGUUAACCCUUUGUGGUAAAUACAUAAAAAGAUGUGACAUGCAUGCGAGUUGUGCACAUGAAAAGAAAGGAAAUAAAAAGGUCGUACCCAUCCAACAAUGUUCAACCCCUUCUCAAUGAAUGACGCAUCAGUAGGUCGCUUUCCGCUCAGUAUCUCGAGUACCAAAACUCCAAAACUGUAGACAUCCGUCUUUUCGGUAGCCCUGCCACUUUGCAUAUACUCUGGAUGUUCGAUAUUGCGAAUAUUAGCUCAGAUUAUUACAAAGCGAUACAUUUUCCGAAGUGAAGCGUGCAUUUUCGUUCUCAUCAUUGAUGAAAUGGAACAACUUUCACAUACCUGGGGCAAGAUAUCCAAAUGUUCCUGCAACUAUUGUAGUAAUAUGAGAUUCUUCAUCCUCCAGUAGCUUUGCCAGUCCGAAGUCUGAUACACGUGCCUCAAAAUUGCCGUCCAGUAAGAUAUUGCUCGACUUAAUAUCACGAUGUAUUAUUCGAGGUGAGCAAUCAUGAUGCAAGUAAGCCAGGCCUUUUGCAGCUCCAAGUAUUAUGUUAAUGCGCGCCUCCCAUUCCAGCUGCUCAGUUUUUUCUGCCAAGAACGAUGAACAUAUGAGACGUUAGGCUGGGCUUUAAAAAAUUGUUCCUGUUCAGUAAUAGACUAAUGCUCAUGGAAGACCUGAGCAAAAGUUACUUGUACAAGGUCAAUUUGGUUCGACAUAAAUUUUAGAUGAAACCAUAGUUAAGGCUGUCCAUCCUUGUUUAGCUACUGAAAUGAACUACAGACUAUUCAGUCUGCCUGCAAGAAAUACUUCCUCUGUUUCUUUUUCUUAAAAUGUGUGCUUCUUUUUGAGAAAUUAUAAGGCGUACUUUAACCAUGAUAUUUGCAUGUAUGCCAUUUGAAACCAAGGUGUUGUGAACCUUGAUCCAUCAUGACUCGUGAGAGAGAGAAAGGGUGCUUACUCAUAAAUUUUGAAGAGAGGGGAGAUAAACAAGGACAAAAGAGAGAAAAUGUUACUAAAUUUGCAUGCACGCCGUUUUAAAACAAGUUGUGGACCAGUGGACCUUGAUCCACAACAUGAUGACUACCGCGCUGAAGAUAACCAAAAGCUGUGGCUUGAAGGGUUUGGGUAGACAUAGGUUACUAUCAGAGAAUAGCUUGGAGAUAAUAGAUUCAUUGUUCUUACUUGACUCGAACAUGACAUCCUUGUAUAGUGGAUGCUCAAGCCCUUGACCUUUCCUAACACAAUAUGGACUCCUAGAUCUUAAUGAAUUAGGCUCCUGCAAUUUUAAAUUUCCUAACACGAUACUAUUGAUUAAAGGACCACUGAUCUCCCUCUGUUCGGGCUCCCUGCUGCUAGUCCACAAUAUAAUGACACAAAAACUGUAGGCCUCGUAUUUGUAUGCAGAGGAAGUGGCAUUUCUUAUUCAUCCUUUACAUUGCACGUGUGAUCAAAUCCUAUUCUACUCCAAGAUAUGAUGUAAACCUGACCUUGCCUAUAACCAAAAUCUACUCCAAGGACACAGUUAUCUGAACUUUUUUUCUUGUAGGGUCUGGUUUGAUUGAGAAGGUGAAGGUCUACUCUAAGGAUCCUCUAGGCCUCAAAAUUGGAUCGCAGGCAAAACCAACUUUUUUAUUUGUACUCUUUUCCUUGCAUGGCGGCACCCAUGUCUUAAAUUCAGGAUUUCUAGGUUUUGAUGUCACGCUGAGUUUCAGGCACAAAUAACUUAAUCCUAUAGGCUAUUUUAGUGUUUGCUUAACACAUGCUUAAAGAUCACUGAGGAAAGCAAGCUAAAAUCAGUUUAUAUUACAACUGCAACUAUGAAUAAUUGGAAGAGUUCAAUGAAAACAGAAUUAAGAUGUAUGGCGAAAAGAAAAAUAUGGAACUCACCAUGUAGCACUUCAUCCAGGCUUCCACCUGGAAGGUAGUCAUAUAUCAACAGUUUCGAUGAAGGGGAAUUGCAAUAGCCACGGAGAUUGACCAAAUUACGGUGCUUAACACUUCCCAAUAUCUCAAGUUCUCUAUCAAAGAAUUUGUCACGCCCUUCAUUUGUUUUCACUAUCCUUUUCAAUGCAAAAACGUUGCCAUCAUCCAUUGCAAGUUUGUACACAGUCCCAAAACCCCCUGCUCCAAUGAUAUUUUCCUCAUCCAUGAUCUCUAACUUCUUAAGGAUAUCUUUUGUGGAGUAAGGGAGGUCCCCGUGGAACAUCACAACAGAAGAGCCUGAAAUGAUAAGCAAGGUUAUAACAAAAGUUCUUUAUGACAUGUGAAUUACUGGCUUCGCAUAACUCAUGGCAUCGUUACCUCCACAUAGCUCCACCCUGAAACCAUGUAUAUCUUUCUUCCCGAAAUUUUUGUACAGAAAACAACCCCAGAAACACAUCAGAGCCACCAAUAGCAGAGCUCCCACUGUCGCGACCGCACUUAUAACAACUCUGGAACUCCUUUUAUUUGGGUCAUCUACCAUAAUAGAACAGGAAAACACAUAAGAACACAAAAUUAUUAUGAACUGAAAAUAUAGAGGCCCGUUGUUGAACUGAAAAUAGAAGUUAAUUUACAGAAUGCAAAAUUGCCAUAAUAAAAGGAUCUAUUAGCUAUUAUUGGCGUCAAUGACUAAAUGCACAUUCGACCUUGUGAAAAAAAAAUAUUAGACGCAUACAACAAAUAAUGCAAAUAAUUUAGGCUAAUGUUCAAAUAUCUGUUACCUUUGGAAGGCUGCUGAGAGCCAUCUGAUGGUGAUUGAAGUGCAUCUUUGCACACUGAAUUAAUCUGCCUACCACAUAAAUCACGGUUCCCAAUAAAGCUGCAUUACCAUGUGAAAAUUCAGAUGGGUAGAAGAAAGAGCAGCUUAUGGCACAAUGCAUACGCCUUUACUCGACUGAAUAUGCAGAUUUAGUUAGAUAGAUAUAAAUAAGAGAGAAGACAACUCACGAAGUUUCAUUAAAAUUGGUAAGUGAACCAUCUGAUGGUAUCGGUCCUGUCAGAAAGUUCAUGGAUACGUUGCUGCAUAGGAUGUGAAAAUAAUUAUUUUUUCAUGGGCCAAAAUAAGUGUCUCAACCUUAGUACAACUUUGUACUAGAGUUAGUACAAAGUUGAGUUGAGACACUUAUUUUGGGACGGAGAGAGUAGCUUAACAUAACAGGUUUGGUCAGCUUAUGGACAUAAAAAAAAAGCACUUAC
rnacentral:lncRNA from 1 species